CUCUGGGAAAUGAAGAGGCGAACGAUGCCGUUGAGAGUUGCGACCAAGCCUGCUCUAGCUUCUGCAGCGUGCAUGUUGGCAGCGCCACCGUGGUUGCUUAAGCAAAUGCAUCCAACUAGAUCGUCCUUGUGCUGAAUAAUUGGAUAUCGUAUCCACUUAAAGCUGCCUUGUGUAGUACGUCUUUGUGUCUCUCUUUAUAUUCCAAUAAGGUCGGUGAUCUUGAUGCCACACACUCAGAUGUGUGUUCAUCUCCAGAUACUACUCCAUGCUACCUGCCCUUUGUGUUUUGUUCAAUAACUGGGUAUCAUAUCCCAACCAGUAUGCCGUCUGUUUUGUGUUUGUUUCCUUCUAGUUCCAAAAGGGUCAUCAUGAUGUUACCUUCUUUCAAUAUGGUGCUUUGCAUGACUACUAUUGUAUGGUACCAUCUUGUGGCCAAUAAGUACAUCUUAUCCUAUGACCUUUGCUAUGACCCUUUGCAAAUAAGUAGAAGAUUGUUAUAAGCGUCAAUACUCCUUAUAAAUUGAUCGCUGCUGUGAGUUCCCUUUCAGCUUAUCGUAGGCAUACAUUAUUGCUAGCACGGUAAAGCCAAUCAACACGAAUGAUGAAGUAAAUGUAGCGGUACUUCUGUAUACCAACACCCUUACUUAAAUGUACCGGUGUCAUUCCCUACUGGCACAUAUAUUCUUAUAUGCUAGCCAGCUUGUAAAAUUAACCAAUUAAAAUAAUUAAUUCAAGAUAGAAAUAACUUAUCGGCUUCUCGAAGCAUGUGUAAUAUGAAUCGCUUCAUCUAUAUUGCUUUCAGGAUUUUGGGUAACUAAAUUUAACAUUUGCACAUACAAAUGUUAAAGUACAAAUGUUAAAUCUAGUUACCCAAGCAGAAUAUGAAUAUACUCUAUAGUAUAUAUAUACUAUAUAAAUCUAGUUAACAUUUAGUCUAAAUGUUAAAUCUAGUUACCUAAAAUCCUGAAAGCAAAAUGUAUAAAUAUAUAUCUUUUAAGGCAGUAUAAGCUUCGAUUCCUAUUGCUGCUCUGUUAAAUCUCAUCUUUCGUUGUGGCCCAACACUCUAGUAUGUAUGUUGCACCAAGCUUCCUUGAGCCGCUCUGCCCUCUGAUUUUGCUGCGUAGGGGAAUCUUUAUCAGGUUGGGCUGCUUCCAGUCAUACGAUGUGUGGCUUCAUAUCUUCUACAAGUUAGACAGGAAACCCGCGUUCUGGAAGAUUCUGCAACGUGCACGUUGGCGCUGCCACCGUGGUUGCUUAAGCAAAUGCAUCCAACUGAAUCGUCCUUGUGCUAAAUAAUUGGAUAUCGUAUCCACUGCUUAAAGCUGCCAUGUUUAGUACAUCUUUGUUUUUCUCUCUUUAUAUUCCAAUAAGGUCGGUGAUCUUGAUGCCACACACUCAGAUGUGUGUUCAUCUUCGGAUACUACUCCAUGCUACCUGCCCUUUGUGUUUUGUUCAAUAACUGGGUAUCAUAUCCUAGUCAGUGUGCCAUCUGUUUUGUGUUUGUUUCCUUCUAGUUCCAAAGGGGUUAUCAUGAUGUUACCUUCUUUUGAGGUGUCUAUGACUUUGUUAAUAUCAAUAUUAACCAAUUCAAUCUAUCUUAACUAUUUGUAAGGGGUAUGAUGUAUGCAUGAUUAUAACAAUGAUUGCGCAUACAAUCACUGCCAAAGAAACGGUCAAUACCAUAAAGACAUAUUACAGACAAUUCUCAUAAUUUAUAAUGAAUAUACAUAUUCACUACUGCAGAGACUGUCAUUUGUAUCAGCUCAUACGUGCCAGGGCAAAGGUCACCCUUGCAUUAAAAGUACAUUUGCACGGUAAAGAUAACCAACACGAAUAAUGAAGUAAACAUGCCGGUGCUUUUGUACACCAACACGCUUACUUAAAUGUACUGGUGUCAUUCCUCACCGGUAGCCGGCUUGAAAAUUAACCAAUUAGAACAAUUAUUUAUUGUAUCGGUGUGAAUUUUGACCUAUUGGAAUAUGAAUUUGACCGUUACUGCAUUCGUCAAGACUCAAGAGAGAAAUAACUGAUCGGCUUCUUAGAGCGUGUGCAAUGUGAAAUCAAGGACUGGAUGGAAGUUGAAGCGCUAGCUUCAUCUUCCGCUGCAUGUUAAUUGCUUGGAUAAGAAGUUGUAGCCGCGUAUAUAAAUAGUCCCGCUGAUGCUGUGCUCCGAAGUCUAUACUAUAUAUGCGAAAACUAGAUUGCUUUCAGGAUUUUGGGUAACUAAAUUUAACAUUUGUACAUAAAAAUGUUAGUUUACGAAUGUUAAAUCUAGUUACCCAAGCAGAACAAGAAGAUAGUAUAUACUAUAUACUAUGUAAAUCAAGUUAACAUUUAGUCUAAAUGUUAUAUCUACUUACCCAAAAUCUUGAAAGCAAAGAAAGAAUAAGUAUAUAUCUUUUGUUGGAAAAUUGGUCCACGGAGAGUGGCCUCGUUCGUUUCACCGGGAUGGAAUUCCAGUCAGGAUUACUUCCAAGUCCGGUUUAAGUGAUUCCACCCAUGUCACUCAAUUCGGCUAGGAUUCAUUCCAGGGGUGAGGAGGUAUGGUUUCAAUCCGGGCCAUCUAAUGUAGAAGGAUUCCAAUCCAGGCCGGUUUUCGUUCUAGGCUAGACUAAAACGAACAACACUUUCAAUGCAAGUCUGGUUUCAAACCGGGCCACUUCAAACCACCCGGAAUGGACCUCAUUCCGGGCCAAUCCGGUGAUAACAAACGAGGCCUUAAUGGAAUCCCAAAGCAAGAGUUCAGUGGCAUUCUAUAGUCCCAUGCUGCUAGUUUGAGUUGGUCGAAGCCAACUUAAAUAGGAGAGCUCUCUCACUUCUCUAAAAAUGUAACUGAAGGAGAGAAGGGGGCUUGGGUUACACAACGCACGCACGCACGCAUAUUUGCAUUCUUUUCGCGUAACCGACCGCGUGACUUGAAACUUGCGACGUAGCGUGCUGCUAAGUCAAGUUGAUAUAACCUUUUUGCCGUUUGCGUGUAAUCUUUUGACAACGGUCAUUGGAGGUGAUAAGCACGCAGUCAAUACCUUAAUCCUGAGUUAAUAGGGCGGUUACUACUGCCAAUUAGUGCAGCAAUUUUGUAGGGGAAACGGUUAGCAGAGGGCUACCGUCUUCUCUAUAAGAAGUUUUGGAGACGUUCAGGAACACACAUGUACAUGUGAGAGACCCACGGAUUCCUUCCCUUCUCCCUUUUCCAUCUGGUGAAGUGUGCUAUGGUACUGAGCUGCUGGAUCUCGCCGGCUCUUCUCCUUGGCGUGCACCGAGGAGGAGGGUGAGCGGUAUCUCUGAGCUAUUGCCGUCAGGAAGCCUGCACGAGGGACAACAAUAAAGUUUUUAGGUAGCGCCUGCCUAAUCUUCGAUCUGCACUGCAACGUGUAACCCUGCAGCAACUCUACACGAGGACGGAGCACUAAUCUGUAAGUCCUAGAUUGGUUUCUUACAUAGUUGUAGGUUACACAAGAUCUAGAAUGGUUACAUACCAAUUAUUAUGGGUUACAUGAUGUUUUGUACGGUUUCGUCUAUUUUGCAUAUGCUAUUUUUUCUAUUUUGCAUAUGCUAUUUUUACAUACCGUUUACAUGCAUAUGUUAAUGGUUACACCUAGCUAUUUGAAUCUAGAAUUGGGUUACAUAGCAGUAGCAAUGAGUUACGUAAUAUGCCUCACGUUUAUAUCUGGUAGAAUUUAACACGUAUCUCCAACAUAUUUUGAGGCAGUAUAAAUUUCAAUUCCUUUUGCUGCUCUGUUAAAUCCCGUCUUUCGUUGUGGCCCAACACUCUAGUAUGCAUGUAGCACCAAGCUUGUUUGAGCCGCUUUGUGCUUUGAUUUUGCUGCGUAGGGGAAUCUGUAUCAGGUUGGACUGUUUCUUUGUCUUGCGAUGUAUAGCUUCAUAUCUUCUAGAGGUUAGACAGCAAAACCCGCAUUCUCUUAAGGCAACAACCCGAAGAAUCUGCAGCGCCUCUGAUAUAUCACUGCUGCAGAAACGAUCUUUAGUACUGAUCUCCAACCCUCUUUAGUAUCGGUUGGGCAACCAGUACCACUAUGUCGGUACUAAAGGGAGUUCUCUAGAAUCGGAUCAAAUAACCGGUACUAAAAGGGCUCCUUUACUACCGGUUGGUAACAACAAUAGGUAGUGACUUUUUUGCACCCAAAAAAUUAAAGAAUAACAGCCGGGAGGCUCGCACACACACGCAUCAUGAGUAAUAUGCGCGUGCAUGGUUUGUGGGAUUUCAACCCACGACCAAGCUAUAAGAACGUAGUUACAACAAAUCAAACACUUAGACAUUUUAGAGCAUCCCAAAUAACUACAAAUUCUAUAGUUUACCAUAUACCAUAAAAUAUUAGUUAAAAUAAGAGCAUACACAUGUCGGAAGAGUCCCAAUGCACCGGUUGAGGAUCAGACCAGGCACUUUGAAUGCACAUGCCAUAAGAUAAUUCUGCAGGACAAUGAUUGCAAUAAUGGACCAUCGAGAAGAUAGGGGCGAUGGGGUUGCCUCAUCAAUUAUCACUUGGCGCAACAAGACCAGCAAAGUCUUUAUCGACAGGGGUGGAUCAAGGGGUGGGGCAGGCAGAGCUCCAGUCCUCCUACCGCCGCUCGAACAAUGGAGCCCCCUUAGCCCCUCCAUAAAUUUUUAGGUAGAAGAAAAAAGAAGAGAAGGGAAGCAAGGGGAAGAAGAGGGAGCCCCUACUAAGUAGGUCGCCAUCGUGCUUCCCAACGCAUGAUCGCCGCACCGCAUCCAUUCCUCUACAAGCCUUCAGCGUCUCUCCCGCCGCUACCUCUGAACCAUGUGCAGCUAUAGACCCAACUAGUGUGUUGUCGCCCAUCUCAGUCCCAACAGAGCGGCGGCGGCUGCCAACACAAAUCUCCCUCCGCCUCUUCUUCACGGUCGAUGGCCGCCACAAGCAUAAACCUCGCCUUCGCAUCCAAGCAAAAGGGUCGUUGGGGUGCCUUCUUGCAUCACUUCUCAGCCUCCUUCACUUGCGGCCAGCGAAGAACUGCGCCACCACCUCGGGUGCGUGCCACCACUCCAGGGCCGCUACCCCAUGCCUGCGGCCGCCACCGGCCACCACGCGUGUGCAACCGCGUUGCACCGCUUCCCUGCUUUGUGCCACCACUACUGCUGUACCACCAGCUCCACCACCUUGGGAUGGUCGCCAGGGUGACUGAUUGGUGGAUUAUUACUAAAAAUAAGUUCCUUAUUAUCUGCAACUACUAUUAACUCAGAGAUACAUGCGUCUUUUCCUUCUCCUGCUAAUAGGUCCUAAAAUAUCUAGGAUGCUUUAUAUUUCUGGACAGAGGAAGUAUUUGAAUAAAAUGAACCAAUUUAAAAAAAAUGUGUUGUACACUACUACAGAAAGACCUAUCAGUGUCAAACCCAAAAAUGUCGUCACCGCCAGUUUUAGGCAUCGUUGGUGAAAGGUUGGCGGUGAUGGGCAUCCCCUUCAACAACGGCACUGGAGCCGACGGUGAUUGACAUUAGAAAACAAAAAAGGGAACCCCACCUAGCCACCCCUGCAACCCAGCCGGCCGUGCCUCCCCUCAUGCCCACCACCUCGCCUCCCCCGUGACCCCCCGCCGGCGCCCUUGUGCCUAGCCCCCUCGCCUGCCCGGCCGGCCACCCUCGUCAUGAGAGAGAGAGGUGCAUGUUGUAUAAUUGCGUGAAUUUUUGAAUGUUUAAUUUUAUGUAAGUUCCAUGUAAUAAAUUGUACAAGUUUUAUUGUAUAUAUGAAUUCCAUAUAUAUAUAUUUAUAAUUUAAUGUAUGGUUUCAUGUGUAUAUUUCAAUCAUGUGUAUAAUUAGUAGAUUGCCGAUUUUCUUUUUCUACUAGACAAGGGUUGAUGUAUAAUUACGUGUAUAUGUUUAUUGUAUGGGCAAUUAGGACAAGUUUUGUAUAAAUUUCUUUUAUUUCAUGGUUGUUGUAUGGUUUCAUGUAUAUACAUUUAUUGUACUACUUGAGACAAUUUUAAUUUAAUAUUUCUAUGAUUACAUGUGUGUAUAACUAAUUGUAUUAUUAGUUAAGAUGGGAGCCAAAGAGGAUGAAAGGUAUAUAAUAGAGUAGAUUAUUGCUGGCGGUAGUGGCUCAAACGUUGCAAGAACCUACACCGAGGGUGAGGGUAGCUAGGUGGACAUGUACCUCAACAUGUCCAGUGAUGGCAAUGACGAUGAGGAGCACGAGCAUGACGUCUAUGAUAAUGCGGAACAAGACAUUGCAGAAUUGGAAGGUUCUAAUGAGGUGUGCUUCAUGUUGACGAUCUAGUUGGCUUUUUUUCUUUGGUCACACCUUAGUUACCAUAGAACUUCGUCUCGGGAGAAGAUUGGUGGUGCUAUGGUGAUUGGAAUUUUAUUGCCUCCAAAUUUGAUUUCCAUCGAAUCAUAUCCCUUGUAUUUAUCUUCUUUUUAUUUGUGAGAGCAUCUUCUUUAUGCUUGCAAAACAAUUCAAGUGCACAUACUACCCCUAGGGUGAUGAUUGGGAGUAGAAACAAUUGCCAACAAAACAACACCACAUCCUAAGAUUCUUAACUUGUGGCAUAAUUAAUCUAGUGAAAAGAAAGAUAAAAACCUAAUGGGUGUACGUGAGUGCAAUGUGUAUAUGCAUAUGAGUGGAAGGCAUAUAAGCAAAGACAAUAUUUACACAUAGUUCUAAACACGAUGUUUACAGCUAGGUUGCUGAAUUUCUCCAUAGCUAUAGAGAUUAAUUAACCAAGGUCAAAACACGAUGUCUAUCCCAAGAUCAGUAAUUCUUUAUAGCACAAGAAAAAGAAAGCGCAUUGCAAAGUUUAUAAACCAACCAAUACAGCAUGAAAACAAGAUGAAUAGCUAGCAAGGUUUAUUAAAUUGAAUGAUGACGGUCUGCAAGCAAGUUUGAACACCAUCUUUACACAAGAUUGCAAAUGGAAAAUGCCCAUAUGAAGCACUAACAUGGAUAUGAAAUCAUUCAUCAUAAAGCGUAAAGAACAACCAAGUAGUUUUUAAUGGCAUAUACAUGUAUAAUAUAGUUUAGGUGCUAAAAUUGAUAUUCACAGCUAUUUUGGGCUCCAAUUCGCGUCCAAACCAACCUAGCCCACAGACCACACCCGGCCGGCCAGCUCAUCGGCCCAUCUAGUCACUGAUCCUUCCACCACCACACUCAGCCCAUCAGUCGGUCAGGUCCCGAGCUCCUGCCUGACCUAGUCCGCUACCGCCGCCAGGCGCCAAGCACAGCCGUACGCACUGCACCGCCCCCGUCCACCCAUGUCCGCUGCGCGGCAAAGCCGCGCCCCCCAGCCCCCGCGGUGAGAUCUCGACGCCCGCUGCCGCCAGACCCCAUUAGGCCUCCACCGGCAAGUCCACCCACAGUCCCACACGACCUAGUCCGCUNNNNNNNNNNNNNNNNNNNNNNNNNNNNNNNNNNNNNNNNNNNNNNNNNNNNNNNNNNNNNNNNNNNNNNNNNNNNNNNNNNNNNNNNNNNNNNNNNNNNNNNNNNNNNNNNNNNNNNNNNNNNNNNNNNNNNNNNNNNNNNNNNNNNNNNNNNNNNNNNNNNNNNNNNNNNNNNNNNNNNNNNNNNNNNNNNNNNNNNNNNNNNNNNNNNNNNNNNNNNNNNNNNNNNNNNNNNNNNNNNNNNNNNNNNNNNNNNNNNNNNNNNNNNNNNNNCCCCCCCUCCACCAGGACUGCUUGUUGGCCCCCACCGCGAGGUAAUCAAAAUGGACGGCUCAAUCACUCAAUCUGUUGACAUGAUGCACACGGUUGCAAAAAUAGAUGUGUCAAAAUAGAUAUAUUGCUAAUUGCUAUAGAUGCAUACGGUUGACAUGAAGAAGUUAAAAAUGACAUUUGGUUCCUUGUAGGCAGUCAAAAAUGAAGUCAAAAAAUAUUGAUCUGAAAUCAAUGUGGGAAAGGGCUACGAAGACACACAGAUUCCCUUGUGAACUUUUUAUGUCAUUCGUCUAAAUAUUUUUUUGCAAUGGGCAUACCCUACUCUGAAAUCCUGGGUCUGCCACUGAUGAUGAUGGUCUAAACAUAAAACAAGCCAAGAUUAAUUAGCCACAACUGAAAUUAAACAAAGGUUAAUGUCAUUGACCCUAGCUCUAUCCUAGCUUUUACAAAAGUCCCGGCACAUAUAGUGGUUGGGCCCACUCUCUCUGCUUCCCUCUCUGCUGCAUGCAUGCACACGAGCAACGGGAGGCCCCACAAAGCCCAGAAGGGUUCGGCUGAACCCGGCCGAUCCAAUCUGAGCACCACUCCCUCCCAGCCUUCGCGCAGAUGCUCCUCCAACAUUCCUUGACCCCUCCCUCAGCGUCCCAUUGGGUUUAACAUUGCAGGAGAGGAGUCCCUUUUUUAAAAUCUCAACCACCUCCUCUCCUCAUUCACUCCACUCUCAUCUCCAUCAAACUCACCAAGAUCCACAUCGGAAAUCCCUGCUUACCACCAUGGCUGGCAAAGCCCUCGUCCCUUUCACCAACUUGGGCUUAACCAUUGAUCUCGAUGGGGAAAUCACUCCGGAAAUAGGGCAGUGACCCAGAGCAAAGGUGAUGCCAGAGUGUAGAUAGCAGUUAGCAUGCCAAAUUGUGAACCGCAAGCGCUCGGAUUAGUUGUUUUUUUUCCCUUAGAGAUUCCCCCAAGGUUUAUCAAUCCAUGGAACAAGGGAUUUGCACAUUUCACUAAGCAUUAAUCAAUGUAAUUGAAAGCUUUUUGAAUAAGAUAUGAUUAUGCUAACAAAGGAACUAAGCAAUCUAGAUUAAGAUGGAUAGAGAGUAAAGGUUGUGAACAAGAUAGAUUAAACGCUUAUAGAUGCAAUCACCAUGCAUGAAUGAAUUAGAUCUAGGUGUUAUUGUGAGUGGUUGUGAACCAUACCCCAACACUUUCCCACCCGCAACAUUGUCACUACAUGUGGGUACUCAACUAUCGAAACAUAAGAACACAUCAAGAUGAUCAUUCUAGGUAAGCAAAUAAGCAACCCAAAGUAGCGCUGGCCAGCCUUUUCAUGAAAGAGCAUCAUCAAGAUAAGAUUGAUAACAAAAUAGAUCUCAACCAAAGGUUCAGCGAUUACAAAUCAAGAUCUCCGUAUAACCCCGAUGACAAAUAGAGGUAUUACCCCCAUGAUCUUACACAUGUUGAUGAAUUUUAGGGUAAAGGACGCCCUGUAGAUCAACUGGACCAAAGAUGAUGAUGAACAGGGGCAGGGAAGGCCCAGGCUGAUCAGCCUGGGCACUUUUGAGCCGAUCAGCUUAGGGAGUUUCCUCCUCCCCUGGUGCUCCUCUUCGCGUGGCCUCCUCUGGAUCCAAUCUUCUCUUCAUUUCUCCUACUUGUGGUGGCAAUGGAUGGUGUUUGCAUGGUGAUUUCCUCUUCUCCCCAACUCUCCCUCCUUGAAGUCCAUGAGGGGGUAUUAAUAGUCUCCAAUAUGCGGCAGCUCUGGGUCAAUGUCGGUGAAAAAACCCUAGAGAUCAUCGUACACUUCACGCUGAGGAAACAAGAGGUCGACCGAGCCCUGGGAUAGACCAAGAGGAUCAGCCUAGAGGGUCCCAGGCCAAUCGGUCUAGGCCCUUCCUAGCCCUUCUAGUCCUCUCCUUCCUCGUGCUGGCUUUUCUCGAUGACCCUUGUCCAAAUAUCCAUUAAGCUCUAUAUACAUACCCCCUUGAUUAUGUCGUAUUUCCUGUCAAAAUACAAUGCUCCAAAAUACAACACAUAUGCAAUAAUAGGGUUAUUUCAUGUGCCAAUUGGUGCGUUAGUAUACGAAUAAGCAUGAAAAUACUGGUUAAAUGACACUAAAAGUGUGUCAAUAACGAGCACCAACAAUCCCCCCACGCUUAGAUCUUGCUCGUCCUCGAGCAAGUCUAGCGACUAAAAGAUCUUGAAUUAAACAUGAGCAAGCGAGUCAAGUACCUAGCCUUGAAACAAAAGAUUAGAGGAGCAGCAAAGAUAAUCAAAGUCUGGGUGUUCAAAGAUUUAUCUAAGCAAAGAUUCCCCUACAACUAUUAUUCAGAACCAAGUAACUUCAAGAAUCAACUACACUUAUUUUCUGGCUUUUUUCAGAGGGUUUUUCUUUCAUCACAAAACAAUCUCCCUGCAACAAAAUUGAAAAAAGAAUUAUUUUCCAGGUGCUUACAUGUCGUUUAAAUGAAUGUUCGCUAUCCUACUUAUUUGCAAGCUCUCAUCUCUCAAAAUUCAUUCAAUUAUAUGGUGGAGCUUGGGUAAGGUUAGCUAGAAUCAACACGUAUAUUAUUGAAUUAAGAAAACCCUCUAACGGUAGCCUACCUUUCGAGCCAUUGAUCAUAAGAAUAUCCACAUAAUGUGAAGUUUUCAAGGAUGAGAAUAGAAUGGUGGACAUGUGCAAAGGAAAAGAAAUAUAGUGACUCUGAGGCACAAGCAAUGUCCUCGUCGUUGGAUUGCAUAUGGUUGGAAUGAAAAUCUGUUCCUUAAACAAGUCCAUCUUUUCUUUGCACCACUCUUGAUCUUCAUGACAGUAAAAACUCCUCCUUUAUUUCUUUCUCUCUUUUCCUAUUAUUUCUUUUUAUUUGUCUCAAUACUUUUCUUUCUUUAUUUCUUUAUUUUAAUCUCUUCUCCGAACCUCUUCUGAACACCACACAAUAAAAAUCAGUUUUAGAUCCUUCUAGAGACCUUCCAGGAAUUUGCUACAUGAAAACCGAGGCAAGGAGACCCCAGGCCGAUUGGCCUGGCCACUCCUUUGCUCUCCUCUAGCUCUUCUUUCUUGUGAAGCUUCCUUAUCUUGUAUCUUUCCAAAAAUUUCAUAAAGCUCAACUAGAAACGGAACACAUCUUCAUAUAAUGAGUUGUGUUCAAGGAAUUGGUAAUAAAAUUGAGAAAUUUGUGGUUCGGGUUUACGAAUUCAGUACAAAAAUAUGAUUAUUCCAAUGAAGAACUCUCAUUACUGAAUAUUGACGAGGCAAGCAUUCAAAGAUGGUAAAAAGGAUAUGAUCAAUUCUCAGAAUUAAAGCAAACCAAGAGAGAGCGAUCCUAAUUCAAUUCAAAGUGUCAAAUGUUGCUUAUGGUGGUAUGAAUAAAUAUUUUUAGGCAUUGGGUAGGAUAAAUAAAAACUCUCAACCUGGUUAAAAGAUAUUGAUCAAUCUUGUUUUUGCAGAGGUUUUAAAUAAAAAAUAAAAUUUUAAAUCACCUCCAAUUCAAAGCCUUACUCAUAAAUCAUAAUCAAAACUGAAGCACUUGAUCAUCAUAAAGCAUGGGUAUUGCAUAAACAAAUCGAUUACUAAAACUCCACAACUACGAUUUAGAAUUCAAGACAAUGCUCAUAAUCUAAAGUUGCAAAGACAAAAUAAAAGACAAGCAAGCCAAGGUAGACACUAAAAACACUUGCACGAUCCUUGAAUUUUAUUCAUGCUUCUUCUCACAAAGACGCUAAAGUAGCCAUGUAGGCCUAAGUCUUCCCAAAAGCUUAAGAAGACUACUACUUUAUCUACUUUUGGUUGAAAUAAAAAUACUAAUCUAGACUCUCACAUGAUUCGACUCGACCAAACUAGAUCCAAAAACUCAUACGAGCGACAAUCUCCCCCCCCCCUCUCAAAUCUACGACCUCCUCGUGGUAACCAUAUGGAGUACAAGGAAAAGACGCUUGUAAACGCACUAAUGACGCUACCCGGACUACUUGCACACGGAAUGGUUGUUGUUUCCUUUGCUUUGUUCUUCGUCAUGUUGCUGCACAUCCCGAAGAGCUUCCUCACGUUCCUCUGCAAGAACUUGAACUUGAACUUGUCCUCCUGACGGCAAUCAUUAUCUUCUGCCUUUUGAUCCAGAGCUUGUAAGGCUUGCAUGAUGUCAUCGAACGCAUCGAAGAGGUAGUGGAUGUUCUUCCUGCAAGCUGUGGAACAUGUACGAUCAUGCUCCUACGAUUCUGGCCCGUCGUCUUCUAGAUCCUCCUCUUUGCCCUUGUCUUGACGGUGGCCAUCUUGCUCCUUGCUCGUCUUCUUGCCUUCAGCCCGAUCCCAGUACGUGUUGUCAUCUUCUUCAUCGUCACGGCCUGCAGCACCCUAUGAUCCAUUGUCUAUCUUGUAUGAAAGAAUCAGAAGCUUGUUCUCCUCAGGGUGUCUUGCGCGGUGCAGCGUUUGCAAGUGCAAGGCUUGCUAGUUCUUUUUACACAUUGUAAUGUUCAUUGCAUGCUCUAAUUGUUCUACAUUUGUAAUUUCUUGGUGAAGUUUGGUUACUGAUCCACUGUUUGAUUAACUCUUGGGCCCAAACACUGUACUACUUCUGAUUAGAUAUCUGUAUCUUAACUUUGACCAAAAAAAAUAUCCGGCAGUUUUUGCCAUUAAAGUUUCAUAAAUCAUCUUGCAAAAAUCGUACUAUACAACAAGGGACGGUUUAUUAUAAAAUAUACGUUCCCCUUAUCACAUGCCACUUCCACUCAAAAGGCAACGAAUCAGUUUUCAAUCCUGAGUGAGCAAUUUGCUUUUAUUACCGAUGCCUCCUAUUCCCUUGUGCACCAAGUUCAUUUUGGAUAGGACUGCAAAAAGCGACUAACCAGCUCGGAUUCUCCACCUGCAAAACCGCAUCUGCAGCAACCAACCCCACGCGGUGGAAAAAAAAACAAAACCCAGAAACCGGACGGGGGUGGAUGUGGGGCUCGGAGCCCAAGCAAAAAAAAGGAUCGGGAGCGCCGGAGCAGGCCAUCACCGGAUGUUAGAGAUAGAAAAUGGUUGAAGUUGGAGUGGAAAUCAAACAAGCCUUGGAGCAAAGGAAAAAAAAGAUCAAACCACUCAAGCAUUCAUUUGAUUUAGAAAAGAGAACAUUUGUUAAGGUGGGGAGUUGAAAUCAUCUUUUAAUUAGUUCCACGUAUCUGGUAUCAUUACAGUUGGUUUACUUGUGUAAGUAUAUAAGUAGCUCUGCCGAAGCCUUUGCUCCUAUAAUUUAGUAACUAGUACAAAUGGAUCAUUAGGAAAAUCAAGUUGCAAUCAUUUCUCAGCCAACCAAACCUAUCUAAAUCAAAUUAUUGUCCAUGCCCGGCAUGCACAGGUGCCUGCCAUGCAUGCAUUGUUGCUCCAUUGUAAUAACCAUUAUUGUCCAUUGAUGUUCCAGCGCAUGUGUGCACUGUGCAGACACCAAGCAUCGAGAUUAUGUACUAGUAAGGUACCAAGAACACGUGAAGCACACGGGGGAGGCUGCUCCACUCGGCAUGCACAGGUGGGGCACGGCACCACUACUCGUCUCCUUCAGGCAGAGGACAAGUGAUGUACGCUGAUCAACCACUAGUAGAAAAACGACUUUCCAUCCGCCCCUUUUGUCCCGGUUUAAAGUUGGCCCGGGACAAAAGGUUCACCAACCGGGACUAAAACUCGGUCACUGGUGGGGGGCUCACCAACCGGGACCUUUUAUCCCGGUUGCAAAGGCUAGUGGGAAAAAAAGACUCUGAGAGGCCUUUUAUCCCGGUUUGAAACACCAACCGGAAUAAAAGGUGGUCUUUUAUCCCGGUUGGUGUUUCCAACCGGGAUAAAAGGGUCCCCCACGAGUUAAUACAAAAGGAUAGUAUCCCCUAUAUAGUCAGAUGUGGUGUGUAGGUGGGAUGGCAAGGAAGCUACGCGCGAGGCUGGAGGUUGUGGGUUUGAAUCCCACGAACCGCGCACCCCCACCACGGCAAACGGAGGUGAUGGCGGAAGGUGAGGCAACGACAGUAGCUGGUGAGCUCCCGCUCCAAUGUCUCGCGAGUGAAGGAGGAGGAGGUGGCAUGGGAAUCGAAGAGGAGGCCGCCGCUGGCGGGUUUAGACUACGUGGAUGUGUGGGUAGGGUUAAGGUGACGGUGUGGACUAGUAUAUAUAAGAUGUCUGGGCUUGUUAGAAUAAGAUAACAUUCUAACCGGCCAAAUUCGGACCCGGUUAGAUUAAAUUGAUAUUCUAACCGGUCCUAUUUCUAGGUGGUAAGAAUAAGUUAACAUUGUAAUUGGCUUUAUUUGGAACCCGAUUGAAUCUUCUUGUUAUUCAAAAAAACAUCAAGUUCAUCAAUUUUAAUCCAGAAAAACAUCAAGAUAAUUUAAGCACGAUAUAUAACAAGAUUAAUAAAUUUAAUAAUUGUUUGAUCCACAAAUUAACGAUAUUUAACAAAUUCAAAAAAUCCAAAUUAACAGAACACAAUAACCAAUUGUUCGAAAAAAUCAAAAUAAUCCACACACAUUAAUAUAUUACAAAUUCAGAAAUAUAUCAAAAUAAUCCCCGAUCCACUCGAUACCGUCAUAGGACUUUUAAAUACUGAGCUUCUUGAUUCGUCUGAGGUCCACGUACUCGUCUCAGUAACACUAGUGAUGGCCAUGCAUCUUGUAGAUGUCUUCUAACGAAUCAAGCUUGACGUACAAGGUCAUGCCUUCCGCUCCUUGAGGAUAACCAUCUUUGGUGAUCUUGAAAUGGCAGACGGUGGAUGUGCCAAAGGUACGUAACGAUCCUUCUAAAUGUAUGCCACCACAACUUCCGUCUGAUCGCCAUGGGUGACACCAAGAAGAGCUACCAUGCGGCAAGGGACGAACAAUUUAUCAAUUAGUGCCGCUGUCCAUUCGCCAUCAUCUAAUCCAGCCAUAUCUUGAUGUAUAUUUAAGUAUAGAAAUUAAGAUUUAAAAAUAAACAGAAUAAAUUGAGAUCGACUAUGUAUGUAUAUCAGAACAUUAGCUUUUGGAAAAAGGGCUUCGAUGGAAGAGAGGCACGGGGCAUAGAGACAACAACGAGUGACAAUAUGUCAGAAGAAUACCCGAUCACAAUUAUUGGCUACAGGACGGGCACACACAGCCGAUAUUUACAGUAGUCAAUACCCCUGGUAAAUAACCACACCAUCAAGAGUAAAUAGUGACAAUAUGCAGUAUAUACACGACAUAGCCUUGGUUGCCGUGGAAGCGCCAGAAGGGAGACAAAUAACAGGGACCACAACAUCAAGUAGAUAGUGACAAUAUGCAGAAGAAUACCCGCGCCUGUUAGCAUGUGUGAACUGACCACACCACGAAACGUGAUACACGGCAAGCGUACCAAGGCCUUGCUGUGCAGACUAUGCAUGGACAACACAUGGUACCUGACCGCUUUUGGCCUCAGACACAUCGAAAAACUGCAUCGUUCCACGUUGUACAUCCAUUGCUAGUUUAUCUAUAUUACAUAAUAUAUUAUUAGCUAUUUGAAUAGAAUGAACCAAUUAAAAAAUUGCGUUGUAUUUUAGUACCGGCUGCAGGAUGGUGUUACCAACCAGUACUAAUUGGCCUGUAGGAGUGAUGGUUAUUAGACUUGGUACUGUUGUUAGCAUCAUUAACCUAAUUGUGCGCGGUAUGAAUUUGGGGAUGCAAAGCUAGCUCUCUAUGAAUGUGAGGGAUGGAAAGCUAGUUCUCUAGUAGUAAUUAGCUAUAUAUAUAUGUCAGUCAAGAAAUCGAACACUAUGCUGCUACGAGUCACCAUCAUUUCCUUCAUUGACAAUCUGACAUAGGUGAAGCUGCUUCAAGAAUUUCCUUCGCGCAGUCGUGGAGCUUAUUGGAUUAUCACCAGGACGGGACACGGAAAUGGCCAGCAAUGAAGCUGAUUGCCGUCUGAGGAAGAUUACAUACUUACCUAUGAAAUGAAGCGAUUGCAUAGACUAAUGAAGCAUUGCAUAUUUGCAUGUGAGUGUGGCAGAUAAUUCUGCAGGACAUGAUUGCAAUCCACGCACCAUCGAGAAGACUGGGGCGAUGGGGUUGCCUCAUCAAUAAUCACGUGGAUGCAUGCAUGCAUGUUCCCGCAACCGGACAAGGGUCUGAUAUAUGGCUAUAGUAUUACUGAGCCCACAUCAAUAAUUUCCGCUGGUGUAUCGUGUGGGAAGAAUCAACAUACUACACCUCGAGUUCUUGGAACUAACUGACGUUCACAUGCAACCUCCACAAGGUGCUGUAUAUAUGCUUUUGACAUUCACCUGCCAGUUCGUGUAGAGGACACCCUAACGUAUGGUUAAUAUUAUCCAUUUCAUGAGUAAAAUACUGUGAUUCAAAAAUACUUCAAAUCCCUUGAGACAAUACUUCUCACUUGACUAACCACUAACCAACCCCGAAACCCUAACUCAACUCCGAACCCUAACACCUAACGGCAUAACCACUCCGUUUUGCCAGCCAGAUGGAGGAACUGGCUGGGAGGGAGAGAGGGCAGCGGUCCAGGGUUGAAAACGACGGGCGAGCGCAGUAACAUGUGGAGGAGGAAGUGCCACGUAUUCGUUCACCGCUAUUGGGCAGCGACACACAACACGCCCAAUAAGAUUUUCGCACGGUAGAAGGGCGCCAUGUAUUCAAUAAUGUUAUUGGUCCUCCAUGUGCAGAAGGGCGCGUAUGGAAUAACAAGUAGGGACACUGCAACUAAUCUACUCUGCUCGUCCAGUCCCUAGCCUAUAAAUAGAUGCCAUGCUAGCUCUUGUUGUGCUCACAGUUAAUCCGAUUACACACGAGCUUCUCUCCCUGGCCAAGACACAAUCAUAGUAUGAUGAAGAACAUGGCACUAGCCGGCAAUGGUAUGAAGAAGUUAAUCCUCGCUGUUCUCUUACUGUGUCUAGUUAUAGGGCAGAUACAAGUGGAAGCUAAGAGCUGCUGCCCAUCCACCACUGCAAGAAAUGUCUACAAUACCUGCCGUUUGACGGGUGCAUCCCGUCCAACGUGUGCAAAACUGUCAGGCUGCCAAAUUAUCAGCGGGAACAAAUGCAAGCCCCCUAACGACCACCUCACCCUUGACCCGGACACUGGUAAAUAAUAAAUUUAUCUCACUUGAUUUCUUUGUGUUUUGAGUCGUUAAUGUAUUUUCCAUCUGAUGAAACGCAUUGGUUUUGCAUUGAAGAGGAAGUUAAUGUGCUUAACUUCUGCAAGUUGGGGUGUGCGUCGUCUGUGUGCAACAACAUCAACGCUGGUAAGCACCUUUUGCUCAGACAGAGAAAACAAUAAUCAUUAAUUAGCGGCAGCUAGAAUCCUAUAAUCUAAUAUAUAUAUAUAAUUUUAUCAGCUCUGGGAAAUGAAGAGGCGAACGAUGCCGUUGAGAGUUGCGACCAAGCCUGCUCUAGCUUCUGCAGCGUGCAUGUUGGCAGCGCCACCGUGGUUGCUUAAGCAAAUGCAUCCAACUAGAUCGUCCUUGUGCUGAAUAAUUGGAUAUCGUAUCCACUUAAAGCUGCCUUGUGUAGUACGUCUUUGUGUCUCUCUUUAUAUUCCAAUAAGGUCGGUGAUCUUGAUGCCACACACUCAGAUGUGUGUUCAUCUCCAGAUACUACUCCAUGCUACCUGCCCUUUGUGUUUUGUUCAAUAACUGGGUAUCAUAUCCCAACCAGUAUGCCGUCUGUUUUGUGUUUGUUUCCUUCUAGUUCCAAAAGGGUCAUCAUGAUGUUACCUUCUUUCAAUAUGGUGCUUUGCAUGACUACUGUUGUAUGGUACCAUCUUGUGGCCAAUAAGUACAUCUUAUCCUAUGACCCUUUGCUAUGACCCUUUGCAAAUAAGUAGAAGAUUGUUAUAAGCGUCAAUACUCAGUAUAAUUGAUCGCUGCUGUGAGUUCCCUUUCAGCUUAUCGUAGGCAUACAUUAUUGCUAGCACGGUAAAGCCAACCAACACGAAUGAUGAAGUAAACGUAGCGGUACUUCUGUAUACCAACACCCUUACUUAAAUGUACCGGUGUCAUUCCCUACUGGCACAUAUAUUCUUAUAUGCUAGCCAGCUUGUAAAAUUAACCAAUUAAAAUAAUUAUUUCAAGAUAGAAAUAACUUAUCGGCUUCUGGAAGCAUGUGUAAUGUGAAUUCAAGGACUCGACGGAAGUUGAAUCACUUCAUCUAUAUUGCUUUCAGGAUUUUGGGUAACUAAAUUUAACAUUUGCACAUACAAAUGUUAAAGUACAAAUGUUAAAUCUAGUUACCCAAGCAGAAUAUGAAGAUAGUUUAUAGUAUAUAUAUACUAUAAAUAUACUAUAUAAAUCUAGUUAACAUUUAGUCUAAAUGUUAAAUCUAGUUACCUAAAAUCCUGAAAGCAAAAUGUAUAAAUAUAUAUCUUUUAAGGCAGUAUAAGCUUCGAUUCCUAUUGCUGCUCUGUUAAAUCUCAUCUUUCGUUGUGGCCCAACACUCUAGUAUGCAUGUUGCACCAAGCUUCUUUGAGCCGCUCUGCCCUCUGAUUUUGCUGUGUAGGGGAAUCUUUAUCAGGUUGGGCUACUUCCAGUUGUGCGAUGUAAAGAUUCGUAUUUUCUAGAAGGUAGACAAAAAACUCGCGUUCUCUUAAGGCAACAACCGGAAGAUUCUGCAGCGCAUAGGGCAUACCAUUAUUGUAGAAACGACCUUUAGUACCGAUCUCCAACCCCCUUUAAAACUGGUUUUGCAACCGGUACCGUUAUGUCGGUCCUUUAGUACCAGAUCAAAUAACCGGUACUAAAAGAGUCAACUAAAAGGACUCUUUUAGUACCGGUUGGUAACCAGUAUCAACUUGUUUUGUGGCCAAAAAAAUAAAGAAAAAAACAGUCAGAAGGCUCGCACACACGCGCAUCACAUGAAAUAUGCGUGUGCGGGGUCCAUGGGAUUCGAACCCAUGAAAUCAAGCUACGCGCGACCCUUCGUUACCAUCUCACCUGAAGUAACCCGUGGAGGAGGCUUUAGUACCGGGUCAUAACACCACCCGGUACUAAAAGUGACUCUUCAGUACCGGGUCAUAACACCACCCGGUACUAGUAUCGGAUGGUGUAAUGACCCGAUACUAAAAGGCCUCUAGGGACCCUCAAAUUUGAACCCGGUACUAAUGCUAAUAUUAGUACCGGGUCAAAGUGCAGCCAGAACUAAAGCAUGGGAUGAAAGGUCAUAUUUCUAGUAGUGUAUAGUUGUUGUGAAGGACUUACUUGGCUGUCCUCUCUCUUCUCCAUCCCCUUGGUCUUACGCCGCCGCUCGCACGCGAGCUGGUGCCCAACCAGAGGAGUGAGAGCUAGGGGCAGGUUGGGAGGUGGGGAUAGCGACUGGUGGCCAGGGUGAUGGUUGAUCCUGGCGGGGUUAGGGUUUUAGGGUUUUCGAGCUUCCUAUGGUCGGCGAACCUAGAGGAGGAGCUCAACAUCAGCUGCAACCCGCGAUGGUGGUGGUUUGGCCAGCGCCCGAGGCGAGGCAGCGCGGGAGUGCUGCCGGUGGGUUGGUGUUGGCACUCAUUAUUGACAACUAUUUUGUUCAUAAAAUAACACUCAAACUUGCUGCUGCUGCCGCCGCCAUCGCCACCCUAGCCAUAAUAUAAAGGCAAAAUUUGCUAAAGGACAUGCAAAAUGAUGCUAGUUUGCUGGCGGGCAUCGUUGACCUUGUAAUAUGCUACAAGACACUCUAGUUGUGUAUCAAUUUGCUGAAAGACAUUGCUAUGACUAAAAUAAUGUUUCUGGACUGAGUUGGAGAGAGAGAUGGAGUGAAAUGUCUGUUUUGCCCAUGACCCCACUGGUCAGAUCCUUCUUCUUCCACCCUCCUUUGUUCUUUCUUCAACCAUUACCCAGCUCCAGCGUGUUGCAGAUCUACGAGGGUGGCGGCCUGGGGCGAGGGGCAUUGCUCGCCCUCGGAGGAGCGCUGCGAGCGACGGCGCGGGGGCGGCAACCGCGCGUCAGAACCUGACUGUUCGUUAGCUCCUCUCGCUGCUGGGGAAGAAGGAGGGGGAUGGGCCAUGGACGGGGUUCCCUUGAAAACCUCAGCGUCGAGCUCGGGCGGCUACGCGCAGGCAGCACUAGGCUGCUUCACGGGGAGGGGGCGCGGCCAAUCAUUGGCACCCCACUGGUCCAAUGCUGAUGAAGAUGGUGCCAGCGUCGUGUGAGGACAUCUCAUCUCCUCGAGUUCCAUGGCCAGCACAGGUGAGCUGCCGCUACCACAAAACAGAGAUUUCGUGAGAGUCAAAAAACCUUAUGAAAAUAGCUAAAACCAUCAUGAAAAUAAUCCGUGACAUGACACUCUCACGAAAAUCCUCUCACAAAUAUGGUGCCAUGAAAAUACCAUUUUCAUGAGAGUGAACUGUCAUGAUUUUAUUUCGUGAGAGUAUUUCCUAUCAAUGACCUCCACGAAAUACUUUGUGCCACCAGGUCUUCAAGAUCAUUUUCAUGAGAGCUGAACAUCAGGAAAAGUCCGCCACAAAUGUUUUUCUUGGAGCCUCUAACUCUCAUGAAAAUCAUGCGGGCCGCCACGAAAAACAGCAUGACCAAAUGACAAAUUUUAUUUUCAUGUGUUCAUACCGUGAAAAUGGUCAUUUUCAUGAGAGUUGAUGAAACAAAAAAUAGUGCCAUUUUCAUGAGAGUUCAAGCAACCAGGAAAAGACACUAAUAAACAUCCAGAUCCCAUCCAGCACACAUCCAUGCACACAUAUAACCCACAUAUUGCUCCAGCACACAUCCAUGCAUAUACAAGAUCCAAAUGUUAAUAUAGUAGACAUCCAUGCCUGAACUAGUCUGCCACACAAGUCAUUGAUGCUACAAAUCCUACAAUCGCAGCAUGUGCAUACAAGUCACAGAAUGAGACAAUGUACCCAAAACUAAAAGGUUAGCAUCAACUGUGCUUCAACCAAAGUUGUCAUCCCAACUCUCCUCUUCAUCCAUGCCAUUCUUGUCAUGGCCGUCACUGUCAGUCCCCAUGGCAUUGCCAAUGCUGUGCAUGUCUUGGUAGGAACCUACAUGUGAUGAACCAGUAACCUGCAAAAAGAACUCAAAGGAUCUUGUUCUCAUAUUGUUCUCAUAUUGUAGCUGUGAAAUUCUUACAAGUAGUGUUGCAAUCAGUUCACUUUGAACCAAAAGAGCUCAAAGGAUCUUGUCCUAAAAGUUCCUCAUAAAGCUUAUGGGUUUGCUGGUGGAACUGGAAGGGCUUGAUGCAGCAGAUGCCAUUCUGCAAUAGAGAAAAAUUUAGAGAGCAGUAAUAGUUAAAAUUGGAUGCAGCAGAUACACAUGAAACUAGUAUUUAUACAAGUCUAUACAAUUAAAAUCUAAGGAGACUUAUCAUCGUUUUCAUGUGUUGCGAAUUAAAAUAAUGAAGGAUACACUGUUAGGUGAAAAUUCAAGAAACAAAAUUUUGCAUAGAGAUAAAGGUCCAACAUUAUUACAAGUUAAGGUAGUUUUAAAUAUCCUUGUAAUCUUCCUUUGGUUUCCUCAACGAUUCGAAGACAAUAACCUUGCUUCUAUCAAUGAUAAUUAUAAGGAGAAUCCAGUGGAAACUGUGUAUUCAUAUUAGAACUACCUAAGGUUAAUUAGGUUAGGAAAGGAAAUCGAAAAUAGAUGGUACCCACACUUACUUAAAGUUGUCGGGCAAUAGUAUGUAAUGCUUGUAAUUCCGUUGCUCCAAGAAUUUGUAUAUGUGGUCCAAUGUAGACUUUGGUUGAUCCCGUAUCUGCUGUUGGUUAAAUAAGUGUUUCUAGCCAUUUCUAGCCAUUAGAACUGGGACUAAAGGGGGCUCUUUAGUACGGGUUGAUAUUACUAACCGGGAUUAAAGAGCCCCCAUUAGAGUUGGUUUUUGGAUGCGGAACUAACAACUCCUUUAGUCCUGAGUACGAAAACGACUGAGAUAUUUGUUGCUUGGUUGAAGGUCCUUUCUCUACCGUGAAUAUUGCCAGAAAGAAUUGAAAGAGACUGCUUGCUAAAAAUAUGUCAUAGAUGUAGACCAAGCUACCAAGGAGGUAGCACUAGUAGAGAAUUGACUUUCGAGCCGCCCCCUUUUAUCCCGGUUUAAAGUUGGCCCAGGACAAAAGGGGGUGCGCCGGGGUGCGGAAAUUUGGAGGGGAGCAUUACUCCCGGUUGGUAAUUGCAACCGGGACUAAAGGCCCCCCUUUAGUCCCGGUUGCAACGGCUAGCUGGGGGGCAUCGGUGGCCGGACCCUUUUAUCCCGGUUGGAUCCUCCAACCGGGAUAAAAGGGACUCCCUUUUAUCCCGUUGGAGGAACCAACUGCGAUAAAAAGUUUAGUCCCGGUUGGUGCCUCCAACCGGGAUAAAAGGGUGUCCCUUUUAUCCCGGUUGGAGGAUCCAACCGGGACUAAACUUCCAACCGGGACAAAAGGUGUUUCCUUUUGUCUCGGUUGGAGUUUUUAACCGGGAUAAAAACUCAUCCCCCACUAUGUCCCGAGACAUAGACUUUCUUCUUCCUCCAGCCCGAGCCAGUCCAGCACAUUGAUAGAGAGCUGAGCUUCACCUACUCUCCGGUGGUGCCAAAGCAAGGGAGGUGCUGCCCGAAGUUUUUUCCCUCAUUUUCGUGGGAAUUUGACUCAGCCAACACAAGUGUUGCGAAGGUUUGCUACUUCAUCCUCGUGUUAUGCUUUGAUUUAUGCUUUGGAGAUGGAAAGAUUAUUUGCUACAAUGUGAUGAUGAAGUAGAAAAAUGGAGAGGUAUUUUGAGCUAGAAUGUGAGGGAGAUUGAUGUGUCAUAUAUAGUAUGCAUUAUUUCAGUGGUUUAAAAAUGAUGCUACCUUGUCUAGACGGUUUAUCUUAUCAAAUUCAAUAUGGUUUUUUAAAUCCAUAUACUUGUUGAACUUGCAUACCGUGUUCAUUUCGGCGAGAAUGUUCUCCGCCGAGCAGCAACGUAUGUCAAGAAGGAGGUUCGAUUCUACGAGAAAGAGUGGAUACGGACAUCGUGACCAUGUCCCCUUUUCCGUAGCAUCUAACCUCUUUCAUGACGAAGUGCGGUGCCACCCAGCUGAGGACAUCCUCGCGAAAUGAACACGGUCUUCAAGUUCAACAACUUCUGUAGUGGUAAGGAAAGAAUUUUUGUACAUAGAUGACUUCUGCUACUUGUUGAACUUGCAUACCGUGUUCAUCUCUCCGAGGAUGUUUUCCGCCGAGCAGCAACGUAUGUCAAGAAGGAGGUUUGAUUCUACGAGAAAGAGUGGAUACGGACAUCGUGACCGUGUCCCUUUUUCCGUAGCAUCUAACCUCUUUCAUGACGAAUACCGGUCCCGCCUAGUUGAGGACAUCCUCGCGAGAUGAUCACGGUCUUGAAGUUGAACAACUUAUGCAGUGUUAAGAUGAUCACGAUCUUUAAUCGAUUUUCACGCGUAAUCCAUUAUCAAGUGUAAUCCAUUUUCAUGCGUAAUACGAUGCAGAUGGACUAGCAAUGGAUGUAUAAUGCAGACAGGCGGAGCAAGGCGUUUAUUGAUGGCUUGCAUUAUUUUCUCGAAGUGGCAAAAGCGAACAAGCCAGAGAAUGGGUUCGUAUGUUGUCCAUGCUUCCAAUGCAAUAACAGGAAGGAGUAUUCAAACGAUUCCUGGGGGACUAUUCACAGCCACUUGUUUAAAUACGGUUUCAUGCCUAACUAUUUGGUUUGGACCAAGCACGGUAAACUAGGGGUUGUAAUGGAAGAUGGCGAGGAGGAGGAGGAAGAUGACACCAUUCCGGACUGGGUUGCAGGCCAAGCUUUUGCAGGUACUACAAUGGGCGAGGCUGAUGAAGAUGAGUUUGCAGAAAAUGACCCUACUGAUGACCUUGGUCAGGUGAUACAAGAUGCAUACAGAGAUUGCGAAACUGAGAAGGAAGCAGCAAAGUUGCAGCGCAUGAUAGAUGAUCACCAAAAAUUGUUGUACCGAGGUUGCCAGCAGGACCAUAAAAAACUAGGUACGACACUAGAAUUUGUGCAAUGGAAGGCAAAAAAUGGUGUGUCCGAUAAGGCAUUUCAGGGGAUGUUGAACAUUGUCAAGAAGAUUCUCCCCGAGAAUAAUGAAUUACCGUCCACAACAUAUGAAGCUAAACAGAUUAUUUGUCCUCUUGGAUUGGAUGUUCAGAAGAUACACGCAUGCCCUAAUGACUGUAUCCUCUAUCGUGGUGAUGAAUACGAGAAAUUGGAUGCUUGUCCCGUCUGCGAAGCCCUGCGGUAUAAGAUCAGGCGAGAUGAUCCUGGUGAUGUCGAGGGGCAGUCUCCCAAGAAGAGAGUUCCCGCGAAGGUGAUGUGGUAUUUCCCUAUAAUACCACGCUUGAAGCGCUUGUUCAGGAACAAGGCGAAUGCUAAGUUGAUGCGAUGGCACAAAGAAGACCGUAAGGAAGAUGAGAUGCUGAGACACCCCGCAGAUGGGGCACAGUGGAGAUCAAUUGAUAGAAAAUUCCCAGACUUUGAAAGUGAAGCAAGGAACAUAAGGUUUGGUUUAAGCACUGAUGGAUUCAAUUCAUUGGGUGAGUUGAGUAGUGGUCAUAGUACUUGGCCUGUGACCCUUUGUAUGUUCAACCUUCCUCCUUGGCUGUGCAUGAAGCGGAAGUUCAUUAUGAUGCCGGCGCUAAUCCAAGGCCCAAAACAACCCGGCAACGACAUUGACGUGUACCUAAGGCCGUUGGUUGAUAACCUUUUACAGCUCUGGAAGGAAGAAGGUGUACGUGUGUGGGAUGAGGAUAGACAAGAGAUCUUUAAUCUACGAGCACUGUUGUUCGUAACCAUCAACGAUUGGCCUGCAUUGAGUAACCUUUCAGGACAGACAAAUAAGGGAUAUCGGGCAUGCACCCACUGUUUAGACGACACAGACAGCAUGUACUUGAAGCACUGUAAGAAGGUCGUCUAUAUGGGUCAUCGUCGAUUUCUCCCUGCUCACCACCAGCUGAGAAAGAGCGGGAUGCAUUUCAAAGGGGCGCCAGACCAUCGUAAAAAACCUGCACACCGUAAUGGAAAGCGUGUGUUUGAGAUGAUGAAGGAUGUAUAUGUAGUCUUCGGAAAGGGACUUGGUAGCCAACCUGUUCCGAACGACGAUAACGGACAUGCACCCAUGUGGAAGAAAAAGUCAAUAUUUUGGGAGCUACCUUAUUGGGAAAUCCUAGAGGUUCGCAACGCAAUAGACGUGAUGCACCUGACGAAGAAUCUUUGCGUGAACGUGCUAGGCUUCAUGGGUGUUUAUGGAACCUCAAAAGAUACAUUGGAAGCACGACAGGACCUGAAAGCCAUGGGGCAACGAGAUGACCUACAUCCGGAAAAGAGAGAUAAUGGACAGCACUACUUACGUCCUGCCAGUUACACUCUCAGCAAGGAAGAGAAGGAUAGCAUGUUUGAAUGCUUGAAUAGUAUGAAGGUCCCGUCUGGGUACUCCUCGAAUAUAAAGGGAAUAAUAAAUAUGAAACAAAAGAAGUUUACAAAUCUCAAGGCUCAUGACUGCCACAUGUUGAUGACCCAGUUGCUUCCGGUUGCACUGAGGGGUGUUCUACCAGAAAAUGUCCGGUUGCCGCUCGUAAAGCUAUGCGCGUUUCUCAAUGCGAUUUCGCAGAAGGCAAUCGAUCCAUCCAAGCUAUCAAAGCUACAGAACGAUGUGGUGCAAUGUCUUGUCAGUUUUGAGUUGUUAUUUCCACCAUCCUUCUUCAAUAUUAUGACGCACUUACUGGUUCACCUAGUAAAAGAGAUUGGUAUUCUCGGACCUGUAUACCUGCACAAUAUGUGGCCUUUCGAGAGGUGCAUGGCAGUCCUAAAAAACUAUGUUCUUAAUCGUGCCCGUCCAGAAGGAAGCAUCGCCAGGGGAUAUGGAACAGAGGAGGUGAUCGAGUUUUGUGUUGAUUUUAUUGAUUCAAUUGACUCGAUUGGGGUUCCAACUUCACGCCACGAGGGGAGGCUCCGAGGAAUGGGCACCAUUGGAAGGAAAUCAAGUUUGAGCAAUGAUACUGAUUUGUUCGACAAGGCACACUACACUGUUCUACAACAGUCAUCCUUUGUGUCUCCGUAUAUCGAGCAGCACAGGCAGAUGGUAGCUUCCAAAAACCCGACCAAAUCCGAUGCUUGGCUUACCCGUCAUCACAUGGAAACUUUUCCCUCCUGGUUGCGCCAACAACUUAUGGGUAACUCUGAGAUUCACCCACAGCUUGCCUGGUUAGCCAGGGGACCUACUACCACAAUCGUCGAAUUCCAAGGCUAUGAGAUAAAUGGUUACACAUUUUACACGAGAGCCAAGGACCAGAAAAGCACGAACCAGAAUAGUGGUGUCCGCAUAGAUGCCAUGGACAGAAAUAAUAGCAAGGAGUCGUAUUAUGGUUUCAUACAGGAGAUAUGGGAACUCGAAUACGGACCGCUGUACAUCCCUCUAUUUCUUUGCAAUUGGGUGAAGCUAACUGCCGUCACCAAAGAUCAGUACGGAAUGACAAUAGUAGAUCUGAGCAAGACUGGAUACAGUGAUGACCCAUUCGUACUUGCCAAUGAUGUGCAUCAGGUGUUCUAUGUGAAGGACAUGUGCAGCAAACCCAAGAGGAAUCCAGAAGAGACAUGGGAGCCAAAGUGCCACAUAGUUCUUCCAGGUAAAAGAAAAAUCGUGGGAGUCGAGGAUAAAACAGACCAAUCAGAUGAUUAUGAUCAGUUUGAUGGCAUGCCUCCAUUCGCCGUUGAAGUUGAUCCAAGCAUCCUGCUAUCCAAAGAAGAGGCUCCGUACUUACGCCGCGAUCAUGAUCAAGGAACUUUCGUGAAGAAGAAAUUUUACAACGUUGUAUUGUAAUGCGUUAAAUGUACAUGACCUUUGUGUAUUAAUUGAUACAAUUUGUAAUGUACCCUAUGUAUGAUUUCAUGUGUUAUUAAAUUUGUUAGGUGAAGAUUUUUUAGAUAAACAUGAACAUUGUUAACCACAUACUAACAUGGAUUUUUCUGCUGUUGACGUCGGAUUUCGUCAUCAGUAGAAUCGGCGCCAAAGAGGAAAGAAAUCGAAGGAGGACGGAUGGAAAUCGGCCAAAAGGUGUUACAGUGCGGAAUCGGUCAAGUGGCUUUUACUUCGCUUCAGAGUGAAUACGCCGGGUUCCCAAUCGGCAAUCCUUUGCUGAUAAGAAAUCGGCCGAUCAGGAAGGUGGACUAAGGUGGGCCUGUAUGGGCUUGGAAAGAUGGAAGGAUAAGGUGGAGUUCAGCCCAUGAAGCGUGGGGUAAUUAGUUUAGCUCGGAUUGUGCUUGUAGAUAUUUGUUUUCUGUUUAAAUUAGAGAUAGAGUCCUAGUCGGUUAAGAAGAUUAUUUGUACGGGGCUAUAAAUAGCUACCUUUGUAAAUCUGUAAAAAAAAAACAAUCAAUCAAUACAACAAGUUACUUUAUUCUUCGUACUUACUUUCGAGCAGGCGACUUCGCCAUCACUUUUCCUUCUCACGAGUUCGUGCGGGUUGGCAGGGCUGCAUCAUCUUGAUCUCCGGCCGAUUCUGUAAGUUCCGUUUAUCGAGUAAUAUCUAAGCUUUAACUUCCGGCGCAUCGCUGUUGUUUCGUUUAGAUUUUAUUCAUCAGUUAUCGAUAUCGACUAGAUUCAUAGGUUUUUACCUGUUCUCCUAGUUUUUAUCACCAGUUACCCCGCUAGGAAUCGGUAGUAUCGGCUUUCAUUACUUUCUGUUACCAAAUCCAUCUGUUGCCGAUUAGAUCUUUUCCUGGUGCUGUUACUACGUGCCUUGUACCGAUUACUUUAAUAUUUUUCUAUCUACAAGGCUACGGGGGUCGUGCUGUCUUGUAGCCGAUUUCUUUACCACAGUAAAUCGGCCGAUCUGCCGAUAAGCUCUCUCGAUCGGAAACUUAGCCGAUCGUAGUUACUGAUUUUGACACGUGUUCUUCCUUGCCAAUCAACAGGUCAGAUUGGCUGGCACGCCGCGCGAACCGCACCAGGGCAUUCACCCGAACAGGAGCUAAGCAGAUUCUCCCGGGUCGUGUGUCGGCCGCUGGGAUUCGGUUGACCGAUUUCUAGCGCCAACACACUUUUGGCACGCCCGGUGGGACCAUUACAACCGCUGUCUUGUCGAAAGCUGCUGAAGUCUCCGAAGAUAACGUCAUCGAAGUGACGGAGGCAGAUCUAAAGGACGACCAAAAAGAAGAUCUAAAUCAGUAUUUGGAGCAAGUCCGGAAAACUUGCUUGAAAUCCUUCAGUCGUUCCAGGAGCGGGGAAACUGUUAAAAAGUCUCCUUUCCCUACUCCCCGCCAGAUCACGAUUUCAGAAGAUUCGGACAAAAUGUCCGAUAUGAUUCAGCAAUCUCUUCAUCACGCCUUCAUCAACCAAUCCCCGGUACUUUCAAACAUGGUGCACAAUGCUGUUGUCAACUCUUUCGCCGGAGGUAUACCACAGGGGUACAGGGGGCCUACGUAUUUUCAGCCGAUUCCACCAAAUCAGGCUUAUCAGGCUUCACAGCCGAUCCAAUCCUCUGUCGGAGGAUCUGGUGCUUCUACGUCAUCAACUCCUUUGGGAUACGGCUCCACUGCACCACUCCCUCCAGUCAUUCCUUUACCCUGGGGGGCACCCUUAAACACGACCGGUUUGAAUCAAUCGGUCAGCCAAGGAAAUCCUCCGUUCCAGACACCCUCCCAAACGGCCACUCGGCCGAUCAUACCACCAUACCAGCCUAUCGCUCCGGAGGUCAACAAGACGUCAGAGCUCAUGCUAUAUGAUGGAACAAGUGGUUCAUACAAGCAGCCGUCCUUUACUACACCGCCGGCUUAUACUCAGAUACCACCUUUUCAUCAACCUCCUUUUAUUCAACCUCCGAUUUAUCAACAUGUGCCGAUUCCGCCGCCAAUUAUUCCCCAACAACAACCGGAUUGGACGGCGCAAAUCGCGGAGGUAAUGCAAGAACAAUUCGGACUGAAGCCGAAGGUGCAAACUUAUACCUACAGGACACCAUACCCAUCUACGUACGACUUGUUGCCGUUUCCCCAUCGGUACAAAGUCCCGGAUUUCACUAAAUUUUCCGGAAUAUAUGAUACUUCUACCGUGGAACAUGUGAAUAGAUUCAUCAUCCAAUGCGGAGAAGCAGCUACGCAAGAUGCCCUACGGGUACGGUUGUUCUCGUCAUCUUUGUCUGGAUCGGCUUUCCAAUGGUUCACCACUUUGCCACCAAACUCGAUUAUCACAUGGGCCGAUCUAGAGAGGCAGUUCCACAAGUACUUCUAUGCUGGAGUCCACGAAAUGAAGUUGUCUGAUUUAACUAGCCUCCGGCAACGAAGUGAUGAGCCGAUACCCUCGUACAUACAGAGGUUUCGGGAAAUCAGAAACAAAUGCUACUCCUUGGCUCUAACCGAUGCGCAGUUGGCCGAUAUAGCUUUCCAAGGCCUGCUGCCACACAUUAAGGAGAAAUAUGCUUCGCAAGAAUUCGAGAGCCUGAGCCAGAUUGUCCACCGAUUGUCCGGACAAGAGGUGCGUCCAUUCGAUCCAAGAAGGAAUUUCCAGAAGAAAGUGGCGUUCCUGGAAGAAUUAGAGGACGAGGAAGACGCCGACAUCGGACUUGCAGAGUGGAUUAAAGGAAAGAAGCCGAUAUCAUGCCCGUUCGGCAAAAAGGAGCCGGAAGCAUUUGGUUUCGAUACAACUAAAGCUGACAAAAUCUUUGAUCUUCUACUCCAGGAAGGACAAAUUAAACUCUCGCCUUACCACACGAUACCCUCUGCCGAACAAUUGAAGAAGAUGAAGUAUUGCAAGUGGCAUAACGCCACAUCACAUGAUACCAACGCCAUUGAGCAAGGCAGACUCAAAUUUGAAGUGCCGGCAAAACUGGCUAAACCUAUGAAGAUUGAUCAACACCCUUUUCCUACCAACAUGGUGGAUACGGGUAAGAAUCCCCUCCAAACAAAAGUGCUGACGUCCGAAUCGGCAAAAAGGAGCGGCUCUGUCGACCCCAGAAAUCAAGUUACACCCGAAGACAUCAAAGGGAAACGGCGAAUGGAGGACGACGAUGGUGAGUCUGAUAGACCACGUAUUACUUCCCAGUUCCUGCUCCAAAAGUACCAACGCCAACAUGAACGAUCGAGGUCCCGAGAGGAAGCAAUGCGUCGACACGAAGAACACUGGAGAUGCCCAUUCUUCAUCCAUUGUUGGGAAAAUAACCUCAGGCUUCCAUCAGCCGAUACUUGCCCAGAGUGCAACGGUCCCUAUCGAAGCAAUCGGCCGAUUACAAGGUCUCGCUCCAGAGACGGAAGGCCAGAACCGAUCAGCAGGAAUCGGCGCAACCCAGAUGAUCAGCGCCCUUCCAUGCGUGAUCGGCUGGGGGGCAGAAGUGACCGAUAUGAUCGGUCAGAAGAUAGAAGCCAUAAUAGGCAGGGGGGCAGGACCGAUCGACAUGAUCAAUCAAGUAGCAAAGCCAGCGUUCACAGUCGGCUCCAAGACAUGGCCGAUGCUCGGGUAACAGACGAGAACCCGUUAGGACGCGAGCCAGAAUGGGAACGCGCCAGGAAAGAAGGGAGGCCAAUAAACCCCAGAUGGUGUCCCGAUGGUUUGACCAAAUCACAAAAACGAAGAGUCCAACGCCUCCGCCAAUGGGAACAGCAAGAAGAAGAAAGCGCGAUGGACAAGAAGGAAGGGAGGCCUCGGGUAUGGCGCCCCAAAGGAAACGACAAGGGCAACGAUGAAUCGGCGGGUGAUGAAUCGGCAGCCGAAAUCGGUAUGGUUUUCAUAUUGCCGACGGAGUUUAUGACCCCUGCCGAUCAACAGAACGUGUCGGCAAUAGAGGAACAAACAGCACGGUUGGCGUUAGAACCAAUGAUGGCCACGUUCGAAAAGCCCGAAGACGACGAACGACAACAUAUGAAGGCGUUGUUUCUUAAAGGGCAUGUUGACGGUCGCCCCCUCACUAAAUUGAUGGUCGACGGGGGAGCUGCCGUCAACAUCAUGCCGUAUGCCAUACUCCGAAAGCUGGGAAAGAGCGAUGACGACCUAACCAGGACGGACAUGAUGCUCAAGGACUUCGAAGGCAAGGUGUCAAACGCUCGCGGUGCCCUCUGCGUUGACCUCACCAUCGGCAGUAAGACCCUUCCUACCACGUUUUUCGUCAUUAAUGGCAAAGGGUCCUAUAAUAUGCUUCUUGGACGAGACUGGAUACACGCAAACUGCUGCAUACCGUCAACUAUGCAUCAAUGCCUGGUACAAUGGGUCGGCGACAACAUCGAGGUGGUCAAAGCCGACUCCGCGUACAGCAUCGCAGCAGCCGACGCACAGCAAUGGAGCUGCGAAACCGUCAGGUGCAUAUCAGGUAGGGUGUGGGAAACUGAUUUCCUGAAGGUCACCGAUUUUGGCCUACAGCCGAUCCGAGCAGUCGGCUCUGAAGAAGCGCAAUAAAUGGAUCAGUUCGCCCGAGAAGACGGGAAGCUGGGACACGGAUUCACGUCGGCCGAUUCAUUGGAAAUGGUAGAUUUAGGUGACGGGACCAAACCAAGGCCGACUUUUAUUAGUGCAAAUUUAGAUCCAGAGUACAAGUGUAAAUUGACAAAUUUAUUAAGAGAAUUCAAGGAUUGUUUUGCGUGGGAGUAUCACGAGAUGCCCGGAUUAGAUCGAUCUAUUGUUGAACAUCGGCUACCCAUAAAACCAGGGUAUCGGCCGUACCAACAACCCGCACGGCGAUGCAAUCCUAAAAUUUUACCAGACAUAAAAGCCGAAAUAACUCGGCUAAUUGAAGCGAAAUUUAUUCGGCAAUGUCGUUACGCCGAGUGGAUUUCUAAUAUCGUACCGGUGUAUAAGAAAAACGGGAAACUGCGCGUUUGCGUCGAUUUCAGAAAUCUUAAUCAGGCCACACCGAUGGAUGGCUACCCCAUGCCUACGGCCGAUGUACUGAUCGACGCUGCCGCGGGGCACAAAAUUAUUAGCUUCAUGGAUGGGAACGCCGGAUACAAUCAAAUACUUAUGGCCGAAGAGGACAUACCCAAAACGGCUUUCAGAUGUCCAGGCCAUCUUGGUCUAUUCGAGUGGGUGGUGAUGACUUUCGGUUUGAAGAAUGCUGGUGCUACAUAUCAGAGGGCCAUGAACUAUAUUUUCCACAAACUCAUCGGCCUCCUGGUGGAGAUCUACAUCGACGACGUUGUGGUCAAAUCCAAAAGCCACGAGGAACACCUAGCCGAUUUGCGAAGGGUCCUAGAGUGUACCAAGAAACAUGGUCUUAAGAUGAAUCCCAACAAAUGCGCUUUCGGCGUCUCCGCCGGACAGUUCCUAGGAUUCAUGGUGCACGAACGAGGCAUUGAAGUCAAUCAGAAGACCAUAGCGGCCAUCAACAAAGUCGUCGCUCCGCAGAACAAAACUGAACUACAAUCUCUAAUCGGCAAGGUAAACUUCAUCGGAAGGUUUAUAUCUAAUCUAUCUGGACGGAUCCAGACGUUCACACCACUUCUGAAGUUGAAGCCAGACCAAGAAUUUAUUUGGGGAGAAGAACAGCGCAAGGCGUUAGAAGACAUCAAGCGAUACUUAGUCUCGCCCCCAGUCCUGGUUCCCCCCCAAACGGGUAAGCCGUUUAAACUAUAUUUAUCAGCCGAUGAAAAAGCUAUUGGGUCGGCUCUAGUCCAAGAGUUUGAAGGCAAAGAACGGGUGAUUUAUUACGUUAGUAGAAGACUCCUGGAUGCCGAAACAAGAUAUCCUCCAGUAGAGCGUUUGUGUUUGUGUCUUUACUUCUCGUGCACCAAACUCAGACACUAUCUACUGUCGGCAGAAUGUAUAGUCGUAUGCAAAGAUGAUGUAGUGAAAUACAUGCUGUCACUGCCGAUAUUGAAAGGGCGAAUCGGUAAAUGGAUUUUAGCUUUAUCAGAAUUUGACCUACGGUACGAAUCGGCAAAAGCCAUCAAAGGUCAAGUCAUGGCCGAUUUCGUCGCACAGCACUGUGGGCCGGAGAUCGCCUUCGUGGAACUAGCGCCUUGGCAGUUAUUUUUUGAUGGGUCAUCAUGCGGAGUCGGAUCGGGAAUCAGCAUCGUUCUCAUAUCGCCUCGGGGGGCAAGAUACGAUUUUUCUCUGCCGAUAGAAACCGCCACCACAAACAAUCAAGCGUAAUACAGAGCUGUAUUAAAAGGCUUACGAUUAUUGAGAGAAGUCAAGGCCGAUUCUGUCGAGGUCUUCGGAGAUUCGAUGUUAAUCGUGGAUCAACUAACCGGGAAGGCUGAGUGCAAAGAUGACAUAUUACGAAUUCAUCACGAAGAUUGCCUACAGCUGUUAAAAGAAUUCAGAUCGGCAGUAAUCGAGCAUGUCCCAAGAGACCGCAAUGAGGAAGCGAACAAACUCGCUCAACACGCAUCUGGGUAUCGGCCGAUUCUAGGCGCCAUGGCCUUAGAGCUUGCAGCUGACGAUUGGCGCAAAGAAAUUGCCGAUUACCUAAAGGAUCCGUCUAAAAAGGUGGAGCGGCGAGUACGCUUUCACGCUACCAAAUACGUAUUACUCGAAGAUGAUCUGUUUUACCGAACGAUCGAAGGUGUUCUUCUUAAAUGCCUUGGGACAGAAGAAGCCAAGACUCUAAUGGGAGAAAUCCACGAAGGGGUAUGCGGAGCUCACCAAUCAGCACAUAAGAUGAAGUGGAUGAUCAGAAACAAUGGGUACUAUUGGCCUACGAUCCUUGAAGAUUGUUUCAAAUAUUAUAAGGGUUGUCAGGAGUGUCAAAAGUUUGGAAAUGUCCAGCAUGCACCUGCAUCGGCCAUGAAUCCCAUCAUCAAACCAUGGCCGUUCAGAGGGUGGGGAAUAGACCUUAUCGGCCAAAUUUAUCCACCAUCGAGCAAGGGGCACAAGUUUAUUCUGGUCGCCACCGAUUAUUUCACCAAAUGGGUGGAGGCAAUCCCAUUAAGAACUGUGACUUCGGCUAUCAUGGCCGAUUUUGUAAGGGAUCAUAUCGUCUACCGAUUCGGUAUCCCUCAAACUGUAACAACCGAUCAAGGAACGAUGUUCACAUCGGGGGAAUUUGAGGAGUUUACAACCGAUAUGGGCAUCAAAUUGUUAAAUUCUUCUCUGUAUUACGCUCAGGCCAAUGGUCAAGCAGAAUCUUCCAACAAAGGAAUAAUCAAGUUGAUCAAAAGGAAGAUUGAAGAAUACCCGAAGAAGUGGCACCUGUGUUUAACCGAAGCCCUAUGGGCAUACAGAAUGGCCUGUCAUGGGGCCACCAAGUUAUCUCCUUAUCAGUUGGUAUACGGUCACGAUGCAGUACUUCCAUGGGAAUCGAGGGCAGGAUCAAGGCGCAUUUCACUUCAAGACCAGUUAUCGGCCGACGACUACUCGGCACUUAUGAAAGAAGAACUUGAUGAUGUGGCCGGUCAUCGACUAAGGGCUCUGAUAAGUAUCGAAGAGAAUAAAAAGAGAGUGGCCAGGUGGUACGAUAAAAAGGUCAAAGUCAAGCAGUUCUCCCCCGGAGAUUUGGUAUGGAAGUUAGUACUACCGAUCGGGUCGAAAGAUCCUAAAUUCGGUAAAUGGUCUCCUACCUGGGAAGGGCCGUAUAAAAUCGGCAAAUGCUUAUAUCUUGGAAACAAUAGAAGGAGAAGAAUUCACUAGAGCUCUGAAUGGGAGGUAUUUAAAAAGGUAUUACCCAAGUAUAUGGGUCGGUGCCUAAGGAAUUAAACACGAUCAUACAUGACCGAUACGAUUCGGUCUUGAGACACACAUAAAGUCAACCGGAACGGCCGAUUACAUUCAUUCGGUACGGGCGACGGGUUACAUGGCCGACAAAAUGUUUAGUCGCCCUUAGAACAAAAAUACAGCAACUAAUUAUUCUUUUUCUUACGCUCCCUCUCAGCCCGACCUAACUCUAUCAUGAGUCGGAUGUAUUCUUCUUCUAUGGCCUUCAUUGAAAUCUCCGCUUCGACUUGACCGGGGAGAUCUACGGGAGGGCGCGAAGUCCCCACUCCCGCAUCUUCAAGAACGACUUGCCGAGGGAGUGGAUGACUCCUGUCAAUGGGAGGUCGACGGCUGCCAUUCCUCUCCACGAAGUCCAGGAUCAUUCGGGCCUCCGUGGCGAUGUCGUCUUCAAGAUCGCCACAACGAUCGCCCCUGACAGGUGGAGAUUGCUGGUUACUUUCACUCACCACGGAAUCCAAGACUACGCGAGCCUCCGUGGUAAUGUGAUCCUGGAGCUCUUCUCGGUGAGCCGCGAUCAGCAUCUUGUCCUCCGACGUUAAUGGAUCUUCGGAAUGAAUGCACUCAAUGGCGCGCACGAGCUCGGGGCUAAGACGUUGAGGCUGAAACAAAGAAGGGAUGAGGAGGGAUAUUCUCUUCCUUAGGGUCUAAAAAAGAAAGGAAGGUAGAGGUCAAAAAACUUCACCUGGUUAACAGAGGAAGAAGAAGAUGACGAGGCCAUAGCGAAGAAAUUGCACCGAUGAGAAGGGGCAGAAAGGUUGAACCGAGAGCCAAGAUUGAUGUUACCAGGAGUAAGCGCCGAGCUUGGUAUUUAUAAAAGAAUGCGUGGAAAUCUGGUAAAGCUACGUCCCAUCGGUAAUAAGAAGGCAAUAAAUAGAAAGGGCGUCGCGAGGGGCGGUCAAAGAAGGUAGUAAAUGAUUCGUACAAAACGGUCAGUGUUUUACAGAUUACCCAGAAGGGUAUCGAUGGCCGUGAUGGCCCGACGCCGGAUCUGAUCGGCAGAGUCAAGUACCCGUUGGUCUUCUUCCGCCGAUCCAGGAACCUCCGAUGCGCUGCGAUGGAGUCUCAGUGCCUCGUGAGCAAAGCGUUGCCUCUCCCGUGUUAAAUCGGCAAUAACAGAAGGUAGCUCUUCGAGUUUGUUCUCUUCGGCACUGAUUGCCUUGAUCACUUGCUCCAUUUCCUUGGCAAGCUCCGCCCUACGACGCUUGAGACGGUCUAUUUCUCCUAUGAUCGCCGGACGGGAAUCUUCUAGGACAUGGAUACGCCGAUUCGCCUCUUGAGCCUGACGUUUGAAAGCGUCUUCCUCUUCGCGAGCCUUGGUCAGCUUAGCGCGAUCGGCCAUGUGACGAAGGGCUCUGAAGACCGGGAUCCUCAUAGACUCGAUGAAGGCCGCCGGCGCCAGGGCCUCCUCCGCCUCUUCUGGUACUCGUCCGCUGACGUCAUUGAAGAGCUGCCGAAUCGGCGAGGCGUCUUCUACUAAUCGGCCGAUGUCCCCUUGAAGGAGGGAUCGGAUGCUGGAAAGUUUGGCUCGGACGUCGUCAGGAACGGAACUCAAGGCGACUUGGCGAGAAGCAACUUCUUCGUCGUCAGAGAGGGCGACCGCAAAAGAAAAGAGACUGUUGUCGGGGGUAUCCUGUUCCUGAAGAUAAUAAAGAAAAGAAAUGAACCAGCUGUAAGAAAGAGCAAAUCGGCUAAGAUGGAGGCCGAAACAGAAAAAUACCAUUUUGAAGCGAAUCUCCUCAUGUUGCACUUGAGAAGCCGCCAUGCCUUGCUCGGGGGCCUGCGCCAUGGGUUCAUCAGAUGGAGAGGACUCCACGAUAAUUGGCGCAGUGUUUGGACCAGCCUCCUGACAAGAAAUCGGCGAUCGAGGAGCGAUUGAUGUGCCGAUGGCCUGUGUCAGAAGUUUGAAUAAAUACGGUACGUAAAUGCCCAAAGGAAAUCGGUACGAGAAGUUCUAUACAUUAACGGAAGGAAACGGGGGCACGUCAAUAGCUGGAGGGGCUGCUGCCGAUUGUGGUACUUCUGUAGGGAUGCUCUGUGCAGUUUAAAGAUAAAAGAAAAAUUAAUAUCAAAAAUAAUAAUCGGAGACAGCGCAACUCAGUUUUACCUGUAUGGCCUCCAACAACAACGAUGCGGCGGCCGCCCCAGCUUGCGUCAUGGUUUGAGUAUCGGCACCUUGAAUGACUUGAGGAGGUGGUACGGCCGAAGUGUCUGCCGAUACGCUCACGGGAGGAUCCGCCGAUCCCGUACGAGCCCGGACUCGGCGACUGGUCUUCUUGGUAGUCCUUUUAUGAACUUGUUUCGAUCGGCCAGUAAUCACGUCAACAGACGGGGCGUUAUAGCCGAUAAGGGGAUAAGUAGUGUAUGGAUGACUCUCUAUCAGUCGUCCGCUGCGGCUGUGUGUUGGAGGGAUCCGAUUCUCGGCCUAAAAUAAUAAAAUCAUUAGUACUCGGUCGUGUUAAGGGGAAUAAAAGGGAAUAAAAAUCGGCUAUGUGAAGUACCUCGGCGUUUGGAUCAAUGUUGGUCGGGUCCAGAAGAUUGCAGUAUGCCGAUGCUGAGUUGCAGAAGAGGAAUUGCUUCCAAUCAGCCCACCAUAGUUUGAACGGCUGAACAGCAAAUGGAGCUACUAGCCAGUCGUUCAAGUUAAUUGUACUGGAGUCUGGAAUUCGGUCUCGCAACCGACCGUAAUCUAGGCUAGAUUUGAGAUCAUCUCUAAACUUGAUUUUGCCAGCAAAGUACACCUGAAUCGGCAGCUGACCCAUGCCAAAUUGUCGUGCCGCAGCAGAAGGGUUGUAGAAUUCAUACGUAGGGGCAUCCUUCCCUGAGAAGAAAUUGGCCGGUAGGAUCCCUGGCUUGAUCAACCCUUCAUAGAGAUCUUCAUCAAACCGGCCAGAAGUUGAGUCAAAGCAGGAAGGGAGCUCGAAGAUGGGAAUGUCUCGCUGGUAUGGAAACCAGAUAGUUGCGUCCUCAUUAAAUCCAUCGUAAAAGCACCGAAAGUACUCGGCUACCUUUGUAGCGGAAUACGCACAACCUGGAAAAGCUGAUGCCGCUUCACCAUAAGACAUGCAUCGGCGACGCUCGGUAGGGUCUUCCGCCGAUUCAAUAUUGGGAAACGUCAUGUGGUCCACUGGCUGCCGGGUGAUCCUGUUCAUGUAAAGGUUCAACCAUAGAUUGACGAACCACCAAGGCCCACCUGGGUUGCCGAUUGGUUCUCCCUUGGAAAGUUUUGUGCCGAUUUGGUGGAGCAUGUGGUACACAGCACCCAGAAGAUGUUUCCCGAGAGGAAUGUGGCUUCCUUUGGACAGUGCCUCGGCUAAAGAUUGGGUGUUGGUUGUUGGGCCGGCGGCUCUUCCACAGAAAAGGUGUUUUUCUAGCCACAUCAUCAGGAAAGCGGUGUGCUCCCUAUUAUCAAUAGUACCGGUCUUCUUGUUAUUACUAAUAAAGCCCUUCCAGCUGCCGAUUCCUCUUACGUCCAGCCGAUGCGACGGUACGGUCAGAAGUUGGAAAGGCGUGUCAGGAGAGGAUAUGUCCAGGCCGGUCAAGAGGACCACAUCGGCCAGAGUGGGGGUCAUAGGACCGUGUCCAAAUAAGAAUGCAUUAAGAGCGUCAGACCAAAAAUAGGAAGCCGCCAUCACUAGCGGUUCGUUUUUCUCCAUUUGCGACAGAGAGAGGUUGAUACAUUGGCCGAUUUUGAGUUCAUCCCACAAGACGCUCUUUGACGUGGCCAUCCGUUGGUACCAUUCCCUCCAACCGGGGGUUUCAUUCGGCCAAGAUCUAAAAGUGCUGGCCCAUUGAUCUAAGUUCAUGUCAGAUCGUUUGAAAGGUAUCCGGUCAGUUUCCAAGUUUAUGAGGUCUGCUGGAUCUGGGUCUCCCAUGGGACCAAGGCAAACAAGGCCAGGACUACCCGUGAGAUGGAUAGUGAUUCUAUGUCUAACCGCCUAAAUGAGGAAAAGAGGCAUAAGAAUAUAAGGAAUAGAUCUAAGAUAAAUACGUUACCGAUAGAGGAAAAAUUCGGUGUUUACCUCCGGUAUAAAAUUCUGAGUAAUCGGUGUGGUCGCCGAUGCAGAUGCAGAUGAUGAAGCCGUAAUGGGGAUCGCCAUUGGGAUCUCUGAUGAAGCUCCUUCAUCUAUGGAUGGAGUGACGGUUGUUGCCACCGUUACCGGAGGUGCUACCUCCACCGGGGGCAUUGUCCCUGGAGCAUCGCGUGCUGGGGAAUUACCGGAGGGAGUCGCCAUUGAAGGGGAGGGGAAGAAGUGACAGGAGCUGGAGCUGGAAGGCUUCGAUGGCAAGAUUGAAGAAGGAAGGAAGUGCGCGCGCUGGAAAGAGGGAUGUGAGCUUGAAGAUGAGUUGCGGUGAAAUGAUAUUUAUAGGGUGCCUGAAGAAAGGGUAAAGAUGGAAUUUUCAACGCGCCGGCGCGUCGAGUUUUUCGGGGUAGUGGCUGUCGUGGGCGCCCGUUUCAAAAAAUUGCAAUGAUCAGCCGGGAGACCGCGAAACGGAAGGAUAUUUUCACUGCGGCCGUUUCGGAAGAGAGGUUAUAAAGAAUUUCGAAGUAAAAGGCUAUGUUUUACUCCGAAACUGGGGGGCAUGUGUUGACGCCGGAUUUCGUCAUCAGUAGAAUCGGCGCCAAAGAGGAAAGAAAUCGAAGGAGGACGGAUGGAAAUCGGCCAAAAGGUGCUACAGCGCGGAAUCGGUCAAGUGGCUUUUACUUUGCUUCAGAGUGAAUACGCCGGGUUCCCAAUCGGCAAUCCUUUGCUGAUAAGAAAUCGGCCGAUCAGGAAGGUGGACUAAGGUGGGCCUGUAUGGGCUUGGAAAGAUGGAAGGAUAAGGUGGAGUUCAGCCCAUGAAGCGUGGGGUAAUUAGUUUAGCUCGGAUUGUGCUUGUAGAUAUUUGUUUUCUGUUUAAAUUAGAGAUAGAGUCCUAGUCGGUUAAGAAGAUUAUUUGUACGGGGCUAUAAAUAGCUACCUUUGUAAAUCUGUAAAAAAAAAAAACAAUCAAUCAAUACAACAAGUUACUUUAUUCUUCGUACUUACUUUCGAGCAGGCGACUUCGCCAUCACUUUUCCUUCUCACGAGUUCGUGCGGGUUGGCAGGGCUGCAUCAUCUUGAUCUCCGGCCGAUUCUGUAAGUUCCGUUUAUCGAGUAAUAUCUAAGCUUUAACUUCCGGCGCAUCGCUGUUGUUUCGUUUAGAUUUUAUUCAUCAGUUAUCGAUAUCGACUAGAUUCAUAGGUUUUUACCUGUUCUCCUAGUUUUUAUCACCAGUUACCCCGCUAGGAAUCGGUAGUAUCGGCUUUCAUUACUUUCUGUUACCAAAUCCAUCUGUUGCCGAUUAGAUCUUUUCCUGGUGCUGUUACUACGUGCCUUGUACCGAUUACUUUAAUAUUUUUCUAUCUACAAGGCUACGGGGGUCGUGCUGUCUUGUAGCCGAUUUCUUUACCACAGUAAAUCGGCCGAUCUGCCGAUAAGCUCUCUCGAUCGGAAACUUAGCCGAUCGUAGUUACUGAUUUUGACACGUGUUCUUCCUUGCCAAUCAACAGGUCAGAUUGGCUGGCACGCCGUGCGAACCGCACCAGGGCAUUCACCCGAACAGGAGCUAAGCAGAUUCUCCCGGGUCGUGUGUCGGCCGCUGGGAUUCGGUUGACCGAUUUCUAGCGCCAACAUCUGCGCAUUCAAAUAAUUUAAUUGAAUAAUUUCUUGAUCACAGCAAUGCAGUAAAAUAAAUAUUUUACAGGCUAAAUGAGUUGGUAUAGAAUUAAUGAUUACUUCAUACUUAUUGUCAAUUUACUCGUUAAUUAAAUAUAUUUUUGCAUGUACAAAAUCUGUGAAGGUUUUGUUUUUCAUCCUGAAAUGCAGUGAAAAGGUAAAAUAAAAUCCAUUUCCAAAAAACAGGCGGGAGAAGAAAAAUAGGAAAAAAGACCUUUUGUCUCGGGGCUAACAGCAACCGGGACAAAAGGCCCCCCUUUUAUCCUGGUUGCCAACGGCAACCGGGAUAAAAGGGUACGUUUCGUCUCCCGCCCAAACGUACCCUUUUAUCCCGGUUGCCAACUGCAGCAGGGAUAAAAGGGUACACUCCCAGCCCCACCUGGCGGGGGUACCCUUUUGUCCCGGGUCCCGUCGCCAACCGGGAUAAAAGGGGGGGGGCCUUUUAUCCCGGUUGGUGNNNNNNNNNNNNNNNNNNNNNNNNNNNNNNNNNNNNNNNNNNNNNNNNNNNNNNNNNNNNNNNNNNNNNNNNNNNNNNNNNNNNNNNNNNNNNNNNNNNNGACGAGACGACGACGCGAGACGACGACGGCCGAGGCGAAGACGACGACGGCGGCGUAGGCGGGACGGCGACGAGACGGCGACGAGGGGCGACGAGGAUGGAGCCGGCGACGAGGAUGUGGAGCCGGUGGCCGGAGGCGACGAGGUGGCCGGGGGCCGGGCGCGUCGACGGACGAGGAGGGGAUCGAGGAGGGCCGGCCGGGGGACGACGACGGCGCAAUGGGGGACAUCGACGGCGCAAUGGGGGACGACGACGGCGGCGGCCGGUGAGGGAGGCGGACGGGCGGCGACGGCGGAGAACGCGCGGGACUUGCGAAAUUUUGGCUAAGUGUGUAACUGGCAGGGGGUAGAAGGGAGUACAGUGCCUUUUAACCCCCCCCUUUUAUCCCGGUUCGUAAUAGGACCCGGGACAAAAGGCUCUUUUGUCCCGGGUCCUAUUACGAACCGGGAUAAAAGGGGGGGGUUAAAAGGCACUGUACUCCCUUCUACCCCCUGCCAGUUACACACUUAGCCAAAAUUUCGCAAGUCCCGCGCGUUCUCCGCCGUCGCCGCCCGUCCGCCUCCCUCACCGGCCGCCGCCGUCGUCGUCCCCCAUUGCGCCGUCGAUGUCCCCCAUUGCGCCGUCGUCGUCCCCCGGCCGGCCCUCCUCGAUCCCCUCCUCGUCCGUCGACGCGCCCGGCCCCCGGCCACCUCGUCGCCUCCGGCCACCGGCUCCACAUCCUCGUCGCCGGCUCCAUCCUCGUCGCCCCUCGUCGCCGUCUCGUCGCCGUCCCGCCUACGCCGCCGUCGUCGUCUUCGCCUCGGCCGUCGUCGUCCCGCCGUCGUCGUCUUCGUCCUCGUCGCCGUCCCGCGCGCCGCCCGGCCGCCGCCGUCCCGCCGCCCCGGCCGCCGCCGUCCCGCCACCCCGGCCGCCGCCGUCCCGCCGCCCCGGCCGCCGCCGUCCCGCCGACCCGGCCGCCGCCGACCCGCCGACCCGGCCGCCGCCGUCCCGCCGUCCCGCCGUCCCGGCCGUCGGCCCGCGCGGGAGAGGUCCGCUGCCGCGCCGGCCGGCAGCGCCGGGAGGGUUUUCUUUUUAAGUUAAUUAGAAAAUUAAGUUUUAUUUUUAGAUAGAAUUGUAAUUUUGUUAAGUUAGAUUUUUAGAUUUCUAGUUAGUUUGUUAAGUUAGAUUUCUAGUUAGUUUUUUAAGUUAGAGUUGAUAUAGAGAUCGCCGAGUAGCCGCCGUGAUCGUCGCCUUGUAGCCGCCGUGAUCGCCGCCGAGUAGCCGCCGUGAUCGCCGCCAUCCCGCCGCCCAUCACAACCUAGUAGGCACCGCCCGUGGUUCCGGUGAACCGUCCCCGCCGUACCGCCGCCCUGACCGCCGCCGUCCCGCCUCCGCCGCCCUGAUCGCCGCCGUCCCGCCUCCGCCGCCCUGAUCGCCGCCGUCACAACCUAGGCACCGCACGUGGAUAUUGUUACAAAUUCGUAGAAAUUCGUCAAAAUUCGUAGAAAUUCGUCAAAAUUCGUAGAAAUUCGUAGAAAUUUGUAGAAAUUCAUAGAAAUUCGUAGAAAUUCGUAGAAAUUUGUAGAAAUUCGUAGAAAUUCAUAGAAAUUCGUAGAAAUUCAUAGAAAUUUGUUGAAAUUCGUCAAAAUUCAUAGAAAUAUUUCGGACUUUGUACGAUUCAUGUUAUUUUAUGAUUUCAUUAUAUACAUGUAUGAUUCCAUUCCGGACUUUGUACAAAUUUGUAUUAAGACGAUUUCUAUGACUGUCAUGUAUGAUUCCAUGUAUGUUUCCAUCAAUAGUUGAAAUGGCAGACGAUGAGACCGCAAGGUAUAUCAUGGAGCAGAUAAUCGCUGGUGAUGGUAGUGGCGACAACGUUCCACUAUCAUACACGUAUGAAGAGGGCACCCAGGCGGACAUGUUCCUCAACAUGUCCGCUGAUGGGAAUGAAGAGCAACAGCCGCAACAACAACUUGCCGUGGCGGAAGGUUCCGGCGAGGUAUAUACAACCAUUCUUGUAUUGUUUCACGCCACCGCUACUACUACGUACUAAUUAACGAAUCUUGAACUGUUAGCCCUCCGGAUCGACACAAGGGCAGAAGACCUGAGGUCGUACAAAGGUGAUGGAAGGGAGGCUUGUCAUCACCGAAGUUACAGAAGAGGGCAAGCCGGUUGCUCCCGAGAAAGUAGCAAAGAAGUACGUGAGUCAAAUCGGGGCAAUCGUUCGGGACAACGUGCCUAUCAGCAUCAGAGAAUGGAAGGGCAGAAGAGAUAAUCCGUACGCCCUUCCAGAGAUAGAAAAGAAUAUGCUGUGGGAAGACGUGAAGAGACAUUUCACAUUCCCCGAAGGAUAUAGCGAGAAGGAUGUCAAAGCGUGGACGCUUAAGAAGAUGGCUACUCAAUUCCAGACAUUCAAGAAGAUGCUGGACACCCACUACAUCAAGAAGGGCAAAACUCCAGACUUCAACGCGUGGCCAAAGUUGAGGGACCACUGGGAUGCAUUUGUUGAAUACAAGAGGAGUGAAGAAGGUGUGAAAAAGAUCACGACCAACAUAGCAAAUGCUAGUCAGAAGGGCUACCACCAUCAUUUGGGGUGAGGUGGGUAUGGCUCAGCAAUUCCCAAGUGGAGGAAGAUGGAACAAGAUCUGAUCGAACGGGGAAUCGUACCUGCAACUAUUGAAUGGCCCGAACGAUCAAAGAACUGGUACUACGCUCAUGGAGGCUCCCUAAGCCAAGAGGAUGGGACGCUGAUUUUCAAUGACACAAUACGUGAGAAGGCCGAACAUCUCAUGAAGAACAUUGAAGAUUCCAAGGCUGGGAGGUUGAGGGUGGACCAAGAAAAUGAUGAGCUCACAUUGGCCCUCGGUAAUCCAGAGCACCCAGGACGUUGCCGGGGGUUCGGGGUGGUUCCGUGGAAGUUCGCUUUCCGAGGCGACAGCGCCUCUUACAGAAGCCGGAAGCGAAGAAAGGAACAGAUGGAGGAGAGCUGGUAGCAGAUGGUAGAACAAAGAAUGAUGGAUGAAAUCAAUCGGCGGGUGGCCGACGCAGUUGCGGAGUUGGCGCAAUCUGGAGCAAUGCCGAAUCCUAACACCGCCAGCCCUUCUCAACGCCUCGGGAGCAGUUGUGCUUCUACAGGGGUCCCCGAUGCGCAGACGCCCAGGUUACCCGUGGAGGAGCAAUGGUUCCCCGUGGAUGCCAUCACGCAACGGACCUCAUGUAAGCUGCAUGCACCGGUCGGCAACCUCACUAUUAAGGUAUACUUAUACAUAAUAUUUAUGCAAUCUUGUCAAUUGAUCCAGGCCUCGAGAUCGGAGUUCAACCUGUUUACUUCUACUAUAUGUACAGGUAGCGUACGGGAGUGUGUUACCAACCCUGGCAGGGCAGAGCAGUCAUGGCAUGGACAUUCCAACAGGCUACGCCAGCGUCUGCGUCGAGCAAAUAGUUGAUCCCCAGUAUGAAGGUCUAGAGCUCGACUUCCCGGGAGGCGACGGGGAAAAGACAUUGGCAGAUGCGCUUCAUGGGAUCAUUCUAUGGAAGAAACGCUACAUCAUUAUUCCCCGCACGGAGCCAUCUCCUCAGACCUCAAGACCACUCCCCGUAGAUCCCCAGCAGCGACCUUCUCCUCAUACCUCGAGACCGGCAUCUCCUGCUCCAGGACCGUCUCUUCCAUCUAUAUCAAGGUCUCCAUCUCCACCACAUCCUGGUGCUGGGAGCGACGACGACAAUAACAACACCCCUCCCCGAUCACCGUCACCGGCACCAAGAGCGGCCCCCUCGAAGGAACCUGCAGCACCACUCAAGAAGUCACGAGCACCGCCUCCCAAGCAAAGACAGAGAAAGAAGAAAACAAAGGUCGACCCUGAAGUGGCUCGCAAGGAACGCUUUGAGGCAAUGUCUCAUGAAGAACAGUGGGCAGAAAUCCAACGAGAGGCCAGUGAGUGGUUCAAGAAACAAGCCGAAUUAAAAAAGGCAAGGGAGAUGGAGCCACCGUCAGUAAGUCGGCGAGAUUUAAACUUUUUUAUCAGGAUGGAGGAAGAAGCCAAGAAAAGGAUACCACUCUUGUCAAACUAUGAACGGGCUCUAGUAAAGGCUGAUGAAAAGGAUAAAAGGAAAGGAAAAUCAUCCUCCAGCAGUCCAGUCCCCGACCUCAGCCAUUUAUCAAAAAAAGAUGCUCAACGGGUAAAAGCAAUGCCCUUGGAUCAACAAGCAAAUAUAUUGAAGUUCAUGGAAGAAACAGGUCUGGGACUUGAUGAAUGCAUAGGGCAAGUCGAGACGCCAACUGCACCGCCCCCUGAGCCGAAGUGGACUUAUGAGCUAGGCAAACCUCUAGUAAAGCCUUCAAUGGUACGGAAGCUAUCAACAAAGAUGUACGAAUUCCAUCAAUGGUCGGCAUGAAGGUAAAACCGAUAGAUUUUCACGGUGAAGGGGAGAAAGUGCUGUGGCUAGACUUCAAGGAUAUAUACGAAGUGUACCAUCAUGAUGCCCUGGACGUCUCUCUGAUCAGCGCUUGGAUUCUGUAAGUGUCCGUUUAUUAUCUCUACAUGUAAAUUUUGGCGUGCGUCACCGUACUAACUUCAUCUUCCAUUUCAUGUAGGAUGCUAAUUCAGACAUGCCGCCGAGAGGCGUACCUACAUGUAGGCUUCAUGGAUCCAUCUGUAGUUAACCAACAACAGAUACAAUUAGCGCCGGAAAAAACCUUUGCGGAAAUAUACAAUUUCCUACACAAACAAACAUUCAAGGAUUUCAUACUACUUCCAUACAACUUCAAGUAAGUGUGUGUAUACCGUCUACUUUCGAUGUCUUUUUCCUUAUCUCUACAUGUUAGUUAGCUCUAAUAUGCAUGAACAUUUUACGCACGCAGCUUCCACUGGAUCCUUAUUAUAAUUGAGCCUGAAAGAAGCCACGUCACUGUCUUAGAUUCGUUAAGGAAAGAUCCGAUGGACUACCAAGAAUUGCAAGACAUGCUAGGCUUGUAAUAAUUCUGGACCUUUAUCUCUAUGCAAAAAUUUAUUUCCUAAAUUUUAUCCCUGUUACACUAUGUCAUUCAUUAUUCUAAUCCGCAGCGCAUGGAAACAAUUCAUAAGGACACACAAAGGUCCAUUCAAAGAAAAUCUUACAUGGAACACAGACUUCCCGGUACGUAUGCAGUCUGCACAUUUAUUACAUUGUAUAACACAAAUAUUUCAUAACUUAUUUUUUUCCGCACUGAAGUGCUUAAGACAGGAACCCGGGAAUAAUCUAUGUGGCUACUACAUCUGUGAGCACAUGCACAGUUUUUUGGGACCCAAGGGACCGAAGAUGACGCCGCACAACUUUAAAGUACGUAAAAUAACUAUAUUACUAGUUAAUUAUUUUCUAGCUCCUUAUAUGUAUUUGUUCAUGUAACAUUCACAAAUUUCCAAAUUAUAGAUGUUAAAUAUUCAACAAGGACUCUUGAAGGAAGAAAGAGUAGCGGCAAUAUGUGAAGGUCUCAUUGGAUUCAUAAUGGACGAGGUGGUGGACGAGGUGGUAAAUCCAAGAGGAGAAUUUUAUUACGAUGGACGACAAUUAGACACUCCGAUCAGCAACACCACGAUGGAUACUUUGAUUUAUUUGUAUAUAUAAUACGCGCUAAUUAUGAUCGAUUUGUACUAAGCUAGUUGAAUUGUGUAUAUGAAUUGUGUAUAAGGAUUGUGUAUAUAUAUAGUAAUUGUAUAAUUACAAAUCCCAUUCGUUUAAAUACUAGUUGAUUUCGUUCUAAAAAAAUCUCAACUACAAGGUUAACAAAUUAAAAGGGCUGCGGUACUACUAUACGUAUACGUGAUGCAUGCAUGAAAAAUUCAGACGUCACGGCUGUGCCAUGCAAGCGCCAUUUAGUCCCGGUUGGAAUCGAGCCGGGACUAAAGGGGACCCCUUUAGUCCCGGUUGGGAAAUCCAACCAGGACUAAAGGGGGACCUUUACUCCCGGUUAAAAGACCCGGGAGUAAAGACCCCCCCCUUUUGUCCCGGUUGGUUUAUCCCGGAUGGAUAUCCGAGAGAUAUGCACCCUACCAACCGGGACUAAAGGCCAAUUCUCUACCAGUGUAGACCAAACAUGAUACACACCAUGCGUACCUUGCUGUGCAGACUAUGCAUUGACAAGAUACCCGACCACAUGUUGGCCUCGGUCACAUCAAAAGAAUCAUGUAGGCCACCAAUAAACUACUUGAAGCGGCAUUCCGUAUCGUAUAUGCAUUGCCGGUUCAUCUGCAUUACAUUACAUAAAGCACUAUUAACUAUUUGAAUAAAAUGAACCAAUUUAAAAGUAAUGUGUUGUACUCUACUAUAGAAAGCCCUAUCACUGCCGGAUCCAAAAACAUCAUUGUUAAUGGUGGUUAAGUACCAAAUAUGAUGGUCAAUAUUCUCAAGAAUAAUGGAGAAUUAGCAUUUCUUAGACACAUAUUUGGUUUUGAACAAUGUAGUUCCACAUGUCUUUGGAGAUUAUUUGGGUGUGGGUGAAAUAAUACAAAAAUAAGGAGAAAACACACUCCCAUGGCAAAGAAACACAACUCCAACCAAUGAGAGAUAGCCACAGGGGCAGCACACGGAUCCAUGGGCCCACAAACCGCAUCAAACCGUCUUACCAAGGCAGGUAGCACCCACAACCGUCAUUAGGACCCACCUGGAAGUCUACCAAGAAGAAGGUUGCGAGUGGGGCCAGGAGGGGUUCGGUUGAAUCAUCUCUAGCUAGCUCCCCUCAUCCCCAGCUGGUGGGUGGUGGUGGUUGAUGGUGUCCCUACAUCGGUUAGAGGAGAUUCCCCCAAAUAUUCCUCCUGUAAACCACCUCUAUGGACCUAUACAUAGAGGGGUGUGCUCUCCAUUCCAACACACACCACAAGUUGAAUCACUGUCUCCCUCUUUAGUUUCCAAGUUUAUGGAGUUAGGCUAGAGUAGCUCUGCUCAAGGUUCCAAGUCCACUUGGAGUUAAGCAUAUGUCUCUUGUAUCGUUAUUUCCUAAAUUGACUUUAUGCUUAGUUCUUAUAUGCAUGAGUUAGUCUAAUACCCUUGCUCUAUUGAUAUGCUCGACUUAUAUGCUCGUAUGCUAGUCAUAUACCCUUGCUGUCGUAGUAUAGGCUUAUAUGCUCUCAUGUGUGCCUGUAGACCUUGCUAUAGUAUAUACUUGUUGUGUAUACAUACCAUGUAUAGGCUAGUCGAUCUAUACCAUGGCAUUGGUUCAAUAGCCAUGUUUUUGGUGGCUCCAGCCCUAGUCACAAUAGCUCGGGACAGCUGGAGUGUUGUUAAAAAUGCAAGAGUGGUGCUUGGGUUGUUUAGCAUCGUUGGAUAUGGGUUUGCCCCACAGGUUUCUAACGGUAGGCGACAGCUAGUGACAUCCCUGUCCGUCCUUCGUAAUCCCCCCACAUUCAGGUACGCCAUAAAUGUUCGUAAAUUAGCAGUAACUACGCCGGUACACCCAUAGGGUAUUGUCUCCCUGUAGUACCUUGGUGCAUAGAACUAAGUCCUAUACACUGUGUGUGUAUGUUUACGCUGAUAUGAUCUGUGCAGUAUAUAGGAUGUAUAUAUGAACCUAGAGCUAACUCCUAGUCCGUUCUCCAUAGCUUAGUUAUCUUGAGAUGAUUCUUUUGUAUGUGUAACACUACCCAUCUUAUCAUUAUCCUUGCUCCUGUCUUGUGUAAUAUAUCUACUCAUCCUAUGAUAUACUCAUAUGCAUAGUAAACUAUUUUGACCUACCCGCCUUCCUUUGGGAAAUAUGAUACCCUGGAAUAAUCCUAGGUGAAAUCCUACAACGGUAUAUCCAUGUGCUUGCGGAUUUAUUCAUGACCAUUAAAUAUACCAACAAUCAUCACUGCCGGUUAUGGGCGUCGUUAGUGAAGGGUUGGUAGUGAUGGGCAUCCCCUUCACCAAUGGACCUGGAACCGGCGGUGAUGGCUGUUAUAAAAAAGGGGACACCACCCAGCGUACCCCGCGACCCGGCUGGCCGCACCUCCCAUCAUCCCCGCCAGCCGCCCUUCCUUUUCGCCGGCCGAGCAUGGUCCUGGCCUUUGUCCCUACCGCCUCGCCUCCACCGCGACCCCCCGCCGAUGCCCUCAUGCCUGGCCCCCCUCAUCUUGCCGGCCACCCUCCCGAUGCGUCCACUAGGGCCCUCACACCACCAACCGCCCUUGCCUAGAGAGGGAGAGAGAGGAGGGAGGUGAGGCCACGCACCUCGUCCUACACCGCCGCUGUUUCUCCUCGGCCCACCGCGCCUCACCCCACACCACAGCCGCGCCUUGCCAUCUUACCGGCUGCGACGCCUCAUCUCACCGGCCACCGUUCCUCACCCCCACUUCGGUCGUCGCCGCUCCUUGCCCUACUGCUGCUCUUUGCCGCUGCGACUGAGCGGCGAGUGGAGGAGGAGGGACGGGGCAGGAGGAGGGCAAGAUCCGGGAGGAAGGGAGAGAUCUUGGGAGGUGGAGAUGGAAGGAUAUGGCGGAAGGGAGAGAUCCAGAGGGAGAGAGCAGGGGAGAGAGGGGGGCAUGUGGGGAGAGAGUGCGUGUGGGGUGGGGCCAGGCUGGUGGGAUGGAAGGGAGAGGGGCUAGACGGGCGCAGUGCAUUCAACUGGAUGAAGUAAAUAUUUCGGAUUCGAGACCCCAGCUUUAUUAUCACCGCUGGUCCGUAGUACCAUCCGGUGCCUGCUCGUAAUUUAAUUUGAAUCUGCGGUGAUGUUUUAUUAUCACCAUCGGAUCAUAUAAAAAAUCCGGCGGUUAAAAAUCCGCUGGUUUCGAUGAAAACCGACGGUGAUAGGAUGACUGUGAUAGUCUCUUCUCUAGUAGUGGUAUAUUAGUACCGGCUGCCAGACGGUGUUGCCGACCAGUACUUCUCCGGAGGCGAUUCAGUACUGCUGUUAGCAAAGCUUGUUCUCUAUGAAUCUGGGGAUGGAAAGCUAGUUCUCUAGUUGUGAUUUGUUACAUAUAUAUCUAUGAUAGUCUAGAAAUUGCAUGUCCUUCGUUGACAUAGUUGAAGCUGCGCGCUUCAAGAAUUUACUUCGUGCAGUCGUGCAGCAUAUUGGAUUAUCACCUAGACAGGAUACAUAGGUGAAGCAUUGGAUGUGAUUGUGGCCGAUAAUUAUGCAGGACGCUGUUGCAAUCAACCACCAAGAAGUCUGGAGUGAUGGGGUUGCCUCAUCAAUAAUUUUUAUAUAUGGCUGCAGUAUUAUUAAGCCCACGUCAAUAAUUUUUUCUCCGCACCAUAUAUCGAUGGGGUUGCCUCAUCAAUAAUUCGCGCAACCAGACAAGCUGCAGACUCAAUAUGGUACGAAGCUAGUUGCUCAGCCCACAUGCUCUGAUAUAACAUUGACAUCUGCUGAUCUACAGUAUAUAUGACCAGAAAUAUUGUGCCCACCUCAAUAACUUUCUGAAGUAUCGUGGGGAAGAACCUACUCGUACUAUGCCUCGGAACUAACUGACAUAUCGGCCUAGGCGGUCUAGGCCGAUUGGACUGGCUCUUCCUUGUGGCUUCUCACGUCCCCUUCGUCCCCAAGUAAUUUCAGGUGUUCUGCAGUUUCCUUUUCACUUGCAUCUGAGCCUCAUAUAUCAAUAGCUUCGGGAUAAGAAUGCCUCUUGAUAACCUUCCAAAUCCUCGCUUGAUUCACAUUGAUUCCGAAAUCAUCUUGCCAUAUCUUCAGAGACUUAGGUCCUAAGGCAUCAUGGAGGAUUGCUCGCCAGGAAUGAGCACCAUUGGGCUCCUGAGGACCCUAGGCCGAUCAGCCCGGGCUCUAUAGGUCGAUUGGCCCAGGCCCUCUCUGGGCCCGUUGGCCUUCAUCUUUCUCUGAGUCGACGCUUAUUCAGGGCUUUGUCCAAUUAUAGUCUAUUAUAGUCUAAUUUCCUACAAAAACAGAAUGUCCUCCAAAAUACAAUGCAUAUGUGAAAACAGCCCAAUUAUUAGGUAUGAUCAAUAGUUUAGGUAUAUAAAUUAAUAUUAUUAUUUAAGAUAAACAGGGGUAAAGGGUGUCAUUAAUAACAAGCGCCAACAAGCGUCCUGGCUGUUCAAUAAAUUUUUUCUAGUACCGAUUGGUAACACUAACCGGUGCUAAUAUGUACCCUUUAGUACCGGUUAUUUUACCAGGUACUAAAGGAGACAAGAGCAUCCUAACAUAAGGUUAAUAUCAUCCAUUUCAUGAGUAAAAUACUAUGAUUCAAAAAUAAUUCAAAUCCCUUAAGACAAUACCUAUCAAAUGAGUAAAUUGUAAAUAGAGUAAUCUUGAUCAAACAAUGUCCUAAUGAAACGGAACACUUCUGGUUCGUGUAGAGCACAAUAUAGAAAACAGUAGGGUAGCUGUACGAUUGACACGUGGUCCAUUAAUUCUUGAGCCAACACUAUGGACAUGUCUUCAUGAGUAGUGUACUAGUCAUGAUACAUGGUAUGCAGUAGGUGGAGGUAUUGACUUAGCCAUGCUAUGAGCACUUAGUUACAACAAACACUUUGCCAUUAUCGAGCAUCCCAAAUCACUACAAAAUCCAUAGUUUACCAUAUACUACAAAAUCUGAGUUAAAAUAAGAGCAUACACGGAAGAGUCCGAAUGCACCGGCACAUUGAAUUACUAGACAAAAAUUAUGGGACAAGGUUUUGGGUAACCGCAUGAAAAAUAUUGGAUUUUACUGAACACUUAGUUACAAUUACCAUGCCGUGAGCACUUAGUCACCACAAACAUUUAACCACUUUAGAUCAUCCUGAAUCCCUAUAAAUUCUAUACCUUACACCGUACCAUGAAAACGACAAGAACAGAGACAGAUGCGGUGAAAAUCUCCAGAGCAAGCCUGAAAUUAAAAUAAGAGGAGGCAGUCACUAUCGACAGGACACGGAGAUUGCUAGCCAUGACAGAGGAAGACAUGAUAUGAUAUUCACCUCUGAAAUGCAGCGUAGACUAAAUGAAGCACAAUUGCAAGUGAGUGUGGCAGAUAAUGGACCAUCGAGACCAUCGAUUGGUAUGAAGCAUGAUUAUCACCUAGACAUGAUAUCCUAGACAGGACGGUGAAUUGUAAAAAGAGUAAUCUUGAUCAAAGAAUGUCCUAAUGAAACGGAACAUUUUUGGUACGUGUAGAGCACAAUAUAGAAAACAGUAGAGUAGUUGUACGAUUGAACUGCAUCCAUCGACGUGGUGCAUGAAUUGUUGAGCCAACACUGGGGACAUGUCUUCAUGAACACCAUCUAGUGAGGACAGCAUGCAGAAAAAUAUCAAAACAUGUCAUAGGGAGGCAGACCAAUCUUGCGAGGUAGACGAAACGUGAUACACGAUCUGCCUACCUUGUCGUGGAUACCCCAAGUGAAGAUGUCAUAGAGGUGCAGACCAAGCUAGCAAGGAGGUAGAUGAAACGUGAUACACGGCCUGCCUACCUUGCCGUGGAUAUUAGUCCUGAUAUCAUUCUAUUGUUCAAGGAAUAACACUCAAUGCUGCUGCUGCUGCUGACCUGGCUCCAUAAAGUUAUAUUCCUCUAGCCGCUUGCACUAACUUUAUCUGAAGUAUUAUUCUCUCUGCACUGUAUAUAUGGUUACGGAGUUUGCUGGAGUAUCCGGGGGGAAGAACCUACAUAAUAUGUCUUGGAACUAACUGACAUUGAUUCACAGACAAGGUGCUGUUGUUGCCAUAUUUUAGAGCAUCCCAAAGGACUAUAAAUAAUAUAGUUUACCAUAUACCGUAUACCAUUAUAUGUUAGCUAAAAUAAGAGCAUAACAUGUCGCAGGAGUCCAAAAGCACCGGUUGAGGACCAGGUACAUUAAAUUACUAGAAAACGAAAGGGGACAAGGUUUAGGUAGCCACAUGAAAAACAUUUGAAUUUACUGUACCAUGAACACUUAGUUACCAUGCCGGGAGCACCUAGUUAACACUAACAUUUAGCCACUUUAGAUCAUCCCGAAACACCAAUGACCCUCAAUAGCGACAAAUUUUGGUUUAAAUGCCGUCACCAAUGAUCCUCAAUAGUGACGUGUUUAGGUUUAAAUCCCGUCACUAAUAACCCUUGGUAGUGACGUGUUUUGGUUUAAAUCUCAUCACCACUGAUCCUCACUAGUGACGUGUUUUUAGCAACACACGUUAUGAAUGACUUGUCAUUGGUGACAUGUUAAACGCGUUAUCUCAAUGGCAAAUCAAUGGUGACGUGUUUAAAAAAACAUGUCACCGUGAGAGUUAUUGGUGAAGGGUAAUUAAAAUGCAUCACUAAUUUUGUAGCAUUAGUUAUGAUAUAAUUUUGUAACGCAAAAAUCUACCAUAGUAACGAGGUUUAGAGCCGUCGCUAAUGUGGGUUUCUUACGUAGUGAUGCAAGCUCUACAAGGUGCUGUUGUUGCCAUUUUAAAGCAUCCCAAAUGACUACAAGUGUCUGGUUGAGGACUAAACAAAUUGAAUUACUAGAACCAAAUGUAUGUCCAGAACAAAGAAAGGGGUCAAGGUUUGGGUAACCGCAUUAAAAACAUUGGAUUUUACUGUACCAUGAACACUUAGUUACCAUUACCAUGCCUUGAGCACCUAGUUACCACAAACAUUAAUUUAGCCACUUUAGAGGUUCCUCAAUCACUAUAAAUAAUAUACCAACACCGUACCAUGAAAACAUCAAGAAGAGAGACAGGUACAUGGACCACCAUCAAGUGAGUAGUGACAGCAUGCACAAGAAUACCCGGAACCUUUUAGCUUGUCUGUAGUGAUCUGUUUUCUUCCCCGUAAAAUCCAUGAGUAUUGCCACAAAUAAUGAAAGAGGCUGACCAAGCUAGCAACGAGGUAGAGCAAACGUGAUACACGUAGGUUUCAUUCAAGACAUCCAUGUAAGAUUCAUUCAAAACAUUCAUGGAAAUUUCUUAUAAGUUUUCAUGUAAAUUUCAUUCAAGACAUUUGUUAGAGGUGUUGUAUAUAUACUUAACGUACAUAUAUCUAUGAUUUCAUGGUUGUUAGUGAUGGCAGAUGAGGAGCAUGCAAGGUAUUUAAUGGAGCAGAUUAUUGCUAGUGGCAGUGGCUCCAACCUGCCCGUAACGUACACCGACGAAGAGGGCAGCCAGGCGGACAUGUUCCUCAACAUGUCCGGUGAUGGCAAUGAAGAGCCCGAGCAAAACCUUGCCGUGACGGAAGGUUCCAGCGAGGUAUAUAUCAUUUCCAUUAUUUUACCCCAUCUAUAAUUUCAUAUUCAUUAUUACUAUGUACUAAUUAACGAAUCUUGAACCGUUAGCCCUCUAGAUCAACGAACCGAAAUAAGCCCCGAGGUCUUACAAAGAUAAUGCAGGGAAGGCUUCACAUCAUGGAAGUCACAGAAGAGGGCACCUCGGUUGCUCCCGAACAUGUGGCAAGAACGUACGUGAGUCAAACCGGGGCAAUCGUAAGGGACAACGUGCCCAUCAGCAUCAGGGAAUGAAAGAGCAAUAGAAAUGAUCUAUACGCACCCCCGGAUACACAAAAGGAUAUGCUGUGGGCAAAUAUCAAGAAACACUUCACAUUUCCCAAAGGAUAUGUUGAAAAAGAUGUGAAAGCGUGGAUGCUGAAGAAGAUGGCCACCCAAUUCCAAACAUUCAAGAAGAUGUUGGAUGCCAACUUCGUCAAGAAGGGUCGAACUCCGGGUUUCGAUGAGUGGCCAAAGUUAAGGGACCACUGGGAGUCAUUUGUCGAAUACAAGACGAGCGAAGGUGGUGCCAGUAAGGUUCGCAUCAAUGUUGCCAAUGCUAGCAAGGAGUACCAUCAUCAUCUAGGGCGACGUGGUUACAGCACUGCAAUUCCCAGAUGGCGCAAGAUGGAACAAGACUUGAUCGAUCGGGGUAUCGUACCAGCAACUCUUGACUGGCCUGAUCGAUUGAAAAAUUGGUAUUAUGCUCAUGAAGGCAAUCUGAGCCAAGAGGAUGCGACAUUGGUCUUCAAUAAAACAAUACAUCAGAAGGUCGGAAGGCUUAUUAGGAACAUUGAAGAUGCUAAAGCUGGGAGGUUCAAGGUGGAUAGAGAGAAUGAUGAACUCACAUUGGCCCUCGGGACUGUCAUCUCUAGCACUUCCAGCUCCAGGACUAUCAUCACCACCGGGACCGUCGCUUCUUGCUCGAUCACAGUCUCCAUCUCCAGCACAUCCUGGUGGUGCGAGCGACGACGACAACAACACCCCUCCCUGCCCACCAUUGCCGGGACUAAGACCCGCAUUGUGUAAGGAACCUGCAACACCACUGAAGAAGUCGCGACCACCACCUUCAAGGCAAGUCAGCAAAAGAAGAAAGCAGAGAAGCCUAAACCCACUGAGAAGCCAGCGACUGAUAUGACCGAUGCGGAAAGAUGGAAGGCACUCAAAGAAGAAUGCAUGGAGUGGUUCAGAAAAAGGACCAAAGAAAGAAAAGGAAAGGAGAUGGAGCCACCGCCAGUAGAUCCAAGAAAAUUAUAAUUUUUUAUUAAGAUGUCAAAAGGAGCUAAGAAGAUGAUGCCACAACUAUCAAACUACGACUGGGCGUUAGUCAAGGCUGAUGAGAGUUAAAAAAGGAAAGGAAAGUCAUCGUCAAGUGGUACUGUCCCCCAGCUCGAGGAUCUACCAGAAAAAGAUGCUAAAAAGAUAGUAGCAAUGCUCUUGGAUCAACAAACACAUAUAUCGUGAGAUUAAUGCAAGAAACAGGUAUGUCCCUUGCUGAAUGUCUAUGGCAAGUUGAUAUGCUAGCUCCAGAGCCAGUUGUACCGAAAUGGACCUUUGAGCUAGGCAAGCCUCUAGUAAGGCCUGAGUUGGUACAGAAGCUAUCCACAUAGAUGCAUGAAUUCCAUGAAUGGUACAUGAAGCAGUCUGCCAAUGAGAGGGAAAUGUUCGGUCUCGAGGAAAAACUAAUAAUUUUUUUCGGCGAAGGCGAGAAAGUCGUAUGAAUCAAAUUCAAGGAUAUAUAUGAAGUGAACCAUCAGGAUGCCCUUGAUGUCUCUCUCAUCAGCGCCUAGGUUUUGUAAGUGUAUGUUUAUCUAUACGUAAAUUUUGGCUCAUAUCAUUAUUUUUUUUGCGUGCGUCACCCUACUAACUUCGUCUUCCAUUUUAUGUAGGAUGCUAAUUCAGACGUGCCGCAUAGAAGCGUACUUCCAUGUUGGCUUCAUGGAUCCAUCCCUAGUUAACCAAAAGCCGAUACGGAAGUAGCUAGAGAAAACGUUGGAGGUGGUGUACAACUUUCUGGACAAACAAAACUACAGAAUAGGGGCAAUAUGUGAGGGUCUUGUAGGAUUCCUAGUGGACGAGGUGAUAAAUCCAUAAGGAGAAUAUCAUUACAACGGACGAGCAUUAGACACACUGAGCAACACCUAGACGGGAGGAUCCUAGGAAUGACCUCAACAGAUUUUGGUAUAAAUAGUAAUUGUGUAAAUACUAGUUUGAUUUGUAUAGGAAUAUACUAAGAAUUGUAUAUAUAGUAAUUGUACAAAUACUAGUUUGAUUUGUAUGAAUACUAGAUUGAUUUUAUUAUAAAAAAGUUUUAAGUCGUACGUGCAUGCGCCUACAAAGGCGCGGAUGCCCUUUAAUCCCAGUCGGAAAAACAAACCGGUACUAAAGGGGCUCGUGCCGCACCUGGCAUGACCACCCCUUUAGUCCCGGUUGAACGACCCAGGACUAAAGAUCUCCGCGUCUCAAAAAUUUUAUCUCGGAUGCUUUUUAGAGAGAUUUGAGGCCUAUCAACCAAGACUAAUAUCGAGUUUUCUACCAGUGGAACUAACUAACGUUCACAUGCUUUUGACAUUCACCUGCCAUUUGGUGUAGACAAGGGCACCCUAACAUAUGGUUAAUAUUAUUCUUGAAAGAAAAUCCUUUGAUUCAAAAUACUUCAAACCUAAUAAUACAAUACUUCUCACAUCUCAAAAAUAUGAGACGGCCCGACAGUAUUCUAACCGACGCAAUAAUAUUUUGAGGGCAGCACUACUACAGCGACCCUCAUUCGUGCCGGUGCUGGGACUCCUAUCACGACCCUGAUACAAAUGAGGGUACAUUAUUGGUGCCAGUGCUAGAACAGCCACCAAUAACUUGCUAAACGUGCUGUUACACUCACUACAGGGACCAAGAAGGUAGAUAAAUUACACGACAUAGCCUUGGUUGCCGUGGAAGCGCCAAGAAGGGAGACAAAUUACAGGGACCACACCAUCAAGUAGAUAGUGACAAUAUGCAGAUGAAUACCCGCGCCUGUUAGCAUGUGAACUGACCACACCACGAAACGUGAUACACGGCAAGCGUACCAAGGCCUUGCUGUGCAGACUAUGCGUGGACAACACAUGGUACCUGACCGCUUUUGGCCUCAGACACAUCGAAAAACUGCAUCGUUCCACGUUGUACAUCCACUGCUAGUUUAUCUAUAUUACAUAAUAUAUUAUUAGCUAUUUGAAUAGAAUGAACCAAUUAAAAAAUUGCGUUGUAUUUUAGUACCGGCUGCAGGAUGGUGUUACCAACCAGUACUAAUUAGCCUGUAGGAGUGAUGGUUAUUAGACUUGGUACUGUUGUUACAUCAUUAACCUAAUUGUGCGCGGUAUGAAUUUGGGGAUGCAAAGCUAGCUCUCUAUGAAUGUGAGGGACGGAAAGCUAGUUCUCUAGUAGUAAUUAGCUAUAUAUAUAUGACAGUCAAGAAAUCGAACACUAUGCUGCUACGAGUCACCAUCAUUUCCUUCAUUGAGAAUCUGACAUAGGUGAAGCUGCUUCAAGAAUUUCCUUCGCGCAGUCGUGGAGCUUAUUGGAUUAUCACCAGGACGGGACACGGAAAUGGCCAGCAAUGAAGCUGAUUGCCGUCUGAGGAAGACUACAUACUUUACCUAUGAAAUGAAGCGAUUGCAUAGACUAAUGAAGCAUUGCAUAUUUGCAUGUGAGUGUGGCAGAUAAUUCUGCAGGACAUGAUUGCAAUCCACGCACCAUCGAGAAGACUGGGGCGAUGGGGUUGCCUCAUCAAUAAUCACGUGGAUGCAUGCAUGCAUGUUCCCGCAACCGGACAAGGGUCUGAUAUAUGGCUAUAGUAUUACUGAGCCCACAUCAAUAAUUUCCGCUGGUGUAUCGUGUGGGAAGAAUCAACAUACUACACCUCGAGUUCUUGGAACUAACUGACGUUCACAUGCAACCUCCACAAGGUGCUGUAUAUAUGCUUUUGACAUUCACCUGCCAGUUCGUGUAGAGGACACCCUAACGUAUGGUUAAUAUUAUCCAUUUCAUGAGUAAAAUACUGUGAUUCAAAAAUACUUCAAAUCCCUUGAGACAAUACUUCUCACUUGACUAACCACUAACCAACCCCGAAACCCUAACUCAACUCCGAACCCUAACACCUAACGGCAUAACCACUCCGUUUUGCCAGCCAGAUGGAGGAACUGGCUGGGAGGGAGAGAGGGCAGCGGUCCAGGGUUGAAAACGACGGGCGAGCGCAGUAACAUGUGGAGGAGGAAGUGCCACGUAUUCGUUCACCGCUAUUGGGCAGCGACACACAACACGCCCAAUAAGAUCUUCGCACGGUAGAAGGACGUCAUGUAUUCAAUAAUGUUAUUGGUCCUCCAUGUGCAGAAGGGCGCGUAUGGAAUAACAAGUAGGGACACUGCAACUAAUCUACUCUGCUCGUCCAGUCCCUAGCCUAUAAAUAGAUGCCAUGCUAGCUCUUGUUGUGCUCACAGUUAAUCCGAUUACACACGAGCUCCUCUCCCUAGCCAAGACACAAUCAUAGUAUGAUGAAGAACAUGGCACUAGCCGGCAAUGGUAUGAAGAAGUUAAUCCUCGCUGUUCUCUUACUGUGUCUAGUUAUAGGGCAGAUACAAGUGGAAGCUAAGAGCUGCUGCCCAUCCACCACUGCAAGAAAUGUCUACAAUACCUGCCGUUUGACGGGUGCAUCCCGUCCAAUGUGUGCAAAACUGUCAGGCUGCCAAAUUAUCAGCGGGAACAAAUGCAAGCCCCCUAACGACCACCUCACCCUUGACCCGGACACUGGUAAAUAAUAAAUUUAUCUCACUUGAUUUCUUUGUGUUUUGAGUCGUUAAUGUAUUUUCCAUCUGAUGAAACGCAUUGGUUUUGCAUUGAAGAGGAAGUUAAUGUGCUUAACUUCUGCAAGUUGGGGUGUGCGUCGUCUGUGUGCAACAACAUCAACGCUGGUAAGCACCUUUUGCUCAGACAGAGAAAACAAUAAUCAUUAAUUAGCGGCAGCUAGAAUCCUAUAAUCUAAUAUAUAUAUAUAAUUUUAUCAGCUCUGGGAAAUGAAGAGGCGAACGAUGCCGUUGAGAGUUGCGACCAAGCCUGCUCUAGCUUCUGCAGCGUGCAUGUUGGCAGCGCCACCGUGGUUGCUUAAGCAAAUGCAUCCAACUAGAUCGUCCUUGUGCUGAAUAAUUGGAUAUCGUAUCCACUUAAAGCUGCCUUGUGUAGUACGUCUUUGUGUCUCUCUUUAUAUUCCAAUAAGGUCGGUGAUCUUGAUGCCACACACUCAGAUGUGUGUUCAUCUCCAGAUACUACUCCAUGCUACCUGCCCUUUGUGUUUUGUUCAAUAACUGGGUAUCAUAUCCGAGCCAGUAUGCCGUCUGUUUUGUGUUUGUUUCCUUCUAGUUCCAAAGGGGUCAUCAUGAUGUUACCUUCUUUCAAUAUGGUGCUUUGCAUGACUACUGUUGUAUGGUACCAUCUUGUGGCCAAUAAGUACAUCUUAUCCUAUGACCCUUUGCUAUGACCCUUUGCAAAUAAGUAGAAGAUUGUUAUAAGCGUCAAUACUCAGUAUAAUUGAUCGCUGCUGUGAGUUCCCUUUCAGCUUAUCGUAGGCAUACAUUAUUGCUAGCACGGUAAAGCCAACCAACACGAAUGAUGAAGUAAACGUAGCGGUACUUCUGUAUACCAACACCCUUACUUAAAUGUACCGGUGUCAUUCCCUACUGGCACAUAUAUUCUUAUAUGCUAGCCAGCUUGUAAAAUUAACCAAUUAAAAUAAUUAUUUCAAGAUAGAAAUAACUUAUUGGCUUCUCGAAGCAUGUGUAAUGUGAAUUCAUGAGACUUCAAGCAACCAGGAAAAGACACUAAUAAACAUCCAGAUCCCAUCCAGCACACAUCCAUGCACAUAUAUAACCCACAUAUUGCUCCAGCACACAUCCAUGCAUAUACGAUAUCCAAAUGUUAAUAUUGUAGACAUCCAUGCCUGAACUAGUCUGCCACACAAGUCAUUGAUGCUACAAAUUCUACAAUCGCAGCAUGUGCAUACAACUUACAGAAUGAGAUAAUGUACCAAAACUAAAACGUUAGCAUCAACUGUGCUUCAACCAAAGUUGUCAUCCCAACUCUCCUCUUCAUCCAUGCCAUUCUUGUCAUGGCCGUCGCUGUCAGUCUCCAUGGCAUUGCCAAUGCUGUGUAUGUCUUGGUAGGAACCUACAUGUGAUGAACAGUAACCUGCAAAAAGAGCUCAAAGGAUCUUGUUCUCAUAUUGUAGCUGUGAAAUUCUUGCAAGUAGUGUUGCAAUCUGUUCACUUUGAACCAAAAGAGCUCAAAGGAUCUUGUCCUAAAAGUUCCUCUUAAAGCUUAUGGGUUUGCUGGUGGAACCGGAAGGGCUUGAUGCAGCAGAUGCCAUUCUGCAAUAGAGAAAAAUUUAGAGGGCAGUACUAGUUAAAAUUUGAUGCAGCAGAUACACACGAAACUAGUAUUUAUACAAUUCUAUAUAUGUAAUAAUUUGUCCCCUAAAUUUUUAGGAUCCUCUUGAUGGUGGUGAGUCUUCCAGUAAGGCAAUUGAAUGUCCGUCAUAAUAAAAUUCUCCUUAGGAUUUAUCAUCUCGUCAACCAGAAAUCCUAGGAGUGCUUCUUGGAUUGCCAAAACCCUAUCCUGAUGCAGGAGUUCGUCCUUAAGCCUUAACAUUUGUAAUUUGGAAAUAUGUGAAAGUUAAACCAACAAUUAAAAUAUAAGGAGCCUUAUCAUCAUUUCCAUGUGUUGCGAAUUAAAAUAAUGAAUAAUACAGUGUUAGGUGAAAAUUCAAGAAACAAAAUUUUGCAUAGAGAUAAACGUCCAACAUUAUUACAAGUUAAGGUAGUUUUAAAUAUCCUUGUAAUCUUCCUUUGAUUUCCUCAACGAUUCGAAGACAAUAACCUUACUUCUAUCAAUGAUAAUUAUAAGGAGAACCCAGUGAAAACUGUGUAUUCAUAUUAGAACUACCUAAGGUUAAUUAGGUUAGGAAAGGAAAUCGAAAAUAGAUGGUACCCACACUUACUUAAAGUUGUCGGGCAAUAGUAUGUAAUGCUUGUAAUUCCGUUGCUCCAAGAAUUUGUAUAUGUGGUCCAAUGUAGACUUUGGUUGAUUCCGUAUCUGCUGUUGGUUAAAUAAGUGUUUCUAGCCAUUACUAGCCGUUAGAACUCGGACUAAAGGGGGCUCUUUAGUACGGGUUGAUAUUACUAAUCGGGAUUAAAGAGCCCCCAUUAGAGUUGGUUUUUGGACGCGGAACUAACAACUCCUUUAGUCCUAAGUACAAAAAUGACUGAAAUAUUUGUUGCUGGAUGGAAGGUCCUUUCUCUACCAUGAAUAUUGCCAGAAAGAAUUGAAAGAGACUGCUUGCUAAAAAUAUGUCAUAGAUGUAGACCAAGCUACCAAGGAUGUAGACCAAACAUGAUACACACCAUGCGUACCUUGCUGUGCAGACUAUGCAUUGACAAGAUAGAAAUAAUUAAUUCUAAUAUGCGUACCCUUACUUACACUAGUAGAGAAUUGGGCUUUAAUCCCGGUUGGUAAGGUGCAAAUAUCUCGAAAAUGCAUCCGGGAUAAACCAACCGGGACAAAAGGGGGAUCUUUUAUCCCGGGUCACUCAACACGCGAUUUUUCACAAAAAAAAAAUUCCCGAGCUCCCAGGCAGGCCCCCCACACGCGAUUUUUCACGCGAAAUAUGCGCGUGCGCGGUUCGUGGGAUUCGAACCCACAACCUCCAGCCUCGCGCGUAGUUUCCUUGCCAUCCCACCUACACACCACAUCUGACUAUGUAGGGGAUACUAUCCUUUUGUAUUAAAAGGCUCUUGACCCUUUUAUCUCGGUUGGUGUUACCAACCGGGAUAAAAGGGGGGGUCUUUUAUCCCGGUUGGUGUUUCAAACCGGGAUAAAAGGCCUCUCAGAGUCUUUUUUUCCCAUUAGCCUUUGCAACCGGGAUAAAAGGUUCCGGUUGGUGAGCCCCCCACCAGUGACCGAGUUUUAGUCCCGGUUGGUGAACCUUUUGUCCCGGGCCAACUUUAAACCGGGACAAAAGGGGGCGUAUGGAAAGCCAAUUCUCUACUAGUGUUAAAUAUACCGGUGUUAUUGCCCACUGGCACAUAUAUUCUUAUAUGCUAGCCGGCUUGAAAAUUAACCGAUUAAAAUAAUUAAUUCAAGACAGAAAUAACUUAUCGGCUUCUCGAAGCAUGUGUAAUAUGAAUUCAAGGACUCGAUGGAAGUUGAAUCGCUUCAUCUAGAUUGCUUUCAGGAUUUUGGGUAACUAAAUUUAACAUUUGCACACACAAAUGUUAAUGUACAAAUGUUAAAUCUAGUUACCCAAGCAGAAUAUGAAUAUACUCUAUAGUAUACAUAUACUAUAUAAAUCUAGUUAAUAUUUAGUCUAAAUGUUAAAUCUAGUUACCUAAAAUCCUGAAAGCAAAAUGUAUAAAUAUAUAUCUUUUAAGGCAGUAUAAACUUCGAUUCCUUUUGCUGCUCUGUUAAAUCUCAUCUUUCGUUGUGGCCCAACACUCUAGUAUGUAUGUUGCACCAAGCUUCCUUGAGCCGCUCUGCCCUCUGAUUUUGCUGCGUAGGGGAAUCUUUAUCAGGUUGGGCUGCUUCCAGUCAUACGAUGUGUGGCUUCAUAUCUUCUACAAGUUAGACAGGAAACCCGCGUUCUGGAAGAUUCUGCAACGUGCACGUUGGCGCUGCCACCGUGGUUGCUUAAGCAAAUGCAUCCAACUGAAUCGUCCUUGUGCUAAAUAAUUGGAUAUCGUAUCCACUGCUUAAAGCUGCCAUGUUUAGUACAUCUUUGUUUUUCUCUCUUUAUAUUCCAAUAAGGUCGGUGAUCUUGAUGCCACACACUCAGAUGUGUGUUCAUCUUCGGAUACUACUCCAUGCUACCUGCCCUUUGUGUUUUGUUCAAUAACUGGGUAUCAUAUCCUAGUCAGUGUGCCAUCUGUUUUGUGUUUGUUUCCUUCUAGUUCCAAAGGGGUUAUCAUGAUGUUACCUUCUUUUGAGGUGUCUAUGACUUUGUUAAUAUCAAUAUUAACCAAUUCAAUCUAUCUUAACUAUUUGUAAGGGGUAUGAUGUAUGCAUGAUUAUAACAAUGAUUGCGCAUACAAUCACUGCCAAAGAAACGGUCAAUACCAUAAAGACAUAUUACAGACAAUUCUCAUAAUCUAUAAUGAAUAUACAUAUUCACUACUGCAGAGACUGUCAUCUGUAUCAGCUCAUACGUGCCAGGGCAAAGGUCACCCUUGCAUUAAAAGUACAUUUGCACGGUAAAGAUAACCAACACGAAUAAUGAUGUAAACAUGCCGGUGCUUUUGUACACCAACACGCUUACUUAAAUGUACUGGUGUCAUUCCUCACCGGUAGCCGGCUUGAAAAUUAACCAAUUAGAACAAUUAUUUAUUGUAUCGGUGUGAAUUUUGACCUAUUGGAAUAUGAAUUUGACCAUUACUGCAUUCGUCAAGACUCAAGAGAGAAAUAACUGAUCGGCUUCUUAGAGCGUGUGCAAUGUGAAAUCAAGGACUGGAUGGAAGUUGAAGCGCUAGCUUCAUCUUCCGCUGCAUGUUAAUUGCUUGGAUAAGAAGUUGUAGCCGCGUAUAUAAAUAGUCCCGCUGAUGCUGUGCUCCGAAGUCUAUACUAUAUAUGCGAAAACUAGAUUGCUUUCAGGAUUUUGGGUAACUAAAUUUAACAUUUGUACAUAAAAAUGUUAGUUUACGAAUGUUAAAUCUAGUUACCCAAGCAGAACAAGAAGAUAGUAUAUACUAUAUACUAUGUAAAUCAAGUUAACAUUUAGUCUAAAUGUUAUAUCUACUUACCCAAAAUCUUGAAAGCAAAGAAAGAAUAAGUAUAUAUCUUUUGUUGGAAAAUUGGUCCACGGAGAGUGGCCUCGUUCGUUUCACCGGGAAGGAAUUCCAGUCAGGAUUACUUCCAAGUCCGGUUUAAGUGAUUCCACCCAUGUCACUCAAUUCGGCUAGGAUUCAUUCCAGGGGUGAGGAGGUAUGGUUUCAAUCCGGGCCAUCUAAUGUAGAAGGAUUCCAAUCCAGGCCGGUUUUCGUUCUAGGCUAGACUAAAACGAACAACACUUUCAAUGCAAGUCUGGUUUCAAACCGGGCCACUUCAAACCACCCGGAAUGGACCUCAUUCCGGGCCAAUCCGGUGAUAACAAACGAGGCCUUAAUGGAAUCCCAAAGCAAGAGUUCAGUGGCAUUCUAUAGUCCCAUGCUGCUAGUUUGAGUUGGUCGAAGCCAACUUAAAUAGGAGAGCUCUCUCACUUCUCUAAAAAUGUAACUGAAGGAGAGAAGGGGGCUUGGGUUACACAACGCACGCACGCACGCAUAUUUGCAUUCUUUUCGCGUAACCGACCGCGUGACUUGAAACUUGCGACGUAGCGUGCUGCUAAGUCAAGUUGAUAUAACCUUUUUGCCGUUUGCGUGUAAUCUUUUGACAACGGUCAUUGGAGGUGAUAAGCACGCAGUCAAUACCUUAAUCCUGAGUUAAUAGGGCGGUUACUACUGCCAAUUAGUGCAGCAAUUUUGUAGGGGAAACGGUUAGCAGAGGGCUACCGUCUUCUCUAUAAGAAGUUUUGGAGACGUCCAGGAACACACAUGUACAUGUGAGAGACCCACGGAUUCCUUCCCUUCUCCCUUUUCCAUCUGGUGAAGUGUGCUAUGGUACUGAGCUGCUGGAUCUCGCUGGCUCUUCUCCUUGGCGUGCACCGAGGAGGAGGAUGAGCGGUAUCUCUGAGCUAUUGCCGUCAGGAAGCCUGCACGAGGGACAACAAUAAAGUUUUUAGGUAGCGCCUGCCUAAUCUUCGAUCUGCACUGCAACGCGUAACCCUGCAGCAACUCUACACGAGGACGGAGCACUAAUCUGUAAGUCCUAGAUUGGUUUCUUACAGAGUUGUAGGUUACACAAGAUCUAGAAUGGUUACAUACCAAUUAUUAUGGGUUACAUGAUGUUUUGUACGGUUUCGUCUAUUUUGCAUAUGUUAUUUUUACAUACCGUUUACAUGCAUAUGUUAAUGGUUACACCUAGCUAUUUGAAUCUAGAAUUGGGUUACAUAGCAGUAGCAAUGAGUUACGUAAUAUGCCUCACGUUUAUAUCUGGUAGAAUUUAACACGUAUCUCCAACAUAUUUUGAGGCAGUAUAAAUUUCAAUUCCUUUUGCUGCUCUGUUAAAUCCCGUCUUUCGUUGUGGCCCAACACUCUAGUAUGCAUGUAGCACCAAGCUUGUUUGAGCCGCUUUGUGCUUUGAUUUUGCUGCGUAGGGGAAUCUGUAUCAGGUUGGAUUGUUUCUUUGUCUUGCGAUGUAUAGCUUCAUAUCUUCUAGAGGUUAGACAGCAAAACCCGCAUUCUCUUAAGGCAACAACCCGAAGAAUCUGCAGCGCCUCUGAUAUAUCACUGCUGCAGAAACGAUCUUUAGUACUGAUCUCCAACCCUCUUUAGUAUCGGUUGGGCAACCAGUACCACUAUGUCGGUACUAAAGGGAGUUCUCUAGAAUCGGAUCAAAUAACCGGUACUAAAAGGGCUCCUUUACUACCGGUUGGUAACAACAAUAGGUAGUGACUUUUUUGCACCCAAAAAAUUAAAGAAUAACAGCCGGGAGGCUCGCACACACACGCAUCAUGAGUAAUAUGCGCGUGCAUGGUUUGUGGGAUUUCAACCCACGACCAAGCUAUAAGAACGUAGUUACAACAAAUCAAACACUUAGACAUUUUAGAGCAUCCCAAAUAACUACAAAUUCUAUAGUUUACCAUAUACCAUAAAAUAUUAGUUAAAAUAAGAGCAUACACAUGUCGGAAGAGUCCCAAUGCACCGGUUGAGGAUCAGACCAGGCACUUUGAAUGCACAUGCCAUAAGAUAAUUCUGCAGGACAAUGAUUGCAAUAAUGGACCAUCGAGAAGAUAGGGGCGAUGGGGUUGCCUCAUCAAUUAUCACUUGGCGCAACAAGACCAGCAAAGUCUUUAUCGACGGGGGUGGAUCAAGGGGUGGGGCAGGCAGAGCUCCAGUCCUCCUACCGCCGCUCGAACAAUGGAGCCCCCUUAGCCCCUCCAUAAAUUUUUAGGUAGAAGAAAAAAGAAGAGAAGGGAAGCAAGGGGAAGAAGAGGGAGCCCCUGCUAAGUAGGUCGCCAUCGUGCUUCCCAACGCAUGAUCGCCGCACCGCAUCCAUUCCUCUACAAGCCUUCAGCGUCUCUCCCGCCGCUACCUCUGAACCAUGUGCAGCUAUAGACCCAACUAGUGUGUUGUCGCCCAUCUCAGUCCCAACAGAGCGGCGGCGGCUGCCAACACAAAUCUCCCUCCGCCUCUUCUUCACGGUCGAUGGCCGCCACAAGCAUAAACCUCGCCUUCGCAUCCAAGCAAAAGGGUCGUUGGGGUGCCUUCUUGCAUCACUUCUCAGCCUCCUUCACUUGCGGCCAGCGAAGAACUGCGCCACCACCUCGGGUGCGUGCCACCACUCCAGGGCCGCUACCCCAUGCCUGCGGCCGCCACCGGCCACCACGCGUGUGCAACCGCGUUGCACCGCUUCCCUGCUUUGUGCCACCACUACUGCUGUACCACCAGCUCCACCACCUUGGGAUGGUCGCCAGGGUGACUGAUUGGUGAUUAUUACUAAAAAUAAGUUCCUUAUUAUCUGCAACUACUAUUAACUCAGAGAUACAUGCGUCUUUUGCUUCUCCUGCUAAUAGGUCCUAAAAUAUCUAGGAUGCUUUAUAUUUCUGGACAGAGGAAGUAUUUGAAUAAAAUGAACCAAUUUAAAAAAAAUGUGUUGUACACUACUACAGAAAGACCUAUCAGUGUCAAACCCAAAAAUGUCGUCACCGCCAGUUUUAGGCAUCGUUGGUGAAAGGUUGGCGGUGAUGGGCAUCCCCUUCAACAACGGCACUGGAGCCGACGGUGAUUGACAUUAGAAAACAAAAAAGGGAACCCCACCUAGCCACCCCUGCAACCCAGCCGGCCGUGCCUCCCCUCAUGCCCACCACCUCGCCUCCCCCGUGACCCCCCGCCGGCGCCCUUGUGCCUAGCCCCCUCGCCUGCCCGGCCGGCCACCCUCGUCAUGAGAGAGAGAGGUGCAUGUUGUAUAAUUGCGUGAAUUUUUGAAUGUUUAAUUUUAUGUAAGUUCCAUGUAAUAAAUUGUACAAGUUUUAUUGUAUAUAUGAAUUCCAUAUAUAUGUAUUUAUAAUUUAAUGUAUGGUUUCAUGUGUAUAUUUCAAUCAUGUGUAUAAUUAGUAGAUUGCCGAUUUUCUUUUUCUACUAGACAAGGGUUGAUGUAUAAUUACGUGUAUAUGUUUAUUGUAUGGGCAAUUAGGACAAGUUUUGUAUAAAUUUCUUUUAUUUCAUGGUUGUUGUAUGGUUUCAUGUAUAUACAUUUAUUGUACUACUUGAGACAAUUUUAAUUUAAUAUUUCUAUGAUUACAUGUGUGUAUAACUAAUUGUAUUAUUAGUUAAGAUGGGAGCCAAAGAGGAUGAAAGGUAUAUAAUAGAGUAGAUUAUUGCUGGCGGUAGUGGCUCAAACGUUGCAAGAACCUACACCGAGGGUGAGGGUAGCUAGGUGGACAUGUACCUCAACAUGUCCAGUGAUGGCAAUGACGAUGAGGAGCACGAGCAUGACGUCUAUGAUAAUGCGGAACAAGACAUUGCAGAAUUGGAAGGUUCUAAUGAGGUGUGCUUCAUGUUGACGAUCUAGUUGGCUUUUUUUCUUUGGUCACACCUUAGUUACCAUAGAACUUCGUCUCGGGAGAAGAUUGGUGGUGCUAUGGUGAUUGGAAUUUUAUUGCCUCCAAAUUUGAUUUCCAUCGAAUCAUAUCCCUUGUAUUUAUCUUCUUUUUAUUUGUGAGAGCAUCUUCUUUAUGCUUGCAAAACAAUUCAAGUGCACAUACUACCCCUAGGGUGAUGAUUGGGAGUAGAAACAAUUGCCAACAAAACAACACCACAUCCUAAGAUUCUUAACUUGUGGCAUAAUUAAUCUAGUGAAAAGAAAGAUAAAAACCUAAUGGGUGUACGUGAGUGCAAUGUGUAUAUGCAUAUGAGUGGAAGGCAUAUAAGCAAAGACAAUAUUUACACAUAGUUCUAAACACCAUGUUUACAGCUAGGUUGCUGAAUUUCUCCAUAGCUAUAGAGAUUAAUUAACCAAGGUCAAAACACGAUGUCUAUCCCAAGAUCAGUAAUUCUUUAUAGCACAAGAAAAAUAAAGCGCAUUGCAAAGUUUAUAAACCAACCAAUACAGCAUGAAAACAAGAUGAAUAGCUAGCAAGGUUUAUUAAAUUGAAUGAUGACGGUCUGCAAGCAAGUUUGAACACCAUCUUUACACAAGAUUGCAAAUGGAAAAUGCCCAUAUGAAGCACUAACAUGGAUAUGAAAUCAUUCAUCAUAAAGCGUAAAGAACAACCAAGCCAACCAUAUGCAAAGCAUGAAUGGAAUGCAAUGAAGGUGCAAGAGAACAUUUUUGGAUGAACACAUUAUGAUGAUGGCAAAAUGCAAUGCGUGCAGAAAUAAUAAAUAUGAACAUGAAUAUGAUGAUCAGGGGCGGACCCACUAUUGUGGCCUGGGUAUUCCUGGGCAUACCCAAUAUUUUUGGGAAAAUGUUUAGUAGUUUUUAAUGGCAUAUACAUGUAUAAUAUAGUUUAGGUGUUAAAAUUGAUAUUCACAGCUAUUUUGGGCUCCAAUUCGCGUCCAAACCAACCUAGCCCACAGACCACACCCGGCCGGCCAGCCCAUCGGCCCAUCUAGUCACUGAUCCUUCCACCACCACACUCAGCCCAUCAGUCGGUCAGGUCCCGAGCUCCUGCCUGACCUAGUCUGCUACCGCCGCCGGGCGCCAAGCACAGCCGUACGCAUUGCACCGCCCCCGUCCACCCACGUCCGUUGGGGGGCCAAGCCGCGCCCCCCAGCCCCCGCGGUGAGAUCUCGACGCCCGCUGCCCCCAGACCCCAUUAGGCCUCCAUCGGCAAGUCCACCCACAGUCCCACGGGACGGGGCAGCCUUUUGGCUUUGGGCGCUCGGGGCGCGCCAAUGCCAGCGCAGCCCCAGCAGGCGACUGCCCCCCCCCCCCGCAUCAGGCCUCAGCCCCUCCCCAGCUCCCCCUCCCCCCUCCACCAGGACUGCUUGUUGGCCCCCACCGCGAGGUAAUCGAAAUGGACUGCUCAAUCACUCAAUCUGUUGACAUGAUGCACACGGNNNNNNNNNNNNNNNNNNNNNNNNNNNNNNNNNNNNNNNNNNNNNNNNNNNNNNNNNNNNNNNNNNNNNNNNNNNNNNNNNNNNNNNNNNNNNNNNNNNNNNNNNNNNNNNNNNNNNNNNNNNNNNNNNNNNNNNNNNNNNNNNNNNNNNNNNNNNNNNNNNNNNNNNNNNNNNNNNNNNNNNNNNNNNNNNNNNNNNNNNNNAUUUUUUUGCAAUGAGCAUACCCUACUCUGAAAUCCUGGGUCUGCCACUGAUGAUGAUGGUCUAAACAUAAAACAAGCCAAGAUUAAUUAGCCACAACUGAAAUUAAGCAAAGGUUAAUGUCAUUGACCCUAGCUCUAUCCUAGCUUUUACAAAAGUCCCAGCACAUAUAGUGGUUGGGCCCACUCUCUCUGCUUCCCUCUCUGCUGCAUGCAUGCACACGAGCAACGGGAGGCCCCACAAAGCCCAGAAGGGUUCGGCUGAACCCGGCCGAUCCAAUCUGAGCACCACUCCCUCCCAGCCUUCGCGCAGAUGCUCCUCCAACAUUCCUUGACCCCUCCCUCAGCGUCCCAUUGGGUUUAACAUUGCAGGAGAGGAGUCCCUUUUUUAAAAUCUCAACCACCUCCUCUCCUCAUUCACUCCACUCUCAUCUCCAUCAAACUCACCAAGAUCCACAUCGGAAAUCCCUGCUUACCACCAUGGCUGGCAAAGCCCUCGUCCCUUUCACCAACUUGGGCUUAACCAUUGAUCUCGAUGGGGAAAUCACUCCGGAAAUAGGGCAGUGACCCAGAGCAAAGGUGAUGCCAGAGUGUAGAUAGCAGUUAGCAUGCCAAAUUGUGAACCGCAAGCGCUCGGAUUAGUUGUUUUUUUUCCCUUAGAGAUUCCCCCAAGGUUUAUCAAUCCAUGGAACAAGGGAUUUGCACAUUUCACUAAGCAUUAAUCAAUGUAAUUGAAAGCUUUUUGAAUAAGAUAUGAUUAUGCUAACAAAGGAACUAAGCAAUCUAGAUUAAGAUGGAUAGAGAGUAAAGGUUGUGAACAAGAUAGAUUAAACGCUUAUAGAUGCAAUCACCAUGCAUGAAUGAAUUAGAUCUAGGUGUUAUUGUGAGUGGUUGUGAACCAUACCCCAACACUUUCCCACCCGCAACAUUGUCACUACAUGUGGGUACUCAACUAUCGAAACAUAAGAACACAUCAAGAUGAUCAUUCUAGGUAAGCAAAUAAGCAACCCAAAGUAGCGCUGGCCAGCCUUUUCAUGAAAGAGCAUCAUCAAGAUAAGAUUGAUAACAAAAUAGAUCUCAACCAAAGGUUCAGCGAUUACAAAUCAAGAUCUCCGUAUAACCCCGAUGACAAAUAGAGGUAUUACCCCCAUGAUCUUACACAUGUUGAUGAAUUUUAGGGUAAAGGACGCCCUGUAGAUCAACUGGACCAAAGAUGAUGAUGAACAGGGGCAGGGAAGGCCCAGGCUGAUCAGCCUGGGCACUUUUGAGCCGAUCAGCUUAGGGAGUUUCCUCCUCCCCUGGUGCUCCUCUUCGCGUGGCCUCCUCUGGAUCCAAUCUUCUCUUCAUUUCUCCUACUUGUGGUGGCAAUGGAUGGUGUUUGCAUGGUGAUUUCCUCUUCUCCCCAACUCUCCCUCCUUGAAGUCCAUGAGGGGGUAUUAAUAGUCUCCAAUAUGCGGCAGCUCUGGGUCAAUGUCGGUGAAAAAACCCUAGAGAUCAUCGUACACUUCACGCUGAGGAAACAAGAGGUCGACCGAGCCCUGGGAUAGACCAAGAGGAUCAGCCUAGAGGGUCCCAGGCCAAUCGGUCUAGGCCCUUCCUAGCCCUUCUAGUCCUCUCCUUCCUCGUGCUGGCUUUUCUCGAUGACCCUUGUCCAAAUAUCCAUUAAGCUCUAUAUACAUACCCCCUUGAUUAUGUCGUAUUUCCUGUCAAAAUACAAUGCUCCAAAAUACAACACAUAUGCAAUAAUAGGGUUAUUUCAUGUGCCAAUUGGUGCGUUAGUAUACGAAUAAGCAUGAAAAUACUGGUUAAAUGACACUAAAAGUGUGUCAAUAACGAGCACCAACAAUCCCCCCACGCUUAGAUCUUGCUCGUCCUCGAGCAAGUCUAGCGACUAAAAGAUCUUGAAUUAAACAUGAGCAAGCGAGUCAAGUACCUAGCCUUGAAACAAAAGAUUAGAGGAGCAGCAAAGAUAAUCAAAGUCUGGGUGUUCAAAGAUUUAUCUAAGCAAAGAUUCCCCUACAACUAUUAUUCAGAACCAAGUAACUUCAAGAAUCAACUACACUUAUUUUCUGGCUUUUUUCAGAGGGUUUUUCUUUCAUCACAAAACAAUCUCCCUGCAACAAAAUUGAAAAAAGAAUUAUUUUCCAGGUGCUUACAUGUCGUUUAAAUGAAUGUUCGCUAUCCUACUUAUUUGCAAGCUCUCAUCUCUCAAAAUUCAUUCAAUUAUAUGGUGGAGCUUGGGUAAGGUUAGCUAGAAUCAACACGUAUAUUAUUGAAUUAAGAAAACCCUCUAACGGUAGCCUACCUUUCGAGCCAUUGAUCAUAAGAAUAUCCACAUAAUGUGAAGUUUUCAAGGAUGAGAAUAGAAUGGUGGACAUGUGCAAAGGCAAAGAAAUAUAGUGACUCUGAGGCACAAGCAAUGUCCUCGUCGUUGGAUUGCAUAUGGUUGGAAUGAAAAUCUGUUCCUUAAACAAGUCCAUCUUUUCUUUGCACCACUCUUGAUCUUCAUGACAGUAAAAACUCCUCCUUUAUUUCUUUCUCUCUUUUCCUAUUAUUUCUUUUUAUUUGUCUCAAUACUUUUCUUUCUUUAUUUCUUUAUUUUAAUCUCUUCUCCGAACCUCUUCUGAACACCACACAAUAAAAAUCAGUUUUAGAUCCUUCUAGAGACCUUCCAGGAAUUUGCUACAUGAAAACCGAGGCAAGGAGACCCCAGGCCGAUUGGCCUGGCCACUCCUUUGCUCUCCUCUAGCUCUUCUUUCUUGUGAAGCUUCCUUAUCUUGUAUCUUUCCAAAAAUUUCAUAAAGCUCAACUAGAAACGGAACACAUCUUCAUAUAAUGAGUUGUGUUCAAGGAAUUGGUAAUAAAAUUGAGAAAUUUGUGGUUCGGGUUUACGAAUUCAGUACAAAAAUAUGAUUAUUCCAAUGAAGAACUCUCAUUACUGAAUAUUGACGAGGCAAGCAUUCAAAGAUGGUAAAAAGGAUAUGAUCAAUUCUCAGAAUUAAAGCAAACCAAGAGAGAGCGAUCCUAAUUCAAUUCAAAGUGUCAAAUGUUGCUUAUGGUGGUAUGAAUAAAUAUUUUUAGGCAUUGGGUAGGAUAAAUAAAAACUCUCAACCUGGUUAAAAGAUAUUGAUCAAUCUUGUUUUUGCAGAGGUUUUAAAUAAAAAAUAAAAUUUUAAAUCACCUCCAAUUCAAAGCCUUACUCAUAAAUCAUAAUCAAAACUGAAGCACUUGAUCAUCAUAAAGCAUGGGUAUUGCAUAAACAAAUCGAUUACUAAAACUCCACAACUACGAUUUAGAAUUCAAGACAAUGCUCAUAAUCUAAAGUUGCAAAGACAAAAUAAAAGACAAGCAAGCCAAGGUAGACACUAAAAACACUUGCACGAUCCUUGAAUUUUAUUCAUGCUUCUUCUCACAAAGACGCUAAAGUAGCCAUGUAGGCCUAAGUCUUCCCAAAAGCUUAAGAAGACUACUACUUUAUCUACUUUUGGUUCUAAUAAAAACACUAAUCUAGACUCUCACAUGAUUCGACUCGACCAAACUAGAUCCAAAAACUCAUACGAGCGACAAUCUCCCCCCCCCCCUCUCAAAUCUACGACCUCCUCGUGGUAACCAUAUGGAGUACAAGGAAAAGACGCUUGUAAACGCACUAAUGACGCUACCCGGACUACUUGCACACGGAAUGGUUGCUGUUUCCUUUGCUUUGUUCUUCGUCAUGUUGCUGCACAUCCCGAAGAGCUUCCUCACGUUCCUCUGCAAGAACUUGAACUUGAACUUGUCCUCCUGACGGCAAUCAUUAUCUUCUGCCUUUUGAUCCAGAGCUUGUAAGGCUUGCAUGAUGUCAUUGAACGCAUCGAAGAGGUAGUGGAUGUUCUUCCUGCAAGCUGUGGAACAUGUACGAUCAUGCUCCUACGAUUCUGGCCCGUCGUCUUCUAGAUCCUCCUCUUUGCCCUUGUCUUGACGGUGGCCAUCUUGCUCCUUGCUCGUCUUCUUGCCUUCAGCCCGAUCCCAGUACGUGUUGUCAUCUUCUUCAUCAUCACGGCCUGCAGCACCCUAUGAUCCAUUGUCUAUCUUGUAUGAAAGAAUCAGAAGCUUGUUCUCCUCAGGGUGUCUUGCGCGGUGCAGCGUUUGCAAGUGCAAGGCUUGCUAGUUCUUUUUACACAUUGUAAUGUUCAUUGCAUGCUCUAAUUGUUCUACAUUUGUAAUUUCUUGGUGAAGUUUGGUUACUGAUCCACUGUUUGAUUAACUCUUGGGCCCAAACACUGUACUACUUCUGAUUAGAUAUCUGUAUCUUAACUUUGACCAAAAAAAAUAUCCGGCAGUUUUUGCCAUUAAAGUUUCAUAAAUCAUCUUGCAAAAAUCGUACUAUACAACAAGGGACGGUUUAUUAUAAAAUAUACGUUCCCCUUAUCACAUGCCACUUCCACUCAAAAGGCAACGAAUCAGUUUUCAAUCCUGAGUGAGCAAUUUGCUUUUAUUACCGAUGCCUCCUAUUCCCUUGUGCACCAAGUUCAUUUUGGAUAGGACUGCAAAAAGCGACUAACCAGCUCGGAUUCUCCACCUGCAAAACCGCAUCUGCAGCAACCAACCCCACGCGGUGGAAAAAAAAACAAAACCCAGAAACCGGACGGGGGUGGAUGUGGGGCUCGGAGCCCAAGCAAAAAAAGGAUCGGGAGCGCCGGAGCAGGCCAUCACCGGAUGUUAGAGAUAGAAAAUGGUUGAAGUUGGAGUGGAAAUCAAACAAGCCUUGGAGCAAAGGAAAAAAAAGAUCAAACCACUCAAGCAUUCAUUUGAUUUAGAAAAGAGAACAUUUGUUAAGGUGGGGAGUUGAAAUCAUCUUUUAAUUAGUUCCACGUAUCUGGUAUCAUUACAGUUGGUUGACUUGUGUAAGUAUAUAAGUAGCUCUGCCGAAGCCUUUGCUCCUAUAAUUUAGUAACUAGUACAAAUGGAUCAUUAGGAAAAUCAAGUUGCAAUCAUUUCUCAGCCAACCAAACCUAUCUAAAUCAAAUUAUUGUCCAUGCCCGGCAUGCACAGGUGCCUGCCAUGCAUGCAUUGUUGCUCCAUUGUAAUAACCAUUAUUGUCCAUUGAUGUUCCAGCGCAUGUGUGCACUGUGCAGACACCAAGCAUCGAGAUUAUGUACUAGUAAGGUACCAAGAACACGUGAAGCACACGGGGGAGGCUGCUCCACUCGGCAUGCACAGGUGGGGCACGGCACCACUACUCGUCUCCUUCAGGCAGAGGACAAGUGAUGUACGCUGAUCAACCACUAGUAGAAAAACGACUUUCCAUCCACCCCCUUUUGUCCCGGUUUAAAGUUGGCCCGGGAUAAAAGGUUCACCAACCGGGACUAAAACUCGGUCACUGGUGGGGGGCUCACCAACCGGGACCUUUUAUCCCGGUUGCAAAGGCUAGUGGGAAAAAAAGACUCUGAGAGGCCUUUUAUCCCGGUUUGAAACACCAACCGGGAUAAAAGGUGGUCUUUUAUCCCGGUUGGUGUUUCCAACCGGGAUAAAAGGGUCCCCACGAGUUAAUACAAAAGGAUAGUAUCCCCUAUAUAGUCAGAUGUGGUGUGUAGGUGGGAUGGCAAGGAAUCUCCGCCCUCUCCACCUUCGGUACUCCAUGGGAAACCAUUCCUUUGGAACCAAGGAAGCUUGAACAGUAUAACGAAUAAAGUUUCAUAUAUCCAUUUGAUUUCACAUGAAAUAAAAUAUCCUGUCAGAACCAAUGGUUUCACUGAAGCUCCAGGCAGCGAGCGAAGGGGUGAGAGAGGAUAACGCUUACUGUGUGUUACCAUCACGUGCACCAUGGAUGACCAACGCGCAGCCGAGAUGAAACGGCGGACCUAAACAGGUCCUCGCUAUUUUUGCAGGUUCUCGACCAGGCCAGUUCUUUGGGCCAACCUAUAAUUCACGAGUUAAACAUACGGUGGCUGUAGAAAUGUUCUAUUCUUUUCAACAAUACCAGCUGGUUCCUCCGUUUUUAUUCCACCAAUACAAGCACCACCUUGUAACAUUUCCUAUGUUUUUUUUCCUUUCGUCUGUUUUCUCACUACAUGCGUUGCUCUUUCAUGCAUUUUUUUCCAUUCCUGUAUUCCAAAUAGGUCUACAUGAACACAAAAUGAACUAGGGGACAGAAAAAGCCAGUGAAGUUAGUUUUGAGCUUCACCAGCUACUUGCUACAUAAAGUGUGCUAUAGUCGCAGAAAAGCUAAGCUGGAUCAGACGUGGCCGAAACCAUGCCAAAGAGCUAGGUCCCUAGCUGAUGGCAACACAUCAGAUGACUAGCCUGCUUUUUUGUAAUAAUGAUAUUGAGCAAUACACUGCAUGGCUAACCUGCUUUACAAUAAUUGUCAUUUUAUAAUAUUGGUCAUCACGAGAGAUGCACAUUGCAUACACCGGUCCAUCCCUAUAAAUAGCCAAGCCUUUCAGCCAUCUUGGGCACCUCCUCUCAGGGCCUCGUCUCACCAUUAGACAUCUCGUUCCCAGUUAUAAUUUGCGAGGUUAGAUCAGGCUGCGCCAUGGCGUCCGCAGCUGCUGUCAAGAUCGCCGCCAUCUUCAUGCUGGUGCUGACCAUGGGCCACCUGAUGGCCGAAGCAUCACCGCAGCCUCGGCGUCUGCUUGCAGAAACGGAGCAUGCUGCGGUGUCCGGGAAUCCUGGCCUCCCAGGUGAUGCUAGCGUCAUGCAGGUCCUCGAACCCGCCCUAGUUUCUCCUCUUGCCUGCAAGCCAGAGUGCACAGUCCCUUGGCCUCCUUUUGUAUGUAUCUGCUAGAUCCUCUUCCUGGAUCAACGGAACUUCAGGGAAAUGGCUGUGACGUCGGCCAAAGAAUAAAUUGGCUGAACAUAAUAUACCCCGGGUAGUGUAGCUUGGGCUUUUGUUGAGCGUCUGGUACUAGUUGUAUUUUGUUUGCUCAUGUGGCUUUGUUUCUGGUUGCAUAUUGUCUUUCCUAUCGCUCUCUGUUGCAGCUAUGGUUUCUGCCAGGUGUGUGUCAAUGCGGUUUGUAAGCGGUGCUUGUUCCUACCUUCUGUUUUCAAUAAAAGAAGUCGGAGUCUCCCUCCGACUCUUGUUAUCAGUCAAGAAAAAUGAGUUGUAUCAUAUAUAUCUGCGUCUUUUUUCUAUGUAUCUCUGGGCUGCUUCAGCUGGAAGUUUAUCGUAAGUACGUGUAUCAGGAUGAUCGUUUGAAUUAAAACGAAAUGAUAAUGUGUGGCUGCUAGAAAUGGAAUGAGCAUCUUACUAUAUUACUAAUUGGAAGCCUCCACGUGAAGCCACCUAGAAAUUCUAGGUGGAUGUUUUAAAAAAAAGAAAACCAAUAGAAGCCUCCACCACCUAGGAAUCCUAGAUGGACGCUCUAAAAAGAGAGAAAUCCUAGAAAUUCUAAAAAAAGAAAAAAAAUAAUAACAAUAAGAUUUUUUUUGCAGUCAGUUACAUAUAUUUUUUUGAGACACCGUGCUGCUAGCUCUUGCCAUUGCGACCAAUAAAGCAAGCAGAUAGUAAGAUGACAUGCGUGUGGAUUGAUUAAAACAGAUUCUGUUAGUUGAUUCUAAAUCAUAUGUAUCCUAAAAGGAACUAGAUAUGUGCGUGCAUGGUCCCUAGCGAUGACAUGUAGACAUGUAUUGCAAUUUCUUUUUUAAAAAAUAUGUCUAUCUCUAAACCAACAAACAGAAAAAAUAUCAAUCUAAAUCUAAAUCUCUUCCGUUCUCACACGCCUAUUAAAGAGAACACAACCAAUCCCAUCCAUGUUCCAUAGAAUCCAUCUAAAAGCUUGCUCACUGCGGACGGCAAAUCAACGAAAGAUCAUCCUCUCCAAAUAGCUAGACGGCAUCACCAUCUUUAUCUCACCAACCUACAGAGCUACAACGAUGUUGUAGAGAUCAACUAGGUAACCUACCAAUCACCCUCCCCUUUUCUAUAUGCUCUAAAGAACACGUGGAGUAAUUAUAGGCCUAUAGGAGCCGACUAACCUAGAUUAAUAUGAAAAAUAUUCCAAUAUUAAAAGCAAGCAGAUAGUAAUACUUGCCUUUGAGCAUUUUUCAAGAACUGUUAUUCCUAUUGAAUGUUCAAGUGCUACGGCCAGGCAUCGAAUGUCUGCACGGAACCUUCCUAUUGAAUGGUUACUCUAGAGAUCAACGCACCGCGAGACAUUGUUUUUGGAAUUUGUUUGAUUCCCCUUCUACAAUUAGAUUAAUUUUUCAUGGUAUAUAUUACUACUAUUAAAUUAUUUGUUUAUUAUCUGGCCUGCUGCAUGUGUGGUAUAGAUGACUUGCUUCUCACCAUUGUUCUCAAACUGUUAUUCCUAUCCAAUCUUUCUAUCGAAAUAUAUUUUAAUUACUUGAUUGUUGUUUGUGUACCAUAACUUCUGUAUAGAAAAAUUCCAUGUUUGUAGAUAAUGUCUUUUGUAUAGAAAAAUAGCCCAAUUAGGUCCAUCACCAUCUUUUGCUUAUGUAGUUGAACAAGUUGCAAUGCUGAACAAAACUUUAAGUGAAAUUAGACUAGGAAAAGGAAUUGUGGAACAUUAAGGCAAGGGUAACCAGAUUGUGGAAUGCAACCUUACUCAGUAGUGGCGAACAAUUAAGUCUUGACAUGAUCCUUAUUGAUCAAGAGGUAUGAUAGAUGUUCACUUUGAUUGCAUUUUUGGUAUAAUUUUUGGCUUACAAAUUAUUAAUGAUGAUGCAAAAUUAGGGAACCAUGAUCCACGGUGUUAUCAAUAAGCCCUAUAUGGAAAAGUUCAAACCAUUGAUUGAAGAAGGCAAUGUGUACAUAAUUGCAAAUGUCAGAAUCACACCAGAACCACAGAAGUAUCGGCCAGUGGGAAAUGACAGGAUAGUCAACUUCUUACCCACAACUGCACUAAAAAAGGUCAAAGAUACUGAAGACAUUCCAAAGUAUAGUUUUAACUUCAUGAGCACGGAUAUGCUUUCAGCAAGAAUAAAUGUGGACAUGUACCUAUCAGGUAAAACAUUACUGGUUUUUCAAUUUUUACACUUCCACUCAUUCAAUGACCAUCUAAUAAUAAUUCAGAUUUAUGUUUCAUAGAUGUUAUAGGUAUCUCAGCUCACAUUGGACCGAUAGAAGAAACAAGGACAAACUUCGGAUUUACCAAAAUCCGUGAUAUUGUGCUCCUGAUCGAGUAAUUCUCAUUUCUUUUGUAGAGAACAACUAUGAAACUUUCAACAUUUACAUGUAUGGUAUAGAACUUCUGUUGAACUAAAAGAUAUCUUCUACAGUGCCCCUACAAAUAAUUAAUUUCGCAGUUAGGUAUUUAAAAUAUUAAUUAUUCACUUUUAAUUUUGUGGCCAUGAAGUUAAAGUUAGAUUUUGGGGAGACAAAGUUGAGGAAGUUGAUGAUAAGACAAAAUCCCAUGUCAUUGCAAUAACAUCUACAACUGUGAGGAAAUUUGGCAGUAAGUCUUCAUUCAAUAUGAGUUAUUCAAUAUUAGUCAUUCAACAAACUAACCUCCUAGGAAAAAUAAAUAAUUGAUAUUUUAUCAGGGUAUUCUCUAUCGUCAACCAAUGCAACAAAAGUUUAUGUAGAUCUACCUAUUCCUGAAACUAAGGAUGCGCAUGAUAGGUGAGAAAAAUUAGAUAUUGUUUUUCUAUUUUAAUCUAUGUAGCAUGCACUCUAACAUGAUACAUUCUUUCGUAUGAUGAAAAAAUGUUAGUUCAAUUGAUAAUAUUGUCAAAGAGAUUCAUUAUUGAGGACCAUCUAAAAGGGAUAUUGGAAGACCAAAUGCAGUACAAUAGAAGAACUUUAGAAGAAUUAAAUUUGAUAUUAUUUGAAACAUCAAAUCAGGUAUGGAUUAGUAUGUUCAUUGUACACUAUACUAUUUAGAGACAUACAUACAUAAUGAUGGUAUUGUUCCUACUUUCAGGAUGAGGUAUUUACGAUGAGGUAUUUACUAUUGAAGCAACAAUAAAUGAAAUUAAUGCAACAUAUGGUUGGUACUACAUCUCAUGUAGUAGAGGCGAUUGUAAGAAGCAACUUGAAAAGAAGUUUCAUCACUACUAUUGCAAUAAAUGUGACAAGAGAGCCGAACCUAAAGCAUGGUAAAUUAUUUAGUAGUUUACAAUCUUAUUAUAAUACUUCUAUUUCUAAUUGGAGAAUAAUAUUUGCAAAUUCAAAAUUAAGCUUCAAAUAAGUGAUCCAACAACAAGUGCAACUUCUGUACUUUUGACAAGGAAGCAGAAAUGAUAAUUAAUGAAUGAGCAGAUUCGAUGAUCACCUCCGUUGAUCAUGAUAAUAAGUAGCUACCAAAAUCAACUAUGCAAAAAGUAGGAACAGAUCUUAAUCGGCUAUGCAAAAAGUAGUAAAUUGAGCAAUAAGAUAUAAAAAAGCUGACAGUCCUAAUUCCAAGCUGUAUAACUGGUGAUAAAACUAGAACAACAUGCAAAACCUAGAAUUCUAGUGAUUAUCGAUAACUGGUGAAUAAAUCUAAACAAAACGACAGCAAUGCGCCCGAAGUUAAAGCUUAGAUAUUACUUGAUAAGCGGAACUUAUAGAAUCGGCCGGAGAUCAAGUUGAUGCAGCCCCGCCAACCCGUACGAACUCGUGAAAAGAAGAAAAGUAUUGGCGAAGUCGCCUGCUCGAAAGUAAAGUGCGAGGAAAUAGUAGUUUGUUGUAUUGAUUUGAUGAUGAUUACAGAUCUAUGAAAGCGGCUAUUUAUAGCCAGUUACAACCAAUCUCUUAACUGACUAGGACUCUAUCUCUAAUUUUAAACGAAAACGAAUAUUUACAAGCAUAAUUCGUAUCGGAGUUGGUCAUCGUGUUCCCAUGGGCCGAUCUCCUUUUUAUCUUCAUAGCUCACUUUAGGCCCAUAUUGGCCCAACUGCUCCAACCUCCCAAUCGGCCGAUUUCCACCAACUCCAUCCGCCGAAAUACUACAGCACCAAUCGGCCGAUCCUCAACUGUAGCACCAAUCGGCCGAUUCCCAAUCGUGACCUCCGUGUUUCGCCGCAUCAGCUGAUUCCUUCCCUUCUUGACGCCGAUUUCAUACGCGUCAAAAUCUGGCAUCAACACAUGCCCCAAGUUUCGGAGUAAAACAUAAUCUUUACUUCAAAAUUCCUUUCAACUUCCCUUCCGAAACAAACGCAUUGAAAAUACCCUUCCGUUUCGCGGUCUUCUGCCUGAUGAUUGCAAUCUUUUCGAAACGGGCGCCCACGACAACCACUCCUCCUGAAAAAAUCGAACCGCCGGCGUGGUAAAAAUUCCGCUUUUACCCUUUCUCAGACCGCCCUUAGAUAUCAGUACGUCCCGUACUUCUUCUUCACGAGCCCACGUCUUCCUUCUUUGGCGCACUGACCUCCUUCUUCUUCCGGCGUCUCUUUAGCCUCUAACCUCUCACUCCGGCGAGUUCUUCCAUCUACAUUCCACCCCACCUUCCCGAUGGCAACACCUUCAGGCACUCCACCAACAUCCGAGGUCCCGGAGACGGCUCCAUCAGCAGCGGCUCCAACAGCAAUGGUGGCAGCUCCAUUGGCAGGAGCAGGAGCUCCAUCGGGCGGGAGCGGGAGCUUCAUCAACGACCACAAUGAGCUUCAUACCAGAGGUUUCUACCAAAACUUUCCUUUCCGCUCCUCUAUGUCGAUGCAUUUACCUUAGAUCAUUUCUUACUGCCCCUUCCAUUCUUUACCUGUUUAGGCAGUUAGGCACCACAUUACUAUUCGCCUCACCGAAACUCCCGGCCUUAUCUAUUUUGGUCCCAUGGGAAACCCAGAUCCAACCGACCUAAUCAAUUUGGAAACCCAUAGGAUCCCUUUCAAGCAAUCAACCAUGGACCUAGAUCACUGGUCAGGUACCUUCAGAUCAUGGCCGAAUGAAACCCCCGGCUGGAGGGAAUGGUACAAAUGGAUAGCCGCCUCAAAAAGAGUUCAAUGGGACGAGCACAAAAUCGGCCAGUGCAUCGACUUAUCUUUGUCCCAAAUGGAAAGGAAUGAGCCUUUAGUAAUAGCAGCCUCCUACUUUUGGUCCGAUGCCCUAAACGCAUUCCCCUUAGGACACGGAGCUAUGACCGCUACCCUAGCCGAUGUGGUCAUGUUGACCGGCCUUGAUAUCUCCUCUCCCGAUACUCCUUUCCGUUACUUGGCCAAAACAUCCCAUCGGCUAGAGACGAAAGGAAUCGGCGGGUGGAAAGGAUUCAUCAAGUGCAACAGAAGGGCCGGGACAGCCCAGGAAAGAGAGCAUGCGGCCUUCUUGAUGAUGUGGCUAGAAAAACACCUUUUUUGCGGGAGGGCAGCCGGUCCAUCCACUAACACACAGGCUUUGGCCGAGGCACUAUCGAUAGGUGCCUCUGUUCCUCUUGGAAAGCACCUAUUGGGAUCGGUUUACCAUAUGCUGCAUCAGAUCGGCGUCAAGCUAUCCAAAGGAGAGCCGAUUGGAAACCCAGGUGGACCCUGGUGGUUCAUCAACUUGUGGCUUAAUCUAUAUAUGAGCAAGAUCUCCCAGCAGCGAGUGGAGUACAUGAUGUUCCCCAACAUCGAAUCGGCAGAGAAUCCCACUGUACGGUGCCGGUGUACUUCCUUCGGUGAAGCGGCAUCGGCCUUCUCCGGUUGCUCAUAUUCUGCUGCCAAGGUGGCCGAAUACUUCAGAUGCUUCUACAAUGGCUUCAGCAAAGACGCAACCAGCUUGUUCCCUUAUCAAAGGGAGGAACCACUCUUCGAGCUCCCCUCCUGUUUUGACUCGGCCACCAGCAAAUUUGAUGAGGACCUCACAGAUGAAUUGAUCAAGCCUCUCGGGGAAGGAUGCCCCCACUUAUGAGUUUUACCAUCCUUCCGUCACAGCACGGCAAUUCGGCUUGGGUCAACUGCCGAUUUAUGCAUACUUCACCGGCCGAGCAAAAUUUCGAGACGAGCUCACCAAAGGUCUCCACUACUACGAUCGGAUUCCAGACUCCAGCACCAUAGACUUGGCCAGUUGGAUAGUAGCCCCUUUCGCUGUUCAGCAGUUCAAGCUAUGGUGGGUGGAAUGGAAGCAACAUCUAUUCUGCGCCUCUACGGCGAUAUAUUGUAAUCUCCUGAAUCCCGACAACAUCGAUCCGAAUGCUGAGGUAUCGCUCUCUUUCUAGCUGAUUUUCAACUCCUUUUUUUUUAUACUGACUCUUAUUAUUAUUUCAGUCUGAGAGCCAUGCUCCCCCAAAAUGCAGUCGGAGUGGUCGGUCGAUAGAGGACCGUUAUCCAUACACAACAUUCCCCCUCAUCGGCUAUCACGCCCCCUCCGUUGAUGACAUAGCCGGCCGAGCGAAGCAAGCGCAGAAAAAGAUUAUCAAGAAGACAAGUCGCCGAGUACGCGCCCGCACAGAAUCGGCCGAUCCACCCGUGGUUGCAUCGGCAGAAAUUUCGGCUACGCCGACCCUUCCGGUCGCUGAAGAAGUUGACCUCCAAGCCGCUAAAGAGGCCGGAGCGGCUGCCGCGUCAUUGUUGGUGGAAGCUAUUCAGGUAAACUCACCAUCCGAUUUUCCUGACAGUCAUUUCAAUACUGACCUUUCCUUUAUUAGGCCGUGCAGAUUGCCUCAGCAGAUCCACAGCAAUCUGCAAUGCCCCAAGCAGAAGUUGAAAUACCAGUGCCCCUUCCCGUUGAGGUACAUGAUCUCUCAACUCACUUCUUUAAUAUUUGAAUGAUGAUCCUACCAACCUUGACGCAGGUCAUCGGCACGUUAACUAUGCUAUCCGACUAGCCAUCUGCCAAAGAAGUCCUUCAAGAGGCCGGCCCGAGCAGAACGCCGAUCGUUGUCGAAUCCUCUUCUUCCGAUGAGCCAAUGGCACCAGUCCCCGAGUCGAUAGUGGUUGUUCCACAAACGCAGAUGGAGGAGAUCCAUUUCAAAGAGGUGAGAAGUCAUUUGACUCGCAUUUACCGAUUCGUCACCACCAUCGGCUGACUCAUUUUCCUUUUAUUUAUCAUUCACAGGAAUAGGACACUCCCAAUAAUAGCCUCUUCUCAUUUGCGGUCGCGCUCUCUGAUGACGAGGAAGUUGCUUCUCGUCAAGUUACUUUGAGCUCCAUCCCCGAUGACGUCCGCGCUAAGCUUGAAAGUAUACGGUCCCUUCUUUAAGAGGACAUCAGCCGAUUGGUGGAGGACGCCUCGCCGAUUCGGCAGCUCUUUGGUGACGUCAACGGGCGAGUCCCAGAGGAAGCAGAAGAAGCCUUGGCACCGGCCGCUUAUAUCGAGUCGAUGCGGAUCCCGGUCUUCAGGGCUCUGCGUCACAUGGCCGAUCGCGCCAAGCUGGCCAAGACUCGUGAGGAAGAGGACUCGUACAAGCAACGGGCCCAGGAGGUACACCAUCGGAUUCACUUCCUCGAGAAUUCCCGACCUGGACUCGUCGGCACGAUAGAUCGCCUCAAGCACCGAAGGGCGGAACUUGCCAAGGAGAUGGAGUAGGUAACCAAAGAAAUAGCUAUUGAAGAGAAGAAGCUUCAGGAACUCCCUUCCGUUAUCGCCGAUUUAAAGCAGGAGAGGCAGCAUUUGGCCCAUGAGGCCCUUAGACUCCAUCGCCAUAUGUCAGAAGUUCCAGGGUCGGCAGAUGAUGACCAACGAGUCUUGGACUCGGCCGAUCAGAUCAGGCAUCGAGCGAUUGCGGCCAUUAACGCCCUUCUGGGUGACUUGUAAAAGUACUAGCCGUUUUGUACGAACAUUAAUGCCUUUUGACCGUCCUUCGCGGCGCUCUCCUAUUUAUUACCCUUUUUACUCUGACAGGACGCGUCUUACCAAACCUCCGCUCUUCCUCUUAUUAUAAAUACCGGCCCUGGUUUCGCUCUUGAGAAUACCUGCUCCACUCGAUUCCUUUUUCCCCCAUUACGUUUCCAUCGGAACGUUCGUAGUCAUGUCUUCUUCAUCUUCUUCUUUCUCCUCUCCUUGUAUCAAUCAGGUACGAGGUCCGUCUUCGCCCUUUUUUCAGUUUGAUCCCUUUAAAUCGUUCCAACUUUUAGGCGGCUAUGUGCUAACUUCUUCAGCCAAGGCACCUUAUCCCUGAACUCGAAUGAGCAAUCGAACUCGUGCACUCUAAUGAGUCGUUGUCGCAAGAGGACAAGGACUUGAUCAAGGAACACCGUGAAGAACUCAGAGAUCACGUUCCUGCCGACGUCUAACGGAUCUGGGACUUCAUCGACGGCAAUGAUUACGGGCGACCGCAAGUUGACAGGAGCCACCCACUUCCUCUUCCGGUUGUUCUUGAAAACGCCGCGGUAGGGACAUCGCGCCCGGUGAUGGAUCGGAGCCAUCCUCUUCCUUGCCAAGUUGAGGCGGAGGCCGCGAUGAGAGAUGUGGCAGAACGAAGCAUUCGCCUUCUAAUGGAAUUAGGUAGGAUUGAGAGGGAACUCAAGAAGAAGCGUAGUUGAGUAUUUUUUGUUCUAAGGGCGAAGUGUACUGUGUCGGUCGUGUAAUUCAUCGUUCGUACUGAAUCACAAAUCGGCCGAUUUGAACGAUUAUUUUUCUCCUUUAGGCGAUUUCUUCUCCCGUAUCGGCUGUGUGAUCGUUCAGGGAGCGAUCUUUCUGUCUUGUCAAUGCCUUGCGAUCGAUUCUUAUGUUCCGACCCAUAUACUGGGGUAAUACCUUUUCAAGUACCUCCCGUUUAAGGCCCUAGUAAAUUCUUCUCCUUCGAUCAUUUCCAGAAUGUAAGCGUUUCCCAGGGCACAUCGGCCGAUUCUAUACAGCCCUUCCCAAGUGGGAGACCAUUUACCGAAUUUAGGAUCUUUUGAUCCAAUCGGCAACACUAACUUCCAUACCAGAUCCCCUUGGGAGAACUGCUUGACUUUGACCUUCUUGUCAUACCAUCUGGCCACUUUCUUUUUGUUUUCCUUGAUACUGAUCAAGGCUCUCAAACGUUGGCCCGCCAAAUCGUCGAGUUCCCUAUUCAUGAGCGAGGAGUAAUCAUCGGCCGUCAGCUGAUCUUGAAGCGACGUGCGUCUCGACCCUGUUCUCAACUCCCAUGGCAAUACUGCCUCAUGACUGUACACCAAUUGAUAAGGAGACACCUUGGUAGCCCCAUGGCAGGCCAUCCUGUAUGCCCAUAGAGCUUCGGUUAGACAUAAGUGCCAUUUUUUGGGUUGUUCUUCGAUCUUCCUCUUGAUCAACUUGAUUAUCCCUUUAUUGGAAGAUUUGGCCUGGCCGUUAGCCUGAGGAUAGUACGGGGAGGAAUUUAGCAACUUGAUUCCCAUAUCGGCCGUGAACUCCUCGAACUCUCCCGACGUGAACAUCAUCCCUUGAUCAGUUGUGAUAGUCUGAGGGAUGCCGAAACGAUAGACAAUAUGAUCCCUCACGAAAUCGACCAUAGCGGCCGAUGUUACGGCCUUUAAUGGAACCGCCUCCACCCAUUUGGUGAAAUAAUCUGUGGCUACCAGAAUGAAUUUAUGUCCUUUACUUGACGGAGGAUAAAUUUGUCCAAUGAGGUCUAUUCCCCAACCUCUGAACGGCCACGGCUUGAUAAUUGGAUUCAUAGCCGACGCGGGCGCGCGUUGCACAUUCCCAUAUUUCUGACAAUCUUGGCAUCCUUUAUAAUACUUGAAACAGUCCUCAAGGAUUGUCGGCCAGUAAUAUCCAUUAUUCCUAAUCAUCCACUUCAUCUUAUGCGCCGAUUGGUGGGCUCCACACACCCCUUCGUGCAUUUCUCCCAUCAGGGUCUUUGCCUCCUCCGUCCCUAGGCAUUUGAGUAGAACACCAUCAAUCGUCCGGUAGAACAAAUCAUUUUCCAAUAACACAUAUUUUGUGGCCUGAAAUCGUAUUCGCCAAUCCACUUUCUUAGAUGGGUCUUUUAAAAAAUCGGCGAUCUCUUUUCGCCAGCCGUCGGCCGCGAGUUCCAGAAUCAUGGCGCCUUGAAUCGGCCGAUACCCGAACGCGUGCUGAGCCAGCCUGUUGGCUUCUUCAUUGUAAUCCCUGGGGAUAUGCUCAAUAACUGUGGAUUUGAAUUCUUUCAGAAGUUGGAGGCAAUCCUCAUAGUAAACCCUUAAUACAUCAUCUUUGCACUCGGAUCUUCCUGUCAAUUGGUCCACGAUGAGCAUGGAAUCUCCAAAAACCUCGACGGUGUCGGCCUUAAUUUCUCUUAACAAUUGUAACCCUUUCAGGACAGCCCGGUAUUCCGUCUGGUUAUUAGUGGCGGAUGCUUCUAUCGACAGAGAGAAAUCAUAGCAUGCCCCCUGAGGCGAUAUGAGAACGAUGCCGAUUCCCGAUCCGGCCCCACAUGACGAGCCAUCAAAAUAUAAGGUCCACGGUACUGGUUCCACGACAGCGAUUUUUGGUCCGCAGUGUUGGGCGACGAAAUCAGCCAUAACCUGACCUUUGAUGGCGUUUGCCGAUUCGUACCGUAGAUCAAACUCUGAUAAAGCCAAAAUCCACUUUCCGAUCCACCCUUUCAAAAUCGGCAAUGACAGCAUAUACUUUACUACGUCAUUCGUGCAUACAACCACGCAUUCUGCCGAUAACAAGUAGUGCCUGAGCUUGGUGCAUGAGAAGUAAAGACAUAAGCACAGCCGCUCUACCGGGGGAUAUCUUGAUUCGGCGUCCAAAAGUCUUCUACUAAUAUAAUAUAUUACCCGUUCCUUUCCUUCGAACUCCUAGACCAGUGCCGAUCCGAUAGCUCGCUCAUCGGCUGAUAAAUACAGCUUGAAUGGCUUACCAGUUUCUGGUGGGACCAAGUACUGCUUGAUGUCUUCUAGUGCCUUGCGUUGCUCUUCUCCCCAUACGAACUCUUGGUUGGGUUUCAAUUUCAACAACGGUGUGAAGGCCUGGAUACGUCCAGAUAGGUUGGAUAUGAACCAGGCAACGUUGGUAAAGAAAACUGCUAAGAGUAAACUAAACAACGCUACAGUAGCAACACUAGGAACGGAUCUUAAUCGGCUAUGCAAAAAGUAGUAAAUUGAGCAAUAAGAUAUAAAAAAGCCGACAGUCCUAAUUCCAAGCUGGAUAACUGGUGAUAAAACUAGAACAAUAGGCAAAACCUAGAAUUCAAGUGAUUAUCGAUAACUGGUGAAUAAAUCUAAACGAAACGACAGCAAUGCGCCCGAAGUUAAAGCUUAGAUAUUACUCGAUAUGCGGAACUUACAGAAUCAGCCGGAGAUCAAGUUGAUGCAGCCCCGCCAACCCGUACAAACUCGUGAAAAGAAGAAAAGUAUUGGCGAAGUCGCCUGCUCGAAAGUAAAGUGCGAGAAAAUAGUAGUUUGUUGUAUUGAUUUGAUGAUGAUUACAGAUCUAUGAAAGCGGCUAUUUAUAGCCUGUUACAACCAAUCUCUUAACCAACUAGGACUCUAUCUCUAAUUUUAAACAAAAAUGAAUAUUUACAAGCAUAAUUCCUAUCGGAGUUGGUCAUCGUGUUCCCAUGGGCCGAUCUCCUUUUUAUCUUCAUAGCUCACUUUAGGCCCAUAUUGGCCCAACUGCUCCAGCCUCCCAAUCGGCCGAUUUCCACCAACUCCAUCCGCCGAAAUACUGCAGCACCAAUCGGCCGAUUCCCAAUCGUGACCUCCGUGUUUCGCCGCAUCAGCUGAUUCCUUCCCUUCUUGACGCCGAUUUCAUAUGUGUCAAAAUCUGGCGUCAACACAUACAUAAUGAUGGUAUUGUUCCUACUUUCAGGAUGAGGUAUUUACUAUUGAAGCAACAAUAAAUGAAAUUAAUGCAACAUAUGGUUGGUACUACAUCUCAUGUAGUAGAGGCGAUUGUAAGAAGUAACUUGAAAAGAUGUUUGAUCACUACUAGUGCAAUAAAUGUGACAAGAGAGCCUAACCUAAAGCACGGUAAAUUAGUUAGUAGUUUACAAUCUUAUUAUAGUACUUCUAUUUCUAAUAGAGAAUAAUAUUUGCAGAUUCAAAAUUAAGCUUCAAAUAAGUGAUCCAACAACAGUGCACUUGUGUACUUUUGACAAGGAAGCAGAAAUUAUAAUUAAUGAAUGAGCAGAUUCGAUGAUCACCUCAGUUGAUGAUGAUAAUAAGUAGCUACCAAAAUCAAUUCAGAAAAUAUGUGAAGAAACAUUGAUUUUUCAAUUCAAAUUGACCGAGUACAACUUGACAAGUUUUAGACCUGAUUAUACUGUUUCAAAGAUAUUUUUUCCAAAAGAAAAGAGCAGUUCUAGAAUUGGUAUGGAAAGUGUAAAAAAGGUAACACUUUAUUCUUAAGUUUUUAUUGCACUUUUUUCUUUUGAAUCCUUAAUAUUUAAUAAUUUUACUAUAUCAAUGAAACAAAUUCUAACCUAAAUUUACAACUCAGACAAAUGCUACAUGAUAACUACCGAGAAUGAAGAGGUAGACACUGAUGACUCUUUUACCGAGAAAGUAACAUUCGUAGAAGAAGCCAUAAGGACUGGGGAAAGAUUGGCUAGAAAAGUAUACUCACUUCCAUCUAAGUAUUCAUUCUAUUUACAAUACAUGCAAAAAAAUAUUAUUCAUGCAAAAUUGCAGGUCUACUAAGCAUUAAAGGAAUAGCGGAUAGUGCAAUAUCUAAUUUGAGCAGCAUGCAUUACAAAGUGCUCUACUGCAAUUAAAUUAAAAAACAUGAUAUAUGUUGAAUUCUUAGACUUUAUUAUUAUACUUUUCUAUGUGACAAUUCACAAUUUUUUAGAAAAAAGAAGAUCCCAGAAGAAGUGACCAUGAAAAAAGGUCUAUGCCCAGCAAUAAGAAAAAAUGCAAGCAUAGAAACAAAUCCGUAGAAAACAUAGAAAAUAAGGUACUCCAUAAACAAAAGUAUUCUCUUAUAUUUUUAUUAAAUAUUUCUUUAACACUUGACAAGUUCUUUUUUAGGAUCAAUAUAUCAGCAAUUCAGAUGUCAUUGGAGAUGAAAACCUUAGUUCGUCCAAAAGGUCAAAAAAAACAUCUGAAGAAAGGUGUUUGGCUGAAAAGGAAAAGCAAGAAAGUUGUAAUGCAGACAAACACAUGCAGAAAAAUAUAAAAACAUGUAAUAGGGAGGCAGACCAAUCUUGCAAGGAGGUAUAGACGAAACGUGAUACACGACCUGCCUACCUUGUCGUGGAUACCCCAAGAAGAUGUCAUAGAGGUGCAGACCAAGCUAGCAAGGAGGUCGAAACGUGAUACACGGCCUGCCUACCUUGCCGUGGAUAUUAGCCCUAAGAUCAUUCUACUGUUCAAGGAAUAACACUCAAUGCUGCUGCUGCUGCUGACCUGGCUCCAUAAAGUUAUACUCCUCUAGGUGCUUGCACUAACUUUAUCUGAAGUAUUAUUCUCUCUGCACUGUAUAUAUGGUUAUGGAGUUUGCUGGAGUAUCCUGGGGGAAGAACCUACAUAAUACGUCUUGGAACUAACUGACAUUGAUUCACAGACAAACUCUACAAGGUGCUGUUGUUGCCAUUUUAGAGCAUCCAAAGGACUAUAAAUAACAUAGUUUACCAUAUACCAUAUACCAUAAUAUGUUAGCUAAAAUAAGAGCAUACACAUGUUGCAGGAGUCCAAAAGCACCGGUUGAGGACCAGGUACAUUGAAUUACUAGAAAAAGACAGGGGACAAGGUUUAGGUAACCACAUGAAACAUUUGAAUUUACUGUACCAUGAACACUUAGUUACCAUGCCGGGAGCACAUAGUUAACACUAACAUUUAGCCACUUUAGAUCACCCCGAAUCACCAAUGACCCUCAAUAGUGACAAAUUUUGGUUUAAAUGCCGUCACCAAUGAUCCUCAAUAGUGACGUAUUUAGGUUUAAAUCCCAUCACUAAUAACCCUCAAUAGUGACCUGUUUUGGUUUAAAUCUCAUUACCACUUAUCCUCAAUAGUGACGUGUUAAAACGCGUUAUCUCAAUGGCAAAUCAUUGGUGACGUGUUUUAAAAAAACAUGUCACUGUGAGAGUCAUUGGUGAAGGGUAAUUAAAAUGCGUCACUAAUGUUGUAGCAUUAGUUAUGAUAAUUUAGUAAUGCAAAAAUCUACCAUCAGUAAUGAGCUUUAGAGCCAUCGCUAAUGUGGGUUUCUUACAUAGUGAUGCAAGCUCUACAAGGUGCUGUUGCUGCCAUUUUAAAGCAUCCCAUGACUACAUGUUAAUAACAUACUUUACCAUAUACCAUAAAAAUAUUAGUUACAAUAAGCACAUACGCAUGUGGAAGAGUCCGAAUGCACCGGUUGAGGACUAAACACAUUUAAUUACUAGAACCAAAUGUAUGUCCAGAACAAAGACAGGGGUCAAGGUUUGGGUAACCGCAUUAAAAACAUUGGAUUUUACUGUAGAUGAACACUUAGUUACCAUUACCAUGCCUUGAGCACCUAGUUACAACAAACAUUAAUUUAGCCACUUUAGAGCUUCCAGAAUCGCUAUAAAUAAUAUACCUACGCCGUACCAUGAAAACAUCAAGAAGAGAGACGGAUACAUGGACCACCAUCAAGCGAGUACUGACAGCACGCACAAGAAUACCCAGAACCUGUUAGCUUGUCUGUAGUGAUCUGUUUUCUUCCCCAUAAAAUCCAUGAGUAUUGCCACAAAUAAUGAAAGAGGCUGACCAAGCUAGCAAGGAGGUAGAGCAAACGUGAUACACGGCCUGCCAAGAUUGCCCUGGAUACGCCAAUAAGAGCGACAGAUACAUGGAUCACACCAAUAUGGUGAAACGUAUAUUCAUCACACAAGCAAAGCUGGUCAGUUUAUCCAUGGUCAAAUUGUGGUCUUUGUUUUCACUUGAGAGCUAAUUGAGGCACUAUAAUAUGGGCAGGCCUAUCUUCAACAGACAUGACAGCUACAGGGAACUUGACAUAAUUUGCUGGACCGCCUGUGCACAAUUAUUUGUUUUAUUGUCCUUGCAUAGAAUGCUAAAAUACUCUUUACAAAAUGUUGGAUCUAAUAUUUGAAAUAUAGAGUAGUAAUCAUAUAUUGAUCAACAACUUGAAAUUAUCUGUACAUUCUCGGUGAAGCUGUUGAACUAAUUUUUGCAAAUUAUUAAUUAAUUCAUCUCAUUACGUAAAGAAAACAGUAAGUGGAUAAGAUAUUUCGUGGACCACAUCACUGCAAACAUGUCAUGGAGAGACAGACCAAGGAGGCAGGACGUGAUACACGACUUACCCUAGGUUGCCGUGGAACCGCCAAGAAGAGAUACGGAUACAUGGACCACACCAUCUUGGGAGUAGUGACAGCAUAUAUGCAGAAGAAUACCCCGUGCCUAUUUGCAUGCAUGUCUCAAGUGAUCUGUUUUCUUCAGAAAAUACAUGAGCAUUGCCAGAAAGAAUGGCAAGAGACAAACAUGUCAUAGAUACUUGCAUGUCUUGCCUUGGAUACGCCAAGAAGAGGGACACAUACAUGGAUAACACAAAUCUAGUGACACGUAUAUUCAUCACAAAGGCAAAUCUGAUAAUUUUAUCCAUGGAGCAGACCAAGCAGAAAUUGAUGACGGACAUGUGAUCUCUGUAUUCAGUUGAAAGCUAAUUGAGCUACACUAAUAUGAGCAGGACUAUAUUCAAGAGACUUGUUGAGAGCUACAGGGAACUUGUAAUAAUUUGCUGGGCGGCCUGCGCACAAUGAUUUGUUAUACAUAGUUGAAAUAUUUCAAGAAUUUAUCAACCUCGUACUCUGAAACCCUUGGUGCAAUGUACUCUGCUUUCCGAGGUAGACUGUUCACGUAAAAUGAGGUCAUGCGUAAGACGGAAUCGGAUUGGAUUCGCAGGGAAUCAGAUUUGGAUAGCACCUUUUAGCCGGUUUUUAGUCAAAUGCAAAUUCGGAUCCAGAUGUGGUUGAAUGCGAGUUCAAAAUUCUACUUGGAUAUCCAUUUAAUUUAGGUGAUAGCAAUUAGCACAAAAUGUUGGAAGAACAAAAUCAUAGUUAGACAUACAAUUACAUGUAUUGUUAAAGUAUAAUACAAUACACCAAGAUUAUUCCUUCAAAAUAUUUCUUAAAAAUAUUAUAAUAAAUGAAUAAAUAUAAUUGUGGCCACCAACAAAUAGUCGGUGGUCACUAAGUUGGAGCCAUUUCUGGUUACUAAUGCGGCCUGCUCCUCGACCAGCGACGACAGCUGAGCUUGUUCCUUCUGACACCAAAUCAUCAGAGUCUUCCCUCCACUACUAUAGAAUGCACCUUUAGCACCAAUUGGGAAAUCCCCUUCAGUAUCGGAUGCUGCAACCUGUGCUAUGAAAAUGGAGACUAAAAGCCUCGGUCUUGGGUACCGGUUGCAUGACGCAUUACUAAAGGAGGCAAAAGAGAAAUGUAACAAAAAAAUAUUUUGAAUUCCAAGAAUGUUUCACUAUUCAAGAUGACUAACUGAGAGUCAUCAGACAAGAUACUAGGAAUGUGGGUGCUUGAAUGCAUUUGUACAGAGGUCAUACUAUUUACAAACUCUUCUGUGUUUCCAUAUGACUACCUACUUCAAUGUCACGCGAGCCAUUCAGGACACAUGGCACACAAGCUUGCAUGUCGAAUCCAUGAUUAAUUAUUUCCACUUGUGAUCUCUUACCAGUAUUUGUCCAGACUAGAAACGUGCAACACAUUUUUUGGAUAUGGACACGCAUAUAUUUGGACUAGUAUACAGGUCACCUUUGGAUGAGUACAAGGAUGACCGGGAGGGACUAAUGGAUACAAGGAAGGGACCAUCAGGAUUAAUAGUGACAUAUGCCACAUGACAAUCUUCAUUGUCAUGCAAUCCCUAUCAACAAUCAUGGAAUCCCUAGUGUACUAAUCCCUGGAGGGUUGUGUGGAAAUUUAUUUUACCUUGCGGUGAAAAUCUCAUGAGCAGUCAUUAGUUAAGCUGACUAGCUGAGAUAUAAUAGACAAGCUAGUAAGAUUGGGAGCAUCAAUGCAUCCAUACAGGGUCACAAUAUCCUUUCCAUUCACUUUUAUAUAUAACCCUACGAAUACAAGUCCAACGAAACGCGGGCCUUUCGAUCAAGAUAAAUUAAAUGGCCCACUUGUAUUUCUAAUCCAGGAUUAAUUAUGCCCUCUGUUCAUCUCUUGCAAGCACGUGCAACACAUUUUCACGAUAUGGACAUGCAUGGAGGUUAUUAUACUGUUUGGACAAACUCUGAUGUGCCAUGACCUGGGCCUGUUUGGUUUGAGUUGCUUAUUAUAAGCAACUUAAAGUUGCUUAAAGUUGCUUAUUUGAAGUUGCUUAUUUUUAGUCUAAACUGUUUGGAUACCCUUGCUUAUGAGCAUUGAAUGAGAUGGACAUUGUCAUAUUUGCCCCUUGUGUAGCUACCCCUCCAAUUUGCCUCCCCACCCUUCUUCUUCCUGCACACGCCCGAUCCCGGGGGCCGACGGCGGGCAGGGAGCAGCAGCAGCUGGCUGGGGCGGCGGUGGGGCGGGAGCGGCGGCGCACACCAGCAUGCGCUCGCACGCCAGGUGCUGGAGCGCGGCGAGGCAGUCGUCGUAGACCGCCGGGAGCGGGUGCUCGGGCGUGAGGCGGUACUCGACGGAGACAUCGAGCGUUGGGCGCGUGGCGGCGAGCGCGUUGAGGAAGCGAUGGUAGUGCGGCGACGUCGCGGACUCCGCCACGAAGCCGCCGCCGUGGACGUACACCACCACGGGCAGCUUCGUCUUGCCGUCGGCGGCCACGGCCGCGGCCUAGGGUGGCAGGUAGAGGCGGAUGGAGCAGGAGCCGAGGUCGACGUCCCCGGAGUCGACGCCCGUGGCGGCGUCCAGGCCGGGCCCGACCGGCGGCGGCACGAGCGACGCAGCCGCUCUUGUAAAUCCAGCAGGUCUGCGCGGAGGCGGGCGGCGGGCGGGAGCGGCGGCGGGUGGUGCGGAGGCCGGCGGCGGCGGGUGGCGCGGAGGAAGGGGAGCUGGUGAGUGGUGACAGGGGAGGGGGGAGAGAGAGAGGGGGGUAGGGUGCAUUGAAUGAGGGCAGGAGGUGUAAAGUGCACCUUUUAGUCCCCAUAAGCAACCAUAAGCAGCCCAAGAGUUGCUUAUUUACUUAUAAUAAGCAACCCCAUAAGCAAGAGUGAUUGGUUUCAUAAGCAACUUAUUUGCUUAUUUUAAGUUGCUUAUGCGUAAGCAUGUGAAACCAAACAGGCCCUUAACCUAUGGUUGUGGCACACAACCAUACAGUAGAUAGUAUUUAAUAAUGCUAUUCGUUUGGUAUGUGCAGAAGGGCACGCAUGAAAUGUCUGGCCCACGGUAAACAAGUACGGACGCUGCAAAUAAUCUACUCUGCUCGUCCAGUCCCUAGCCUAUAAAUAGAUGCCAUGCUAGCUCUUGUUGUGCUCACAAUUAAUCCGAUUACACACGAGCUUCUCUCCCUGGCCAAGACACAAUCAUAGUAUGAUGAAGAACAUGGCACUAGCCGGCAAUGGUAUGAAGAAGUUAAUCCUCGCUGUUCUCUUACUGUGUCUAGUUAUAGGGCAGAUACAAGUGGAAGCUAAGAGCUGCUGCCCAUCCACCACUGCAAGAAAUAUCUACAAUACCUGCCGUAUCACGGGUACAUCCCGUCCAACGUGUGCAAAACUGUCAGGCUGCAAAAUUAUCAGCGGGGACAAAUGCAAGCCCCCUAACGACCACCUCACCCUUGACCCGGACACUGGUAAAUAAUAAAUUUAUCUCACUUGAUUUCUUUGUGUUUUGAGUCGUUAAUGUAUUUUCCAUCUGAUGAAACGUAUUGGUUUUGCAUUGAAGAGGAAGUUAAUGUGCUUAACUUCUGCAAGUUGGGGUGUGCGUCGUCUGUGUGCAACAACAUCAACGCUGGUAAGCACCUUUUGCUCAGACAGAGAAAACAAUAAUCAUUAAUUAGCGGCAGCUAGAAUCCUAUAAUCUAAUAUAUAUAUAUAUAAUUUUAUCAGCUCUGGGAAAUGAAGAGGCGAACGAUGCCGUUGAGAGUUGCGACCAAGCCUGCUCUAGCUUCUGCAACGUGCACGUUGGCGCUGCCACCGUGGUUGCUUAAGCAAAUGCAUCCAACUGGAUCGUCCUUGUGCUGAAUAAUUGGAUAUCGUAUCCACUUAAAGCUGCCUUGUGUAGUACGUCUUUGUUUGUGUCUCUCUUUAUAUUCCAAUAAGGUCGGUGAUCUUGAUGCCACACACUCAGACGUGUGUUCAUCUCCAGAUACUACUCCAUGCUACCUACCCUUUGUGUUUUGUUCAAUAACUGGGUAUCAUAUUCCGGCCAGUGUGCCAUCUGUUUUGUGUUUAUUUCCUUCUAGUUCCAAAGGGGUCAUCAUGAUGUUACCUUCUUUCGAUAUGGUGCUUUGCAUGACUACUGUUGUAUGGUACCAUCUUGUUGGCCAAUAAAUACAUCUUAUCCUAUGACCCUUUGCUAUGACCCUUUGCAAAUAAGUACAAGAUUGUUAAAUACUCGGUAUAAAUUGACUACUGUUGUGAGUUCCCUUUCAGCUUAUUGUAGGCAUACAUUAUUGCUAGCACGGUGAAGACAACCAACACGAAUGAUCAAGUAAACGUACCGGUACUUUUGUAUACCAACACCCUUGCUUAAAUGUACCGGUGUUACUCCCCAUUGGCACAUAUAUUCUUUUAUGCUAGCCGGCUUGAAAAUUAACCGAUUAAAAUAAUUAUUUCAAGAUAGAAAUAACUUAUCGGCUUCUCGAAGCAUGUGUAAUGUGAAUUCAAGGACUCGAUGGAAGUUGAAUCGCUUCAUCUAGAUUGCUUUCAGGAUUUUGGGUAACUAAAUUUAACAUUUGCACAUACAAAUGUUAAUGUACAAAUGUUAAAUCUAGUUACCCAAGCAGAAUAUGAAGAUACUCUAUAGUAUAUAUAUACUAUAUAAAUCUAGUUAACAUUUAGUCUAAAUGUUAAAUCUAGUUACCUAAAAUCCUGAAAGCAAAAUGUAUAAAUAUAUAUCUUUUAAGGAAUCCCAAAGCAAGAGUUCAGUGGCAUUCUAUAGUCCCAUGCUGCUAGUUUGAGUUGGUCGAAGCCAACUUAAAUAGGAGAGCUCUCUCACUUCUCUAAAUACGUAACUGAAGGAGAGAAGGGGGCUUGGGUUAUACAAUGCACGCACGCACGCAUAUUUGCGUUCUUUUCGCGUAACCAACCAUGUGACUUGAAACUUGCGACGUAGCGUGCUGCCAAGUCAAGU
rnacentral:lncRNA from 1 species